UUUUUAAAUAGUACUAUUUGAUUUUUAUGUAAAGAUAUGCCUUGUAAUUUGGAUUUUGUAUGAAACUUAGUUACUACUUGAUAUAAUAAUGUCACGGAUUAUAAUGUUCUAUUUUUUAGUUUAGAAUGUGAUGAAGUAGAAGCGUAGAAUAAAUUUGUAGUUCGUUGAUUCAUGUAAAAUACCAUAAAAUAAUUAUGCAAGUAAUUUGUUGAUCCAAAGAAUAUCGAAAAAAAAAUGAAGAAGGGGUCAUGAAUUGACCAUAGAACCCUAUUCAAUAAGUGGAACACAUUAGUUGUCCAUAAUUACUGAAAUUUUUAUUGAAAAAAUCACUAUUGCAUCACAAUCCUCUCAAUCCUUUUUAAAUAAACCAUUUAAAAUUCAAACUAAAAGAAAUUGGAAAAGGAAACCUAUCCUACGUUAAGUAAAAUAAAGGUAAUUAUCUCUAUCUAAAAUUGAAAAAGAAAAAAUAAAAAAAAUAAACUUAAUUCCUAUCUAUAUGUGUUGCAUUAAUUUCACCAAGUAGGAAAAGAUUCGACCUUGAACGUUGUUAUCUCUAGAAAAAUGUUGUUAUUUGUUAGUUUUUAUAAUAUAAAUAUAUUGCAUCUCAAUGUUUGAUAUUAGAAAAAUAUAAAAUUUUAUCAUAUGUAGUAUUUUUUAUAAUCUUUCUAUAAUUUACAUUUUAAUACUAUUUUUUUUAUUAAAUGAUAUUAUAAAUUGAAUUUAUUUAUUUAGCACGUGCAAAACUUGUGCAUAUGAUAUAAUUUUUUUUUUCUUGCAUGUUGAUUGAUAAUUAAAAUAUUUGCUUUUUAUCAAUGUUUUCAGAACCGGACUGGUGAUUGAACCGGAAAAGUUACCGGUUCACGGUUCACUAGUCGAACCGGCGGUCGAACCACGGUCGAACCAGUGAUGUCAUAAAUAUAUAAUUUAUAUAUUAUUAAAAUUAAAAAUAAUUAUAAAAAUUUUAAAAUAUAUAUGAAUAAAUUAAACAUCAAUAAUAUUAUUUUAUAUCUUUGAUAUUAUCAAAUUAAAUCAUAUUAAUAUUUUAAAUUUUAUCAAAUGAAAUAUGUAUAAUAUUUAAAUGUGAAUAUAUAAAAAAUGAAAAUUUAAACUAAUUUCAUAAUUUUUAAAAAUAUUAUAUUAUUUUUAUUUAAUAUUAUAAAAAAAUUUUAAAAUUUAAUAUAUAUUGUUUUGUUUGGCAUAUUAGAUAUCAAAAUGCAUGUAGUCGAGUGGUGUCCUAGGUAGACUACAACCGAGGUGGUCCAAGGUUCAAACCGAGAUUUGUUAUGUUUUUUUUAUAUUUAGCAAUCCCACAUCGGAAAAUAAGAGGAAUAAGGAGUCAAAUGACUCCUAUAAAAGCCAUCCUCGGCAAGGGCAUUUCAUAAUCUUGUGGGCUCAAGACUCAGCCCAUAGUGAUUAAAGUGGGUGUAUGGGCUCUGUCAUAUGACAUGCCCAACAUGGGCUUUAGUAAAAACCAUUUAAAUUCUAUGGAAUCCCUUCUUCCAUGCUUACAAAAUGAGGGGUAAUUUGAAUCAUUCGAUUCGUUUAGAACCAUCCGGUUCCACCGGGUUACCGGUUCGACCACUGGUUUAGGCGAUUCGUGGCCGGUCCAAUACCCAAGUGGUUAAAAAGGGUAAAUCGGACCGAAAAUGCAACCGAUUGAGGGUUGAACUGGUUGGACUGGCCGGUCCGGUCUGGUUUUUAAAACAUUGAUUUUUAUAUGUUUAUAAUAUUUAAUUUUUGUUGUAACUCAUUGUAGACCCCCUCCCGGGGAGGAGGAGUUUUUGGCCAUUUUUAUUUUACUAUCAUGAUUACUCUUCUGACCACCCCGGGAAUUAGGCUGAUGGGGGCAGCCAGAUUAGACGGAAUGCAAAGAGUAGGUGAGGGUUGGGAAUAAAAAGAGCGGGAAAAGGAAAGAGCUAAGAGAAGGGAUUUUUUUUUUAGAGAAAGGGCAGAACGAGAGGGCUGAUGGGGGGCGUCUGAAAUUUUUUUUGGGUCCGAAGCUGGGGAGAAACACGGGCCUGCAGGCUGGGAAGAGAGCUGGGGCAUCUGCAAUUUUUUUGGGUCCGAAGCUAGGGAGAAAAAUGGAGGAUGGCUCGAGGAGAAGAGGUUUGAAGAAGUGACAAAAGAGAGAUUUGUGAGAGAGUAGAAAUGGGCGUCUCAAGCUGAGUUGAGGAGGAGUUUGAAGCUUCGGUCCAGGUAAGAUUUCUGCAUGUUUUACAUACCUCACUUCAGUUUGCUUUAUUCUAUUUCUUGUUAAUUUCGGUUCCUGCUUGGUGCUUAUUAUAUGGAUAGCGAGACAUAUGAUGCGUUAGAGAGCGUGUGUAUUGGAUUGAGAUCAAUUAAAGGGGUGGAAAAGAUGUCCAAUUAUAUGAUCAGUAGUGGGUUUGGUCCGGAUGAGUAUUUGGGGAACAAGUUCUUGUUGAUGCAAGUAAAAUACGGGAUGAGGAUUGAUGCACACGGACUGUUUGAUGAAAUGCCAAUAAAGAAUAUUUUAUAGUUUUUUUAACACCCCUACACAUGAUUCUCCCAUUCAUAUCAUAUUUGCUUCAAAUCCCGGAAGCGACCCCCACUAGCGACGUUGAGCCGAAGCUCCUCGCCGUCGGCGACGAGGAGAAUGACAGGCUGCAAGCUUGCAUGGGGAGGUGCCUACAGCUGCUAUUGGUCUUGGAGGUUUGGGCCACCAUGCUAGUGGAUUUGGGCCUGAGAUGAAGCCCCAAACCCAAAUAUGAUGGUGAAAAGGCUUGGGUCCUUUUGCUAAUGGAUGUGGGCUUGGGAUGAAGCCCAAAUCCAAGCUUGAUGAUGGAAGGCCCCCAUGAUUUGUCCAUCCACUUUAAGAUCGGCCCAUACUCAUUUCAAGCUGGCCCAUCUGGUUGUUUCCACCUUAUAUAGUUCACUUUCUCUAAAUCACUCAUUUCUCAAUAAACUCUCUAAUUUCUAAUUUCCAAGCCCAACUUACAAAAAUUCAAUCUUCAAAUGAAACUUCAAAAUUCAGAUUUUUAACAUUUAAUUCCAAUUUCCGAAUUCUCAUAUUCCCAUUAAUUUAUUUGAUCAUUAGUAUUUCAUUUAUUUAUUUCAAAGCUUCAUUCUAAAUCAAAUUCUUCUAAAACUUCUGAUUACCGAAUUAAAUUUCAAAAAUUCCAAUAUUCACAUUAAUCUAUUUAAUUAUUAUUAUUUUAUUUAUUUAUUCUAAAAUUCCAUUUUAAACAAUUCAUUAAAAUUUCCACUUCCGAUUUUAAUUUCUAAUUCCAAAAAUUCCAACAUUCACAUUAAUCUAUUUAAUUAUUAUUAUUUUAUUUAUUUAUUCUAAAAUUCCAUUUUAAACAAUUCAUUAAAAUUUCCACUUCCGAUUUAAUUUCUAAUUCCAAAAUUCCAAAAUUCACAUUAAUCUAUUUAAUUAUUAUUAUUUUAGUUAUUUAUUUUGAAAUUCCAUUUUAAACAAUUCUUCAAAUUUCCAAUUUCUGAACUUAAUUUUCGAUUUCCAAAACUCUAAUUUUUUUCAAAUUUAAUAUCCAAAAUUCAAAUUCUUAAAUUUAAUUUUUCAAGAUUCCAAUCUUUAAAUAAUUUUCGAGACUCUAAUUUCCAAAUAAAUCUCAAAAAUCCAGUUUUCUCUCGAAUAGCUUUAAUUCCACUCCGAUUUUUAAAUAAUGUUCUAUUUUUUUUUUAUUUUUACACAAGCAAGAAUGAUGAGUCUUCAUAAUUCCGAAAUAAUGGGAUUCGCGAGAUUAAUUCAAGCAAGAUCAAUCGGGCUUUGGUGGGGGCCCCACAUAUGUGAUUUUAUGACUGACUGAUUGAUUAAUUGAUUUAUUUACCAUGCUUGUUUGAUUUAUUCUGUUCGUUGACAUGCGCAUAAUUUUAUCUAUUCGUCAUUCACUAAUCCUGUUUCAUGAUAGCACAUUCGUGACUGGAGGACCAGGUACGCAUCCACUCAUAUUUUGUUCAUUCUUUAUACAUGCUCUGCUUCCCACGUCGUGCAUGAUUAAGGUGAGUAUCCAUUGACUUUCUCAUUGGUUGCCACGUCAGCUUCAUUCUAUUAGUAGAGACCCGAUUUCAUGGACUUAGAGGGGUGCUACGGUUCAUACCAUACCUUCCCGAUAAGUAACCUGACCCCCGAGCCCGAUCCGGUUUUUUAUAGACCACCUUUUCCAGAAUAAGGAGUCACACUUAGGGUUUUUCUUAUUUUGUUUAUCCUUUUUUAAAAAUAAAACAAAAAUAAGUGGCGACUCCAAGUCAGAUUUUUAAUGAAUAAAAAUCAUUUUUUUAAAAUAAAAAUCGAGUUCGCCAUCGAGUGGGAAACGCAUUGAGCCAAAAUGCGAGGUCCACACUCAUAAAAAAUUAUAAUUGAAAUAUCAAAAUUUUAAUAUUUGUUACUUUAUAUAACAUAAAAAUUAUGACAAAUUAAUACAUAUGUAGAGUACUAAAAUAUCCCUUAAAAUUCAUAAACUUUACACACAUGUAAUGAAUAUGCAUUAUAGGUGCAACCCAUAUGCGUGCAAUGUCCGUAUAACCCAUAUGCAAUGUACAAUAUAACUAAUAUAGAAAAUAGUAUAUCAUGAAAGAAUAAUAAUAGAAAAAACUAAAAAAAUCUAGACUUGAUAAGAAAAUGAAUCAACAAGACAAACAUAUCAUUAAAUGGAAGCUUCUUAUCCAUUGGAUGUUUAAUUUUAAAACUUUCAACUAUUUAUAAGUUUUUUAACUUUUAUUUUAUUUUACUUUUAAAUUAGGAUUCAUAUUUUAUUUUAUAUCUUGUAUUUGACAUUUUAAUAUUACAUUUAUAUUUUAACAUUAUAUACUUAACUAUUAAGUUUAUAGUUUAUAUAUAUAUAUAUAUACAAAGAUAUUUCAUAUGAAAAUAGUUUUAUGGCUCAAAAAUAUUAUUGUAAAAUAUUUAUAUUCGUUAAUUAUUUAUUGUAUUUUAAUUAUUUAAUUUUUUUUUAGUAUUUUAAAUGUUAUGAGUCUACUUCAUCUUAUAUUUUAAUUUAUGACAAUUUUAAUUUUAAAUAUUUCAUUUGAGAAUAUGGAAGCUAAUCAAGUAGAGGUGUUGCAUUGAAAAAUUGAUGGGAUCAAUCCAUCUAUCAUAGAUGCAGUUUCAGGUCACAAUGAUCCUCCAUUCAUAGUGAUUAUGUUGGGCAACAACUCUAUCAUAAUUGAUAUAUCUAUUGUUUUCAGUAUAUAAUUUAUGGAGUUGGACAUGUGUUAUUCCAAAACAAAAAACAAAAAACAAAAAUUUAUAUAAAUAACUUGAAGCCAAGGUUAAGGGUUGUGAUUGCACCAUAAGAAAGAAGAAGCAAUAUAAGAGUUGAUGACGACAUUAUAUUUCAUUUAUGUACAUUUUCUACUAGUGCCUAUAAAGUAAUUAAUUACUUAGAUGUUCCUUCUUGACCUUUGUUUACAUCUCAAAAUUAUAUUCUUGUUGUCAAUUAGCACCUAAGUGCAAAGACUUUAAAUUGAUAAUACUUUAAAAGUAUCCUAAUAGUCAAUCCCAAAGAAAGUGACGGAGAAAUCAGUUUAAAAAAGAGAUAAAAUGCAAGUAUUAGAGGUUAAUUAAUAAGUUGGGAUAUAAUCAAAUUGAGUAGGUGAAGUAUAAACUAUUGUAGAAUUCAUUUUAACCAUUUCCUUCUAUAUUUAAAACAUAUCAAAAUCAAAAUCAAAUACAUAUGUAGCCAAAUAAACAAUUUCUACCAACAUAUAAAAUGUCAUUUUAAUUCAUGCACGAACGAAAGGUAAACCCUACUUGUAAGCUAACUUAUUGAAUUCAAAAAAGCAAAGAAGUGUUUUGAGAGAGAAACGAAGAACAACAGUGCAAAGAAGAAUAGAAAGAGAAAAAAAUGUCUAAAAUAUAUAUCUUAUUUCUGUCUUUUUUUUUUUUUUUUUGCAUAUAUUUAUAUAUGAGAGAGUAUAACUAAAUUUUUUUUGUUGUAACUACAUUUGGUGUAUAUGGACCUACUUUUGUUUUGAGCUUGUGAGUUGGUGCUUUACAUGUGAGGCUAAGGGAUGCUUCUAGAAUUAUUCUCAACACUUCCCCGCAAGCAUAACUGCCAGUCACACACAAUAACCUUGGACCUCAGAAUUUCAAAUAAUUUUGUGUAACUGAUUUUGUGAGCAUAUCAACAAUCUGAUCUACAAUGGGUACAAACCUCACUUCAAACUCUUUCCGACCCACCUUCUCCCGUAUGAAGUGUACAUCAAUCUCCAUAUGUCUCGUUCAAGAAUGAUAUACAGGAUUAUCAACCAAAAUUGUUACUCCAAGAUUGUCACACUAGACAACUGCACUUUGUGGUAGUGAUAUGCUCAACUCACUUGAUAGGGAUUGCAACCAAGUUAUGUUUGCUACUACUUGAGCUAAAGCUUUAUAUUCAAACUCAGUGCUUGAAUGAGUCACAACUCUUUUUUUUUUUUUUUUUUUUAAACCCAUAAAAUCAUAUUGCCACAAAAAAAAAAAAAAAAAAAGUAUGUAGUAGCCACCAAUGGAAUAUCACUCAUCGGUAUCACUCUCCCAAUCAACAUUUGAAUAGGCAAUGAGAUCAAAAGAAGUUGGGCAAAAAAAAAAAAACCAAAGGUGGAAGUGCCUUUUAGAUAACACAAUACACGCAUGCAAGCUUGUCAAUCAAAUAGAGUAGAUUGUUAUAGAUAUUGAUUGACUAUAUUGACAAUAUAAGAAAGUUGUGAUUAUGAUAUAUUAGAGAGCAUUGAUGGUACUACAAUAAAGAGUAGGAUUAUCAAAAGGAGCAUUGUCUAUAUAACUCAAUUUCCUUCUUAGGUUGCUAGAGUAAGAGCAAGCUUGCCACCAAACAUUUUGCUACAUUACAACAAAUCAUGGAUGUAACAAAACUGACAUAAGUGAAGGCCAGAUGAUGUCCAAAGAGCUUAUAUACCAAGAAAAAAAAUAUAAGGAGCCAAGUCGCUUCAAAGAAAUUAAAUUGUUGAUGCAAAUGAUCAAUGAGAGUGUUAAUGACAAAGGGAUGACUGCUAGUGACAAGGAUGUCAUAUGUUGGAUAUUUUGGUAAUUAUGGGCCUACUUAUUAACACAUUAUACAUUAAAUUAUCUUGUUUUUGGGUCUAAUUAAAUGCAAUCAAUUAAGUUGAUGAUGGGCCUUUAAAGCAUCUCUAUAUAUAUAAACUAUAUGGGCUUUGCAAUGUGUAGAGACCAAUUUUAUUUUAUUUAUUAAUGAUGGGCCGAUAAAUAAAAUAAAAUAAUAAAGGGUAUAAAUAGGGUUAUGGUCCCCAGUUUAAACGAGGAUAUAAAAAAAAUUAUUUGUUAUUCACAUCUCAUCAAUGAGUGAUUUGAGGCUACAAUACUCGUUUCAAACAUAGAAGACAAGACCCAAGUACAUAAUCUCAAUGGAUUCAAGUAUGUCUUUCGAUAUUAUUAUCCCAUAGAUUUAACAUGAGAUUUUGAUGUAUCUAUUGUCUAAAUGAUUAGUUUCUAUAAUCAUUCUAUAUGAUUUGUGAUUCUCCAACAUCAUCAACCUAAAGAAGAAACAAAAUCAACAUGGAGCCCUUGUGAAGAAUGAACAAGGAUGUGUUAGCUUGGGAAUUCCAAAAACCAAAAUGGAGGAGACAAUUCCUCAAUCGUUCAUAGCAAGCACAAGGGGCCUAGUCAAGGCCAUAUAAGGCUUUUCGAAGCUGACAAACAUGGGUGGGCUUGGUGACAUCAACAAACCGCUUCAAUUGUUUCAUAGACAUAUUCAUGGAGCCAUCUACGAAGGAAAGCAUUGUUAACAUUUAAUUGUUGGAUGUCCUAGCCAUGAGUAACAACAAGACUUAAGAUAAUGCAAAUGGUAGAAAGAUUGAUGAUAGGAACAAAAGUGGCAGAGAAGUCAACCCCAAGUGUUUGAUGAAACCUCUUAGCCAUAAGCUUGACCUUAUAGUGCUAAAUAGAACCAUUCGAAUUAAGUUUCAACUUAAAAACCCACUUAUCCCCAAUGACUUUCAUUUGAGGUGAGCAAAGAACAAGAGACCAAAUUUGGUUCUGAGUUAAGAUAUCAAAUUUUGACACCAUCCAAAUUAAGUUACAACUUAAAAACCCACUUACUCCCAAUAACUUUCAUCUGAGGUGAGCAAGGAAUGAGAGACCAAGUUUGGUUUUGAGUUAAGGUAUUAAAUUUUGACUACAUAACUUGUUUCCAUAGAGGAUGAGAUAAAGUUUCGACAAUAGAAGAGGGUUUAAGUGAAUGGGAAGAAGUAGGAAGGGUAGUGAGAAAGGAAAGUUUAGGUUUGAAUAUGCCUGACUUGGAAUGUGUUUGCAUAUGAUGGGAAACAGAUUAAAGAUACGAUGACACAAGGGAUAAAGGAAGAGAGAGAGAGAGAGAGGUCGUAGUAGAGAAUGGGGUGGGAGAAUGAAGAGUUGGGCUAGUAGAUACAUGGUAAGUAGGGAUGCAAAGUGAAGAAACAAUGGGAACUUGGGAAACCUAGUAUGCACCAUGAUCAAUCAAGAAAAAGCUUGGAGAGGAAGACAAGAGGGAGACCUAAGAGAAGUGUGUGAGGUAGGCGAGGAAAAAAUAGUAGACACAUUGAUAUGAUGAUGUUGAAACUUAAAAUUAUAGGGAAAAGGGAAAUUAGUUUCAUUAAACACAAUAUAAGUAAUAUAAGCUUGACCAAAAGAAUCAUGACAUUUAUACCUCUUGUGGACAUCACUAUACCCAAUGAAAACACAUUUUUUAGUGUGAAAAGAAAACUUAUGGGUGUCAUAAGCAUGAAGGUUGGGAAAACAAGUGUAACCAAAGCUUUUAAGGAAAACAUAAUCAGGAAGGGUGCCAAAGAGUUUAUGAUAUGGAGAAGAGAUAUGGAGGACAGGUGUGAGUAACCUAUUGAUGAGAAAUGUGGCAGUAUGAAAGGCUUUCCACCAUAAAUGGAGAGGUAAUUAUGCUUGUGCUAAUAAGGUGAGACCAUACUUAAAUACAUGUCGAGGUUUGUGCUCAACACGACCAUGUUGUUGGUGCACAUGGAGGCGAGGAUGACGAAAAUGAAUUCCAUGUUUGAGAAGAAUAGGAAGAAAAGGUAUGCACUCCCAACCUCAAUCAGAUUGAGAGGCUUCAAUAGACAACUUGGACUAUUUUUCAACAAUCACUUUGAAGAUAAGAAAGAUAUUAAGGGCAUUAGAUUUAGCUUUUAAAGGAUAAAUCCAGGUAAACCAAGUAUAUUCAUCAAUAAAAUAAAUAUAAUAGAAGAAACCAAUACUGGACUUGACAGGAAAAAGCCCUCACAUAUCAAUAUGAAUCAACUGAAAAGGUGUCAUUUUGGUUGGAGUUAGGAUUAAAAAAAAAACAUAAUUUUUUCCAAACUAAUAAGAAUCACAAAAACUUGGAGAUAAGUUUCCAUUAUACAAAAAAAAAAAAAAAAAAAAAGGCAUUACAAGACAUCAAAACAAACUUGAGUACAUGUAGAGAUGAGUUACCCAACCUUUGGUGUCAGACAUCAAGUUGAUUAUAUCUAACAAACUUUAAAAUUGGACAAUAUUAGAGCAACAACUCUAGUUGAGAAUCUCGUUUAUCAUUCUCAAACAAAACAUAUAAAGAUUGAUGUACACUUCAUAUGGGAGACGGUGGUUUAAAAAGAACUUAAAGCGAGGUCUGUACCCACUAUUGAUCAGAUGUUAAUGUGGUUACAAAAUCAAUUUUAUAAAAUAGAUUUGAAAUACUAAGUUCUAAGCUUACCAUGUGUGACUGACAAUUGCGCUUAUAGGGGGUGUUAAGAAUAAUUCUAGAAGCAUCUCUUAGCCUCACAUGUAAAGCACUAGCUGAUCACCAACUCAAGACAAAAACAGAUCCUUAUACGCUAAAUGCAGUUACAACAUAAAGAAUUUGAUUGUAUGUUCUCAUAUAUAAAUAUAUAUAUAUAUAUAUAUAUAUAUAAUGCAUUAUAGGCAUUUUUUUUCUCUUUGUUUUUCUCUACACUAUUAUUCUUUGUUUCUUUCUCAAAACAUGUCUUUGUUUUUUUGAAUUCAUUCAUGGUAUCAGAGCUCUUGUCCUUCACAAAGCAAUGAUUCUGGUGAAACUCAACAUAAACAUUAUUAUCUACAGUGAACUUGAAAAUGCUUAAAAGAUUUUUAGUAAUUUUUGGAGAAUGUAAAAUAUUUCAAAGAUGCAAGGUUUUGAGAAAAGAAAGUAAAGAAGAAUAACCAAUAUUUUGAAUGCAUAAACCUUGACCAUUGCCUAUAGUAACCUUGUCAUGACCAUGAUAAUCAAAUUUAAAGCUCAAGUUGUCUUGAUUACUAGUCACAUGGGUUGAUGCACCAUUAUCAAAGUACCAAGAUGGAUUUGUUACUAUAUUUGGAAGGGCAACCAUAACAACUAAGGAAUUACUUUAUGGAGACUGAAAAACUUAAUCAAAUUAGUAGUAACAGUUUAUAACAAUGUGUCCUUGUCAACCACAAACUUGAUAAGUUGGGUAAGAUCCGUUGCUUUUACCACGACCACCAUGCCCUCGACCAAAAUUCUAAAUACCAUGAAGAGUAUUACAACCCCCAGUAUGUGCCCUAUCAUUUCCAUGAAUAUUUCUAGAGCCACGACCACCCUUGUAAGUACCAACUACUGUAAAAUUGGUAAAGACAUUUUGGAGAUCAAUUUGUGUGCAAGAAUUCAACUACUCGAUCCAAGUUUCAUGAUUCUACAACAUUGUACAUACUUUUGGUAAAAUGAAAGUUAUGAUUGUGCUAUAACAUUAAUGACAACUACUAGAUCAUAUUAUGUUCCUACACCAACCAACCCAUUCAUUAUAAGAUCCUCAUCAGUAAGAGAUGUUCCAGAUGCUACUAGAUUAUUUGCAAUGGAUUUGAUUUUGCUAAUAUAAUCAGUUAUUAAGAUAAAGCCUUUUUUGGUUAUCUACAUUUGUAUUUUCAACUAAAGCAACCUUGCCUUGGAAGGUGAGGCAAAGAGAUGCUUCAAAGCUUCCUAGACUUGCUGAGAAGUGAUACAACCUACAAUUUGACCAACAACACCUUCUAACAUUAAGGCAAUCAUCCAGCCAAAGGAUCAACUGAUCAUAUCUUUGCUAGUAAAAAUACUUUGGAUUUAUCAUUUGAUUAAGGCCAAAGAAAUCACCUACAACACUAAUAAACUCAUCCAAGCAAGGUUCCAUUCCAAUAACAAAACCAUCAAUACCAUGAACUUUAAGUACAGGAAGGAUCUAUGACCUCCAAAUAAGGUAAUUACCUCUUUCCAACUUGAUUGAUAGAGUGAAGUUGAGAUUAGAAACAACGGAAAUAAGAUUAAUAAAGUAGAAAAACACCAUUUCUAGAUUUGUAGUUAUGGUUAGAGUUGCAAUAGUGGACAUGAUAGGAGUCAAUCACCAAGUCUCACAUUGCUCUGAUACCAUGAUUGAAUUAAAAAAUAAAUAAAUAAUAGAGAAGUGUUUUGAGAGAGAAACAAAGAGUAAAAAAAAUGCUUAGAAUUCAUCUUUUUUUUUUUUUUUUUUUACAUAUAUUUAUAUAUGAGAGCAUACAAACAAAUUCUUUUUGUUGUAAUUGCAUUUGGCUUAUAUGGAUCUACUCUUAUCUUCAGCUGGUGAGCUUUACAUGUGAGGCUAAGGGAUGCUUCUAGAAUUAUUCUCAACACUAACCAACAGCAUGCUAAAAUUGAUGAAUUGUAACAUUUGAACAUCAUCCAUUUUUAUUGAAAAAAAUGAAGUCCAAAAUUGAUUUCCCAAAAAAAUUAAAUUACACUACAUGGUUUUCGAUUUUUUGAACAUGCUGGAAAAUCAAUAAUACACUUCAUUUUUCUGGAAAAUCCAUGAAUUGAGGUAGGCCAGACCCCAAUUAGUCUACAAAAAACCUCCAUUUGGUUGCUAUGAAAACACAAGAAAAUAUAUUUUCAAAAACUGUACAGAAAAAAAAAAAAAAAAAAGGUUUUGAUAGAGAACCUUCUUCAAUGAAGCUUUUUUAGGUGUAGAGAGGUUUCAGGUGGAAUGAAUUAAGAGAGAUCUCCCAUGUAGUCUUCAUCCUCAUUAUCAUCAUCUUUUGUGGUUAUGUUAUUGAAUGAAAAUAGAGGAUGAAAGUUUCAAAAUGGGCUUGUGGAGUUUCUAUGGUGUGAUUAUCAAUGAGAUUGUGGGAAGCUUUCCUCAAUUGGCUUCGUAGGUGAACUCUUUUGUUUCUCCAAUUGAUUUUUGAUUGGUUACUAGUUUUUGUUUGUUUAAGAAGAAUUUUAUUCUAGGUAGAUUUUUAAUUUUAUUUAUUUUUUAUUUUGAAUUUUAUUUUUCAUUUAAGUGUGUCAUGUAGCCACACCUACAUACAAUUUAAAUAUAAAAUAAUAUAUGAUGUAACAGCUUAAAUAAGUAUUUUUGUCCCUUACUUUUUCAUAUCCUUUUAUCAAUUUCCCAUCAAUUGUGGGUAUUAUAUGGAUGUUGAGCCCAUUAUCAAGCCCAUAUGAAGUGAAAGCAUAAUUCUCCCUAAAGGAUUUAGCUUUUUUUUUUUUUUUUUUUUUGUGUGGGGGGAAUAGCAAUGACCGUGGCCAUUGCUCUACCGUGGAAUUCCAAUAAAGGCAGUCAGUUGUGCAUUUAUUCUUCAAACAACCCUCUUUUACAAUUUUUUGUUUUUUUUUUUAGAAUUUACUAAAAUUGUAAAAAAUUCACCCCACUUUUGAAAUAAAUAUUCAAAAUUCGGUCUUUAAUAUAAAUUUAAAAAUUGCAUCUCAAAAAUUGCGGCUUUAAUACAUAUUUAAAAAUCAUAUUAUAAAUUUGUAUUUGAUACCUUUUAAUCAAUUAAUUCUAAAAUUAACCAUCACAGGUGUAAUGUUAACAUGGGAAAGGAGGGCAAAUAUCUAAAAACAGAUCUAUAUCUGCAGAUGAUAGGUACUCUCAAGCGGUGGAUGGUGUGAACCAACUUAUGAAGCUGCUUCUUCUCAACCAUAGGUCGUUCAUGGCAGCCCCUCUGGGUUCAGUCAGGAGGGCUUUGUUGUCUACGUGUUCUGCCGUCAAAUGGGAAGGUGGCGUUUCCAUGGUUCAGGGAGCUUCCAGAGGAAUUGGCCUUGAGUUUGUGAGCAUUUACUCAUUUUCAUUUUAUGCCCUCCUUUACAUAAUAUUUUAUCACUGAUUUCUAUUUCUUUCUUCAGUUGUAUGAUAAUGUGGCAUUUUCAUUUGCAUAAUAUUGUGGAAAAAUGUGGUUUGUUUCCAGGACUUUCUUGAAGCAUGGUAUGCCUUAUUUGCCUAUGCUUGAUUGGUUGGAAUUGAAAUUUUGUGGCAUUGUUCAGUAAUUACUGAUGGUGUUUUUUUUUUUUUUUUUUUUUUUUUUUUUUUUUUUUUUUUUUUUUUUUUUUUUUUUUGUCUUGGGUGGGUGGGGACUGGGGAGGAAGUCUAAGAUGGUGAAUGAAUACUCCAUUUAGCUUUGCUUAGAGUUUGGGUUCUGGGCAUGAAAAUCUGUCUAUGUAGAGUGGUGUUAUUGUGUUAUCGAUGCACUCUUUUUCUUGAUUUCCUUUUUGAUAUAAACUUUCUAUGAACAUUCUCAUCCAAUCUGAAUACUUAAAUCAGGGAAGACAACCCUAUUUUGGUGAGUUCGAGUAGUCUUAGGUCCAAAAUUCCAGUCGAGUCUUGGGUCAAACUUGGAUAUGUUGGCUUCUUGUCUGACCUGGAACUGACCAAGCUCUGAAUUUCUCACCCUUAUUUCUUAUAUUUCUGAAGAAGUCUAAAAUCUUUUGCUUAUAUAAAUAUUCCUGAAAGUUUGGGGUGAAAAAUUCUCUUCAGAAAUACAGGUUUGGAAGUUGUUUGGUUUUAUUUUGAGGUUCUUGACUCAAGCUAAUUUGUGCUAAUUGCAUGUAAACUAAUAUAUUGUAUAUAAUACAGUCAUAUUAUUGUAAUAUUUAUAUUAUCAUAUAAAAUACAUUGAAAUUUUUGGCUGUAUUCAGUUUCAUUGAUUUUAAAUCAGGCCAGUUCUGGAGAUAGGUUGUUCUCUGAUCAGAGUUUGAGUCCAGACUGUGUCAAGAUUGAAUGCCAAAAUACUGGUUAUGAUUUUAAUAUGUUUGCCAUCAUAAAUGAACAGAUGGUUAUAUGAAUGGUUGAUUUUAUUUAUGCUUUUAGUAUGUUUGCCAUUUUACCAAUUUUUGGCAUUUCUCUAGACAUCAGUUUUCUGUAUAUUCAUUGAAUUUGGGAAACUGCUGAAUUGUGUAAUUCAAAUAUGCUGAAUUUUGGGAACCCUCUAUAUAAGGUGUAUGAUGACUGCUUGCUCAAUGGUGUCAUGCUGUAGUGAUUUUGCAAAUUCAACCACAAGUUCUCUAUUUGAUUAAUGGAGAAUGUACUAGCAUGAGUUGUUAAGGGUGCAAACCUGAAUGGUGCUCAAUUAAUUAGUGCUAUCUUAGUGGCUUUUCUGCUAACUCACUAGAAAGCUCCUACUACAGUUUUUGCCUUCCACAGGUUAUAUUUGGUAGAGGUUGCAGUUCUGGAAACUUUAUGUCCAUUUGGGAUUUGAAAUUUUGUAUCACUGUUAAUGUUGCAUAAUUUUUCAAGAAUAUCUCGUUACCUUCUCUUGUUUACACUUGAGUACCUAGACCUUUAUCAUAUUUUUUCCUGUCAUACUCGUGAGUUUCUUGCCUUCCUAACUGAUGGAAACCAGCUAUAUGUUUGGCUCCCUAAUAAGAAUUCAGUUUAUUAGUUAACAAUAUCCCAGUAAAGGUUUUUAUUUGGUUAUUUUUAUUUGUUAUUUUACCUUUUAUUUCUCAUUGUGCAUUUGUAACUUGUUUUGUGCUAUUUGUAGGUUAAGCAACUCCUGGAGAAAAAUGAGAAAGGGCAUGUUAUUGCCACUUGUCGUAAUCCUGAUGGGGCAACUGCACUUCUUGAUUUAAAAAAUGAGUUUGCUGAACGGCUUAACAUCCUGCAGUUGGAUCUCACCAUUGAAAGCACCAUAGAGGUUAUAUUGAUCUCUCCCUUUUAUCCAGCUAAAACUAAAUUCAACUUAGUAGUCUUUUACCUUGUCAAGAAAACCUUGAUUGGAUUACUGAGGCUACGAAUUCAUUUCUACAUAUUGUUGUGGUUUUCACUUUCUUAAUCCAUGGAUGUCUCAUAGAAAGUUCACAGGCCCUUUUAGCAGCUGAAACGAUGGAGGAUAAUAAUAGAAAACUAGGAGUCUUAUUGCCAUUUAAGAUUUAAAGCUUUUGAGACUACAAAUUUCCAGUUAUUUUUCUUAGUCCUCUUGGGAAUGAAGAGCUUUAAUUUUUGUAUGCUAUAAAUUCAGUUCCUAUUUAUUAACAAAACAUGGUAGUUUUUGACUGCUUCUUAUGGUCUAUUCUCAGCCCUUUGAUAUACCUUCAUAUUUCAGGCAUCAGCAAAUUCUAUAAGAGAGAGAUACGGAUCUCUGAACCUUCUUAUCAAUGCAUCUGGCAUUCUUUCAAUACCUAAUAUUUUGCAACCAGGUAUUCUCAUUGUAUCGUUGCUUAUGCAUAGAUUUUGAACUUAGUAAUGGGCUUCAAUAACAGCCUAUAGUUAUCGAAAGUACAAGGUUCACCAGUAUGGAAGAAUACAAAUUCCAAACAUCCAAAGCAUUCAAGCAUUAGUAAAACAAGAAACAUCUAAUCCUAGAGUCCUAGACACUUUGUUCAACUGUCAUCUUCAUACAGAAAAUCAUCAUUUGUCUUUCCCAUUAUAGGAUUUAUAGCCCUCAUCAUCGUCCUUGUCCUUUCAUCUGAAUCACUUCCUUAUGAUCUAGAUUUAGUGUUGAGGAAGGGGACUGAGAGGUUGUAGCCUUUUCCCAAUGUUGCCCUCAUGGAGCUUAUCUGAUUUGCAUAUCAAAUCUGGCACCCCUGACUUUCAUACUUUUAACCAAUCAUUCGUUGCUUUCACAUAUAUCUUUCAAGGAGACAGAGCAGAUGAUUCUGUGCAUAUUAUAUUGUCUCCCCUGAGGCUUGGUUGUGCUUGAUGGAUGCCAAAUCAAUCAGAAUGACCAUGCAGUAGCAAGUUUCUUCUUUUUCCAUCUCUAUCCCAUGGAAGACUGCUGGUGUUUUUUUAUCUUUCUUCAUCUAGUAGCCAUGUCAAUUCCAAAGAGGUCUUGAGGUGUCAACUCUUCUAUAAUUAUGCCUUGCCUGAAAAUUAGCCAUGUCAAAACCAAUCAUUCAUUGAUCAGUUUUUGAAUGUCCAACAUCAAAGCUGAGCUAUGAGCACACAUGUGAUCCUAGAGAAACACAUGUAGUCCAGUAUAAAUGUAAGGAAUUGGCCUCUUCCAAGGCAAGAUGCAUGGCACGUGGGCUUGCAUUUUCUAUCAAUGUAUAAUCUAAUGCUGAACUAAAAGCUACCUGUUCAAUUAAUAGGGUUUUUUUUUUUUUUUUUUUUUUUUUUUUUUUUUUUUUUUUUUAUUGUAAGUGAAUUUGUUUUCUCUUUUCUUAUUUAUUUAGGAAAAAUAAACUUAUUUUUCUUAAUUUUCCAGUACAGAAACAACACUGAGCAAAGUGCAGAAAUCAUCUUUGCUUCUAGCCUAUGAGGUUAAUGCAGUGGGUCCUAUUUUAGUGAUCAAGGUGCGCUCUCUCAACCUGCGGUUUUCAACUUAUCAUUAAUUCCAAGGAUUCGAGAUGGAUCCAGAUAUUUGUCCUUUAAGAUUCUGCCUGAUUAGGUUGAAAUAGUUUUACUGCAGAAAGUGUUUUAAUUGCAAAAUAUUUAUCAACAGGGUGAUAUUUUUUUUUCAUGUUAUUCUAUGCUUGCAUUCUAUUUAUUUAAUUAUUUUUGGUUCAAUUUUCUGAAGAAAUAUAUAUAUAUAUAUAUAUAUAUAUAUGCCGUGGAGCUUUUACACCAUAUUUACAUUUGUGAAUAGAUGAAAGCAUUGAUAAGGAUGAGCACGUACAUCAUCUUCUCCCUUACCAUUUAGAAUGAGUUUUUGCUAUAAUUCUCUAGCAGAAAAUGAUUUAGCAAGAAAUAUGUGCACGCUAACAAAAAUUAUUUUAUUAUAUUACCAUUGUCACCGGAUAAGGCUGUUCUUCACAGUAAAGUCAUACCAGUUUAAAAAUUAUGUCAACUAUAAAAUAUUUCCUCCUAUCGAAUUCAUACAUUGUUUGGGUACCUUAAAAAUCCAUAAUAUGACUGAAUUGUAAAAUGUGUCCUAGCAGCAUAUGUGGCCUCUUCUAACGGCUGGAGGAGGCUCUGGGACUGAAAGAGAUGUUGCAGUUGUGGCAAACCUAAGUGCUAGAGUGGGAUCUAUAGGAGACAACCGCUUAGGAGGAUGGCAUUCUUAUCGAUCUUCAAAGGCUGCACUUAAUCAAUGUAUGAUAUCUCUUUAAAGAGUUCUUCAGAAUGGACUUAGUAGCUUAAAGGCCUCAAGGAAAGUCCUCUGUUCCUUGUCCACUUCCUUCUAACAGUGAAAUAAAACAUUACAGGCCUAUUAUUGGAUUGUUUUUUGUUUGCUACUACUUUUUCACAAAUUCAUGAUGAUAUUGCUGGAGAAAUUUAUCAGAAUAUCUGUGAUUCUUAUUUCAUAAAAUUAGAUUUUGUUAUUUUCUUUUUCAAAUCUGGGAAUUUGUUUCUUGUUGCUUGAAGAGGAAUUUUGAGUUGGUUACUCUGGAUCUUUUUCUAUAAAGGCAAAUGAAGCAUAUAUGUCCUGGGUCUUCUGAUUGGAAAAUCUAAUAUAUCGAACUUUCAGGAUGAUAAUGAGACUCUUGGAUAAAAUCACCGAUAAACUUUAGGAUACAUAUAUGAGUAGUGCCUAACCCAUUUUCAUGCUGCAUAUAACAUGUAUCAUGUGUGUGUAUAUGGUUGUAAUAUUGUGCAUAUAUGUUUACUUCGACUAGUAACAGAUUGACACCAAUUUUGGUAAGUACUAGAUAGAAUGAAGUGUUCUGCAAUUAAUUUCAAUAGUUAUAAUACAUAUUUGGAUAAUCCUUUUGUCUACUCCUGCUUGCAGUGACAAAAACUAUAUCAGUGGAGUUUGUACGAAAGAAAGAUCCUGUUAUAUGCCUUUUAUUACACCCAGGAACAGUUGACACAGACCUCUCCAGGCCGUUUCAGAGAAAUGUUCCUGAAGGCAAGCUUUUUACCAAAGAGUUCUCAGUGAACAAGCUCUUAAGCAUCAUUAACAAUGCGAAGAGCCAUGACAAUGGCAAGUUCUUUGCCUGGGAUGGUCAGGAAAUCCCUUGGUAAUCUCCAUGAUUGUAUUUUGUAUAAACAAGUACUUGAUCAGUUUCUCACAAGUUCCAAACUUUCCAAUAAGACCCAACAUAUUGAUUAAAUUUCUAUUUAGAUAGAACCAAAGUUUCUUCAAUAAACAUGCCCAUGAACUAUGUGAUUGAUUAAAUUUAUACUCACAUUUUGCAGUGAGGAAAGAUGUAAUUUAAUUAUUGAUUGGUUUGUCACUUUCUUCUGAUGUAAUUCUGAUGAUAGCUAAGUCACUAGGGCAUAGGCUUGUUUAAUUGCUUUGGUGCUGCCUUUAUGCUUUGGUAUAAGUAAAUUGUCUUCUUGAUGUUGUGGAAUGGAUAAAUGGGUUGUGUCUAAUUAGUCUGUCUAUUUACUAAAUGGGCACUUAAAACUGGAAUGAGAUAAUUCCAUUUCACCCUGUGUAUCAUCUGAUUUUAUUUUUCUUCUGCUUAUUUGAGAUAGGCUUUCUCUUGCGAAGGACUUGAAGAAUUGGUAUUUUCUGCUUUGUGUCAUUCUUUAUGUUGACUCCAUUACUUUGCUGAACAAUUCUGAAAGCAAACUGGGCUUUCAGAGACUGAGGCAAGCAAGAUGGGAUUAUGUUGUGUGGUUUGCAAGUUUCCUCAAGAUCAUAUGACUGUUCAUCUUUCAAUUUGGAAUCUGGGUAGUUUAUGUUAGCCAUAACUCAGAAAGAUGAUCCUUCGAGUGAAAGUAUUCAAAUGCUUAUUAACUGAGUGAGCUGUGUAGUUGGCCUGCGACCAAUCACCAGAGAUGUACUAUAAUUAUUUCGCCUUUUUCAAUUACCUUUCACAUUCAUCCUGCUAUCUUCUUGUGCAUCCUCUUUUAGUUUCUUGUUGAACUAGUCAUGAAACGUUACCCUACUUAGAACAUUGUCAAGCAUCAGCAUCAUUUUUCUUGGCAGUUCCAUUGAUAACCCUCCAGUUAGUAGUUAUGGUUCAUCAAUUAACCCUGAGGGGUAGUUCAGUUGGUCCGGCUUUGGGUUUGCUCCCCAAUGGUCACCAGUUCGAGUCCCCUCAGGGCCACUAGAGGUUUACCCGGUCGUUAACUUCAGAACCCCGUGGGAUUAGUCGAGGUGCGCGUAAGCUGACCCGGACAUCCACGGUUAUCAAAAAAAAAAAGUUAUGGUUCAUCAAUUACUUAUGAAGGAUAAGGUCACCACACUUGUUGCCUAACCCUUCAGGCAUGUGUUAUUGUUUUUAACAGCCUUAGAGUGCAUAGCUAGAAAGAACUGUAAAAACAUGGGAGUUGGGCAGUGCUUUGCAAAUUAUUUCUUCGCCCACAACAUAUUUAAUUUUCAGCCCCUUGAAUUUUUCCCGAUUACUAUUAUGAUAUACCACAGUCUCAGUUUCAUGAAUCAUGCCUACUCAUGCAAAAGUUGAAUAUGAUCCCACUGAUAACAGCUUUAGAAAUUAGUAAGGAUGAGUGAUGAAGAUGAUCAAAGACUAAACUGGAACUGAUCCAUUGAAACUGGAUGAAGAUUACAUGAUUGAGACCAAAGCAAGGGUCUCACAUAGGCACCAUGAAACAUGGCUGUAAUCUGUUUUAUUUAACUCAUUCCUUGGUUUCUCUAAGUCACCCCUUCCACUCACAACUUGGAACUCCCAAGUAUUUCAGUGGAUCCUGCAAAACCAAAAAAUUUAUAUCAAUAGCAUAUCCUUUUAGCAUUACUUUUCUUUAAUGGGAUUAUUGUUUGUGUAUCAGAUUCAAAUGUUUCAGAUGGGGGCAUAUCCUAUGUACUUACGUUUCACAGUUGGUGUUCAAGGAGACCGGGAACCCAACUUUGAUGUUGCAAGCUGUGGGAAUCUGGCUCAAGAGCCUGUCCUGAACGCCUGCGAACGCCUUCACACCAUUCUUCAAGCAUCGGCAAAUAUUCUUCUUAUCAUCAACUGUUUUCACAGUUGCAGCAAGCUGUUGAAGUCCAGAGCAGCAUGCCGGCGAUGGCUUUGGCUGCUUGCCAGUAGCAUACCCCACACAUGCGGCUGCCUUCAUGUCAACAGUGCCGCAUGGCACGGUUGCUCCACUAGUGCUGGCUAGGAAGAGGAGGAAGGAGAGGAGGAAGACCAUAGAGAAGAAGGUGUUCUUCAUGGUUAACUGUCAAAGUAACUGUAUUAGCUAACUGAAGAAGCUCUACUCCUUUGGUGUUGGAGGCAGGCAGGUUGAAGAAAAUUGUGUGGAGGAUGAUGGGUUUAUAUAGAGGAUUGGAAGGCUCUGGGACUUUGGAUUAUGUGAAAGUUGAGUCUUCCAAUGCAAUUUUAAGGAUAAGUUGCAGGUGAUUUUAUUGGGCCUGGUGACAGGAAUUGAAUGCUGGUACAAUCUCUUCACCUAAGAAAAGGGAUAGAAGAUAGAAGAGAUGCAUAAACAAUUCUUAAAUCUCCUUGAUGGUAUAUGAGAUACCAUUAGUGGGUUUCUUAAAAACUCCAUCAUUUACUAAAAACAAACCUUUUUUUAUCCAAUUUUUUUCUUUUGAUGGGCAAUCGGCCAUAGCUUUCGAAAACCAAGAAAGAAAUAGUAGCUGUCUUAAAUUUCUGUAGGCUCUCCAUUUAUUGAAAACCAUUUUAUCUUCCAACGGAAACUAAUUUAUUUCAGAGAAGGGAGGGGGUCAUUACAGAUAUCUCUUGGCAUCCUUGUGGUCAAUCAAGGUACAAUUUACCCAGUUAGGUGACUGCAUUUCCUUGUGAAGCUAAGUUGAUUAUAUUGCGAAGUUAAAUAUUUCUGGAAAUGAUUGAAUAGUUGCUUUCUACACUUUACCAUUUCUUUAUGAUCAGUUGGAAUGGAAGACACAGGGAUUGGCAAUCUGAAUAUUCAAAUGCUGUGAAGAACAAAGUGGAAUGAUUUUCCAGCUGGUACUUGAAUGCCCUUGGAAUCAUGCAACUUAAUUAUCAGUUUGCAACCCAAAAAUUUGGAUAAUGUCUUUCUUCGAGGGGAAGACAUGAAGACAAACUUUCUAUUUUUAAGUGAAGCAAAUCAAAUGCCUUAACAGCUUCUGAAUUGAAUAACUAUCGAUUUUAAGCUGAACUUUCUACUUUGACUAGUGGGCAAAAACAACAGAAUUGUGGGUCUAGCUAGCAAUCAGAGGCAGUUUCAACCAUUGAAAUUGAUGUCCUUUUGCCAACCAUGCUUUGGAAGGUUUCAACAGGUGGAGAAUCCAAAGCUUAUGCAGCAGACAUUGUUGGACAAUAUGCAAUUUCCCAAGAAUGAAAAAGAGUUUACAACUCGAGGUCAUAGAAGAAGAGUAAAUCUAUGAUUGUUUUGAUUUUCUAUAAUUUGUAUGCAUACUAGUAACACCGCAAAAACAAUUUUUUUUUUUUUUUAAUAUUGUUUUUUUCAACAAUUCUAUUGUGAUGUAUUAUUCUAUUGGAGAAUUGCUGAGUGAUCAAUGUAUCCAUUAAACUUUCAUCUUUCAGGGUACUUUAAGAUUAAUGUGUAAGACUCAGUCCAGUGAAUUUGCCCAAAACAUCUAUCUGCUGCGUUCAACUGCUUUUCAGAUUUUUCUUGUUGUGGCAUUUGGUAUACGCUCCCUUUCCCAUCCUGCCUGUAUCAAUUUUACAUUGGCUGGUGAGAAUUUACAUUACUUUGUGUCUGAGUUGAGUCAGCCAGCCAUGGACCGUUUCUACCCUACAGAUUUCCUUGAUGAGGAGUCAGACUUUUGGUUCCUAGCAGUACAAAUCUAAAAUCUUUGUUUGUUUAAAUCCACAGCUAUUGAACCAGGCAUGUUUUUUUACUUUUAGCCAAUUUGAGAUACUCUUCCCAACCAAUUAAGGGAAUUUUUAGUGUGUGAGGAUCAAGGUGAUGGUGAUGCUUAGAUGGGAUAUAAGCUUCUGAGUAACUAAGGAUGAAAGGAAUGGAGUUAACAAGAACAUGAAAACAGAUCCAUUAAAGCCAACUGGUAAUUACAUGAUCAAGGACAAAAGUCCCAUAGAACAUUGCCCCUAAUCUGCAGUUUUAUUCAACUUUAAUCAACUACUUCCUACAUCAUUCCAAGAUGAGCACUUGUUCCCCCAAUCUCUGCAUCGAUUCCAUUGCAAUUCAGUGGAUUCUGCAAAAAUUGUUCAAAAUUAAUCAAUCUCAAAUUUAUAUAUACACAACUAAGGAGUCUGCAAGCUAUGUAAUCUAACUUACGCUUCACAGUUGGUGUUCAAGGACACCGGGAACCCGACUUUGAUAUUGCAAACGGCAGGAAUCUGGCUCAAGAACUUGUCCUGAACGCCUGCGAACGCCUUAACACCAUUCUUCAAGCACCGGCAAAUAUUCUUCUUAUCAUCAACUGUUUUCACAGUUCCAGCAAGCUGUUGGAGUCCAGAGCAGCAUGCUGGAGACGGCUUCGGCUCCUUGCCGGUGGCAUACCCCACACAUGCAGCUGCCUUCAUGUCAACAGUGCCGCAUGGCACAGUUGCUUCACUAGUGCUGGCUAGGAAGAAGAUGACAACCAAAGAGAAGAAGAUGUUCUUCAUGGUUAACUGUCAAAGUAACUGUAUCAACUAAAUGAAGAAGCUCUUGGAGUUGGAGGCAGUUGACUUGGUGAAAAUGGGGUUGGGGCUGAUGGGGUUUGUAUAGAUGCCUAUGGGGACCUUGGGUUAUGGGAAGUUUGAGCUUUCCAAUGUUUGGUGGAUAAGUUGCAGAUGAUUUCAUUGAAAUUGAUGAAUGGAAAACAGUGAUCUGGAUUAUAAGAUUUCCCCCCCCUGGUGUCUGAUGUCUUGGAAACUGAAUUUCAGGUCAUUGGGCUUUGGAAAGGUUCUUACUAUCUGGGUUUUAUCCUUCUGGUUUGGAUCAUUCACAGUAAACUUUCAGGUUAUUUCUCAAGUUUCAACCAACACUCAGUAGUAAAAUUUCUAAGACACCAUUGGAGGAGAAGACUGGAUAGCAUUAUACUGUGAACUGAAUCAAGGGACCAUCUCAAAAUGAAAUAAGAAUAAAAGUCACUGUCACACUACCCAUCUGUCAAAUUUUUUAAAAUUUUAAACUUUUAGAUUUUUUUAACUUAUUAUACUGGUAAGAUUGAUUUAUCUUUCUAUGGAAGUGUUACAUUAUAGAUUGCAAUCACACAUGGGCUCAGGUAGCAGUCAUGUUAGCGAGGAUAGAUUAAGGGUUCGAGAAUAAUGAUCAACUGUAUGGACAUUUUGCUUUCAUAUCCCAUUCAGGUAAUAAUGAAUAUAAGAAGGGUUCAAAUAGAAUAACUCUUACUUUAUAUCAUAAAUACACCCCCCAAUAAUCUCUUGGCACCUGUCUAUUUUUUCUUUUUCAUUUUUUUCAAAUAAAAAUUAAAUGUGAAAGGAUAAAAAUAUCCUCUUCUUCUUCAACCCUACACCAACCUGAAACCUUAACUCUCCUUCCCCUUUUUCUUCCCUUUUUUUCCUUCUUUCUUUUCCUUUCCUUCCCCUUCAUCAAGUUCAAUAUUUUCCUUCUUCAAACUUUAUUUUUAAAAUAUUGAGAGAAGGGAUGACCACUAGUAGAAGGGAAGGGAAAGCUGGAGGAAAGGGAAGGACAAGAUAGAAGGAUUACGAUUAGUGUUUGAUGUGAAGGAUACAAGGGCAAAAAUGUAUUUUGAUUUUCAAUUUUAUUUUGGAAAAAAAAAGAAAGAAAAGAAACUGAGGGGGGUGUGGAGAGUGACAAUUUCCCUAAUAUUAUUAUCCAAGAAGUUUUUCAAAUUGACCUUAUUUAAUAGAAAUUCUUAUAGAAUACUAUUAUAGGUUGAAGUAACACUACUUCUAAAAAAAAAAAAUAGGUUGAAGUAACACUGACUAUGCUAGAAUUUAUUAUCAAACUUGGAAAAGCCCAGUUGAUUAGGUUUGCUGUUACAUUUGGGAGAAGAGGCAGCAACCAGUCUAUAGAUAAGGGUCAGCAACAAAGCAGAUAUCAAGUGAAAUUCCUGACCAAAUUGGUAUCAUAGAAAAUCAAGUAAAAUGCAUAAAAAGAUCAGGGAUAUAUAGCAUUGAAGGUGAGGCAAGCUUUCAUACAAAUGAGUGUUCAGAACAUGCAUAGACAGCAGAUCAAAGCAACAUGGAAUAUAAGAGCAAGUACAGAAAUUACAUGUAUAAAAAAUGUCAUAACACUAUACUUACUAUGCUGGAGAGCACAGAUACCAAGCAAUGCAGCAAGUAAGAACAUCGAAAGAAAAAAGAAAAAAAUCAAUUGCAGGGUCUAAACAUGUUAACAUGCUUGCUAAAUCAAAUAUAAGGCAAGGAUAGCAGGCAGACCCUGUAGAACCACAAUAAAAGAUUGCAUUUACUUCAGGGGCAUUUGAAAUUAAAACAUGGGAACACAAUAGUUCUCUAACCAAGGAACAAGUUAACACCAAUAAAAAGCAUGAUGAAUGGAAUCUGCCAAUACCCAGGUUUAGGCAUUGUGUCAAAGCAGCCGCCAUGUACCAUUCAAUCCUGCCCCAAAAGGGCUAAGGUAUUUGAAUUACCUAGCAAGCCUAUGCAAUUUCACUUUCCAAAAUCAUGAAAACUAGCAAUAUGGAUUAUAAAAAGACUACUUCAACCAGUAAGAGCAUUUCCUAAGCCAUCUGCAUGAGGGAAAGCAAACCUACAACAUAGUUUAACGAUAAACAGCAUCAAACAUCAUACAAUUGGUUUCAGAUAAUAAAAUAGCAAGAAAAACAGGGUCCCAGAGUCAUUUUGACCUGGAAAAACCCCUAUAAAUACAGUAGGGAAGAAAAAAAAAAAAUCAGAAAUUACACUAUCAUAGGACUAAGAAAUAGCCAUUCAUACUUUUGUUCCUCAAUGGUAUCAGAGGGUAUAGCAGUUGGCAGCACAAAUAUUGCAAGCCAAGACUACUGCAACUAUGAAUCCUGAGUUACCACUUGAUAGAAUAUAAUGGACCACGUUAAGAAGUACUCUGAGAUGGAGAGCUUCAACUCUUCAAACUCCAAGUCUCCAAGCUGCUGGCCCUGACAGUGAUUUCCAUAGAGAUAUAAAUAUCAAAUAUUAUACUUUGAUUUUAACAUUUCCAACAGUAACAGCUGGAGGCUGCAAUAAUCAACCAAGGUGCUGGAAAGUGAUUUCUUUAACUCUCUUGAAUGACAAGUAGAUGUGAGAUGCAGUCCAUGUCAGUCAAAGAGAUCAUUGUCAAACUCCUACAAAAGUAAAAGGAGAAAUUACUCAUAUAAAACAUAAAGACUUAAAACUUCUUUCAAGAGCAAAUUAUAUAUAUACAGAGAGAGAGAGAGUCACCAAGUAGAACCAGCUCUAAAGAUGCAAACAUCAAGCCAUCCAUAGGUUUGACAGUUUCUAUUUCUCAUUCCAAAAUCUGUCUAUGGAAUUGAAGGGGUAUAGAAGCAUCUGUUGACAAGUUGAAGAACUUAUGGAAUUGAAUGCAACUUCCCUUUGUAUGAGGAACUGAAAGCAGCCCGAAGGAUGAUGCACCUCCAAUUCCUGAACAAGCUUGAACUGAUGGGAAAUUCCUCACAGUUACUAGAGUCAAUCUCCUCAGAGAAAAGACUCAUUGGAUUGUCAAGUUAUUGGGUCUCAACAUCAAGUUCCAACUUAAUAUUUUGCUAAUAAGUUCAGGCCAGAUGGUACCAGACUUUUAACGAACGUAUCUGAGAAUGGUGCAACCUUUUUGAAACCUAAACAUGAAUUAAUUGUUUAGAGUUGAAUCUUGAGCAGGAUUCUUUCUUCAUUCCUCAAGCUUCGAUAAAUUAGAUCAGUCAUCUCUUUUUCCGUGGCUGCAAGAAUUAUGUCAACGAGCUAUCCACUGGAACAAGACAUUCCAUCAUUUACAACUACAACUUCAUCAUCAACCAUCCUACCAUUAUCAUCAACCAUAAAGGCUUGCAUCCCAUUCUUAUGCUCAAUCCAACUAUAACCUGGAUCCUUAACUACCUGAUUGUAACUCAUCAGUUCUCUAACAGCCUUGGCAUCAUCCCAUCUUCCCAGGGAAGAAUAGAUGUUAGCAAGAAGCACAUAAGGAGCAGAGUUUUGGGGAUCCAAGUGAAAGAGCUCCUCUGCUGCUCUUCUUGCUAAGCUCACAUCAGCAUAAACUCUACAAGAACUGAGCAAAACCUCCCAUAUGAUUGGAUCAUAUUUACAUGGCAUCUUAUCUAUAAGAACUUCUGCUUCAUGUAACCGACCAGCUCUGCCUAAAGAGUCAAUGAUGCAGGUAUAAUGAUCUACAAGUGGUUCCACUCCAUGUUCUUGCUGCAUUGAAUUGAAUAUUUUGAUUCCUGUGUCAACCAAUCCAGAAUGGCUACAAGCGGUUAAAACAGCAACAAAUGUUAUGCCAUCAGGUUUCUCACCUGAUCCAAUCAUGUCUUCAUAAAGAAGAACAGCCUCAUCCCCACAUCCGUUCUGUGCAUAACCAUGUAUCAUUUCAUUCCAAGUGACAGUAUUUUUACCAAGCAUCAUGUCAAAAACCCACCGGGCUGCAUCUACAUCACCACAUUUAGAAUACAUAUCAAUCAGAGCACUCCCCACAAAGGCAUCAUUCAUGUAUCCUUCCCUUGCUAUCUGAGAGUGAACCUGUCUGCCUUGAGACAAAGAAGAUAGUUUUGCACAACAACUGAGUACAGUAGCAUAUGAGAAUUGCGAAGGAAACAUCCCCUUUUCUCGCAUCUUCUUGAAGAAAGUAAAAGCUUCCUUGUCUAGAGAAUUGAGCGAGAGACCUGCCAUCAUAGAAUUCCAGCAGACAAUAUCCAGUUCAGCUAUUCUGUCAAAAAUACGCUUUGCCAUCUCGACCUUCCCACACUUUGAAUACAUGCCAAUAAGUCCACUGGCAAGAUAUAUGUCAGUACGAAAGACAGCCUUUUGUGAGACAGCAUGGACCUGUCUUCCACCUUCCAGAAGCAUCAUCCCUGCAAGUGAGCUCAGUAUAAUUGCCAAAGUAGUGCGAUCAGGGUGGACACUUCGAAAUUGCAUUUCCCUGAAAAGUUUUACUGCCUCCUUGUGGUUCUCAUUCUGGGAAUACCCAGAAAGUAUAGUGUUCCAUGAACUCAAGCUUGGGGAUGACAUCCCAUCAAACAUUUGGCGCCCAGCUUCGAUAUCACCAGACUUUAUGCAUGCCACAAGCAUAUUGACAUACGUGAUCUCAUCUGGCUCGAAACCAUGAUACUGCAUUCUCUGCAGGUACUCUAUGGCUUUACUGCUUUGGGAUUUUUGGCCAUACCCAGCUAUCAUAACAUUCCAUGAAACAACACUGACUUCGGGCAUAUUAACAAAAAUCAUCUCAGCACUAUCCAUGUUCCCAUUCUUUGCAUACAUAUCAAGCAAUGAAUUAUUUAAAUGAAGAUCUGAUUCAAAUCCAUGUUUAAUUGUGAGACAGUGCACCUGUUGCCCAUGCACAUCAGAUGAAAGCACAUCAUUUGAGUCAUGAAGACCAAAUUCCCCACAUCCUCCUCUGGAACAAACACCCAAAACGCUUGACAGUGAGACAGAAUCAACAUGAAUUCUAUUUCUUAGCAUCAACCUAAACAGUCUGAAAGCCUCGUUGACUUGAUCACUGUCUGCCAACCCACCCAUCAUCGCUGUAAAAGAGACCUCAUUAGGUUCUGGCACAUCCCCAAAAGCUUGAAUUGCAUCCCCAAUACACCUACACUUAGCAUACAUGCCCAACAACGCAUUACCCACAUAUAUAUUGUUAUCAAGGCCAAUUUUAAUAGAAAUCCCAUGACAUCUCCUACCGCACUCUACAUCAACCAAUGCACCACACGCACUCAAAACACUAGCCAAAGUAAAAUGGGUGGGCACGAAUCCUUCCCGACUCAUCCUGUAAUAAACACCUAAAGCCUUCUGUUCAAACCCAUUUCGAGUUAAGGCACUAAUCAAAGUGUUCCACGAGACAAUAUUCCUUUCGGGCAUUUCUGCGAACAACACAUGAGCAUCUUCUAACUCACUAGCUUUACAAUAAGCACCUAGUAUAGCAUUCCAAGUAUAAAUGUCCCUUUUGGGCAUUUGAUCGAACAGGCGGCGAGAAGCAUCAAUUGCAUUGCAUUUGGCAUAGAAUUCAAUGAGACGAUUGGAGAGGAAGGUAUCGUCAGAGAGACGUGAGCGGAGCAUAUGGGCAUGGAUGAGCUUGCCUGCUAGGUGGGCUUUCUUGUCUAUGCAAGUCUGCAAGAGACUUGCCAAGUAGGUUGUCUUAGUUUCCAUUGUUGGCGCCAAAGAUCUUUUCAAAACAGGGUCAAGACCAAUUUCAAUAGCAAUUCCGUGGUCCACUUUUGGAUCAAAUUAUCCCCACAUCACAUCAACUGGAAAAUUUUAUUCACAAGCUUUCCAGUUCAAACCUUUGAUGAGAUUCUCUUUUUCUCGUCUUUGAAGUCUUUCUUUCUUCGUAACCCCCUCCCUAUGUGUCGAUUGAAACCCACUGCUCUCAGCCAAACUCUUAUUCAAUUCGUUGGUUUUUGAAAGAAAAAAGAGCGGAAAAGAGAAGAAAAGUGAAGGAAAAGGAAUAGGCAAAGAAAGAAAUAUAUAGGCAAAAAAAAAAAAAGGAAAACAUAUUUAAAAAAAAAAAAAAAAAAAAGGAAAACAUAUUUAUUUUUAAUUGUUUUAGGUUAUUUUAAAAAAUAAUUAUAUAAAUACGAAGAACGAUUAAAAAUAAGACAUUGAAUAUAAAAGUUAUUUUUAAAAAGAUUUGAGGUUGUCAAACAAGCUUUUUGUUAUGAAAUAUUAAGGAACAAUUUUUAAAAACUAUUUUUUAGAAUUGUAUUUUAAAACACUUAUCAAAAGGAGUCUAUGUUUGUUUGGUAAGGAUAAAAAUGGGAUAGGUUUCUUUGUACUACCCGUCCUCGUCUCGUCUCUAAUGAAAUGAAUUUGAAAUUUAAAUAAACGGGUUUAGGAUAACUUUAGGAUUUUUUUUUAAAACUCAAGAUGGGUUCGGGACAUGUUUAGGUAUUGCCUUGUCCCGCCUUGCCCUAAUUAUAUAUAAAAUUAAUUUUAAAAAUUAAUUUAAUUUAAUUUUUAUUUUUCUAUUUUUAAUAUAUAGAUGAUGAUGAUAAUAAUAAUAAUAAUAAAAAUAUUUAUCAAUAAAAUAAGUUAUAAAAAAUUAUAAUAAUUUAAUUAUUUAUAAAAUAUAUUUAUUUUAAUGUAAUUAAAAAAAUUAUAAUAAUUUUAAAAUUUUUGAAAAUUUUCAAAAAAUAAUUAAAUGGUAUAUGGCGAGGGUGAGUAUGAGAAUUUCUCAUACUUGCCUUCUCACACCCAGUUUAAUUUUUUAAUGAAAUAUGGAUGAAAAUUAUUUUAAAUAAAUGAGGGGGUUGGGAUGGGAGUUGACUCGUCUCAAACCCACCCCGUUAUCAUUCCUAUUGUUGGAUAACUAUUUUUAAAAAUAAUUGUAAAAAAUAUAAUUUUACCUUGUUUAGUUUUCUAAGGACAAAUGAAAGAAAACUAAAAUCAAUAUAAAAAUAAUCUCUAGCAUUGAUUCUUCAUAAUUAAUAUAAUAAAAUUAUUUAUAAUAUUAAUUUAUAAUUGACAUGAGUUUAAAAUUAGGUGAUUUGACUUAGAUCGACAUUUUAAAACUAAUAUAAUUAAAUUAUUUAUAACAUUAAUUUAUAAUUAAAACGAGUUUAAAAUUAAGUAAUCUGAAGAAAAUUUAAAUGCAAAUAAAAUUUAGCAUAAUCAUUAUUUAUUGGUGAAGUUGAAAUGUUUUCAAAAAUGAAAUUAAGCUAGCACUUGAUUCCUUUAAAAAUAGAUGCAUUUAAAAUGCACACACAUGUAUUAUCAUUUUUCCUAACAUCUAGAGGAGCAUGUAUAAAAUAAAAUACAAACAUGCUAUCCUAAGAAAUGACAAGAAGCAUGCUUGCAAACUAGCAAUGACAAUGACAUAAUCAUAGUGCACAAGUACUUCUUUCCGGUUUAAGUCUCACCUAGAAAAUAUGUUACUUAUUGAGUUUAUUUUACAUGGAUUGUGGGAUCAAUUUCGAAGGAACAUAACAUAUUAACACAAGGUUGAAAAGACAAAUGAAUAGAAAAAGUCCAACCUCAUGCUAGGAAAAAUCUUUUCAGCAAAAAAUUAAACUCAUUAGACUUUAGAUACAAUUCAACUUAUAUUUUUUAAGCAUCAGACUUUAGAUCUUAAUGCUUUUAUAGACAAAUUUAGUUUUUUCUUAAUUACUUCUUUCCACUUUGGCCAAGUAUUUCCACGUCAACAUUCUUGCACAAUUUAUGAUUUAAAAUCUUUAUAAUUCUUUUCAUUUAGAAGGAAGAUGUACUGUCUAUGACAAUAUUAUAUUAUUUGAUAAUGUCUCAUUCUUGAUAUUUAUAGAACUUACAAACAUUUUUUACCUUUUGGGUACCUAUGACUCUUUAAGAGUUAUUGCUAAAUUUAUUCAUCUUGGGGGACUAUCUAUUCAAUUUGUGCAUUUUCAAGGACAACCUAUCCCUCCUCUUCAAGGUCUAUUUAUUUAAUCAAUUUUAUAUUGAUUAGUGCAUUCUCAUCAUUUCUUGGAUGAGCAUGAACUCUUUAAUAAUGUUAAUCUUUGCAUACAUGUACAUUUUCUUGUGGACUUUCCACUUCCACGGAAUGUCUUUUAAGCCGACAUGUUAAUAUCAACUCAUAUUCGUUGAUAAAAUAUUUUAAGAAUUUUCACGUUACAUAUAUAUAUAUAUAUAUAUGAGACAACUUGAGAUUAUUAUAUUAUAUGUAAAGAAGUAAUAAAAAGGAGGUUGAAUAAAAUUCACUAUUUAUGUCAUAUCAUGUUUAGUCAAACAUAAUAUAUGAUAAGUAAAAUGAUAACUUAUCUUAUCCAUUUAAAAAAUAUGAGAAAUGAUAUGUUAUCUUAUAUCUUAUUUCAUAUCAUAUUAUAUCUACUCAAUCAAACACGGGUUUAAGUGAUGUUUAGUAGAGGUUGAAUAGAAUAUAAUAUGAUAUGUAGAUUUUAAGAUAUCAUAUUUGACGUGAUUUAUAUAUUUUAGGAUAUUAUUUCCAAGGAAAUAUGAUAUCUUUUAAUAUUCGAUUCAUUUUUGCAAAUUUAAUUACCCAUUUAACCGUACAUCUCUUAUAUGUGAAAAUUUUCUUCCAAAAUGUUUAGUUCUGAUUUAGAUACACUUGUAGUUUCUAUUUUUAAAAAUAAAAAUUGGUUGUAAAUUCUAUAUGAAGUAUGGUUACUCUUGUAUGAACAUACCUUAUGUUGGAAUCCGUGUAACAAUUAAUGGCGAAAAAUAGAAAAAUGAGAAAGAAGAACACAAAGAUUUAACGUGGUUCGACUAAUUGCCUACGUCCACGGGAACAAGGAAAGAGGAUUUUCACUAUGUUUAAAAUUAGGACUACAUAAAAAGAUAUUUAUACUAACCCUUAUGAAUGAAAUUUCAUAAAUACCCCUAAACCGUACCGCAUGGAGCAUUACCCCCCGCACCCCCCCAAUCUAUCGUUCGCCCCACAAAAAAAAAAAAAGUACAAGCCUGAAUGGCAAAUGCCAUCGCUCGAUUCCAUUCCACUUCGCUUCGCUCCGACAUUUGCCCAUUUUUCUCCAUAUGUCUUUUCGCUCAAAUAUGAGCCAUAUACUACAACACCUUAUGUUCCUAAAAAUUACUUUAAAAUUUAAGGUGGUAAAGAAUUUUUAAUACCUCAAUUUUUUAAAACUAUUAUGUUCUUAAGUUUUAUAUAGGAAUUACUAUUAUUUUUUGCUUUUUAAAAUAAAAAAAUAAAAAAUGUAUCUAAAAGAGACUCUUUGUAAUUAUUUUUUUAAUAAACAAUACUGUAACUAUGCCUAAAAAAAUAUACCUAACUUUUGUUAUGAGCUAAUUUAAUAUAUAUAUUUUCUUUUGGUCACUUUUAAUUAGCUUAGAUACAAUAUGAGAUAAGUUAUAUACUACAUGCUAUAACAUAUCUUAUCUCAUGCAUGGUUGAACAUGAUAUAUGAUAAAUAAUGAGAUAACAUAUUGAUCUUCUCUUUUUAUAUCCUUUUUAGAUGGGAUAUAAUAAUCCUAAGUUUAUCUCUUUUUCUCUCUCUAUGUAUAUAAAUUUUCUUUUUUUAUAUUUUUGUAAUAAUUUUUUUAUUCCACUUAUUUUGCAAAACGUACAAAACAUUUUGAUUAAAAAAAUUAAAAUUUUAUUUUGAAAAAAUAAACAACUAAAUAAUUAUAUUAGAUGUAUAAUACAAUCUAAAAUAAUACUUAUUUAUAAUAUCAGUAUUAUUUAGUAUAAUAUUUAAUAUAUACAAAAUAUUUUUACAUAUUUUAUAACAUAAGAUAAUAUUUUUAUUUAUAAAGUUUAAAUAUUUCAAUCUUGAAUAUCAUCAACAAGGAAAUAAAAAAUUACUCACAAAGUGUUCAUUUGAUACACUAAGGUUUAAAAACAAAAAAUGAUAUUUUUUAUAUUAUAGAAGCUACUAUUAUUUUCUUUUUUUUUUAAUAUAUAUAAAAGUAUGUUCAAACUAUACCUAAAUUAUAAGAUGAUUUUCCAAAAAAAUACUUAAAAUGAGAGAGAUUUCAUUUAUUAUUAGAUAUUGCAAUAUAAUUUUUUUUUAUCUAACCUACCAUCCAAAGAAAAAGAAGAGACAAAUAACUUCCCUUGGUGUUAGUGGUCUUUGAUUGUUUAGGCUUUCUCAUUGUAUUAUUUUUCGAAGAUCCUUGUAAAUGGCCAAUAAAACAUUGCCUAAGGUUUAAAAGUAGUUGGAAUAUUUUCUUAAUAAAUAAUUUUGUUCUUUGUUUAAGGUCACUUCCCUAUGUUGGAUGUACUCUAAUUUUGUCAACUUUAACUUAUUUGAUUCCUACUUUUCAAAAUCCAAAAAACAUUGCUAAUAAGAAACAACAAUGUCUAUUCUCCAAAAUUGAACUGUAUUUUGUCAAAAGUACUAAAAUCAUAUUCUCCUAAUUUCCUACUUUUAGCCAUAUAGAAAUGCUUUAAUACAAAAACCUAAAAUUUAGACUCAAUUUAGGUGUCGCCUCAACCUCAACCUCAACCUGCUCUUUGGCCUUUUAUCCAGCCUACAAGGUAAAAACCUCUGCAACACUGGGUGUAACAGUCUCUAGUUGCCUCUACCUCUGCCUCUUCGUUAGCUCAUCUUCUUUCCCAGCCUGCAACGAUGGUAUCCUUUGCAGUAUCAAUAACACCCUUUAUAGUAGCGAUAGUAGCCUUUGUAGCAGCAGCAACCUCUGUCUGCAGGUGCCUCCUCAUCGUCUCUUUCAUUAAAUGUUUAAGGAACACCCUCCUUUAGGCUAUUGCCUCUUCAGCAACAGCCUAUAACUCCUCGACCAUAGUCCUCUCAACCUAGCGUGCUUCUCCUUAGGCAUUCCAUUUUUGGGUUGGGUUUUUUUUUUUUAAUUUUUUUUUCUCUUUAAUGAAGAAUCUCAUAAAAUAACAAUGUUAACUAAAAACCCAUAGUUUUAAAUAUAGGAUAUAUUUUUUUUGUUUUUUAGAACUAGAUCAAAGUCAAAAGUCUUCUUACAUGAUUUCUUGAUCACUAAGACCAAGUUAACAAAGGUUUUUACAUCUCUAUAAUUCUCUAAAAAUCCCUACACAAAUGCUAUAUACAUGCUAUGUACAAGAGUUCUCAUGAACUUUAUAGAACAUUCCACAACACUCCACUUUCUCCCAUCCAUGUAUGAAGAUGGUGCGAAUGUCUCCAAGCUUCUCUAGAAUUCUCCACACUUUUCCACUAGUAGAGAAGUAUGGGUGACUCCAAGUGGUUUUAAAAGCUUCUUGUUUCUUAUAAAACCUUUAAGUGAGAGAUCAUUUGAGUAGGUUGUAACACUCUCCCCCACCAAUGUAAUAGACAUCUUCAUCUCUCCUUUUGCACAAAAAUCUAAACGUUCCUAAACCACUCAAUCAAAAUUGUGUAAAUGCAUACCCUUUUCGUCUCUACUCAUUCCAUUGCACGUCUUAACCAUGAGAAGGAAACCUAAAUUAAAAGAUUAUUCAAAAUGGUAAAUACUUAUUGUUUAAAAUAAUAGGAAAUUUAGGCUCACAAAAAAUAGGUUGAAAAUGCUCCACAAUGAUGCUAUCACCUAUCUUAGGAAAAAAAAAAGUUCAAUAUACAUCAAAAUACAUAUUGGGACAACUACAUAAAACAAAUUUGAAUUUUGAUUAUCAAUUAAGUCUAAAAGUAAAUCAAUAAAAUAGAGAACUACUAACCCAUAUUUAAAAAAUUCCAUGGUCAAUCGGUUGCUAAGUAAAGGUCCAAAGUGAAAUUGAGAUAAACAUUAAAUACAAGAAUAUUCCAAUACUAAAAAAAAAAAAAAAUCAUAUCAGAAUAAUGUAGUUCAUAUGUACUUGUAAAAAAAAUAAUAAUCUACAAAAUUUAUUAAACCUAAAAUCGUAAUGAAAAUGGGAAGGAUAAUGCAAUUCAAAUGGGCUUCUAUGAAAAUUAAUCAAACUUGAAUAGUAAUAACUAAUGAAAAUGAGAAGGAUAAUGAAGUGUCACAAACUUAGUGUUUUUCCUAAGCUUACUACAACACUUAAACAACCCAUGUCUUUUGAAGUUGCUAAGUCAGGCUUACCCCAAUCUUAACUCACAAUGCUAAGCAAAACUACUUGACUCAAAAUACAAGAUGCAUAAAUGAAGAAACAGUUGAAGAUUGAAAGCUUGUAUUGUAUUAAUACACUUGAAAGCUCUCAAGUGCUUAGUGCCUUGGUCAAAUGAGGCCACCACCUAUUUAUAAGCACCAAGAAAACUCUCUAAAACCUUCAAAGGUUUUUACAUCUCUAGAAUUCUCUAAAAAUCCCUACACAAAUGCUAUAUACAUGCUAUGUACAAGAGUUCUCAUGAACUCUAUAGAACAUUCCACAACACUCCACUUUCUCCCAUCCGUGUAUGGAGAUGGUGUGAAUGUCUCCAAGCUUCUCUAGAAUUCUCCACACUUUUCCACUAGUAAAGAAGUAUGAGUGACUCCAAGUGGUUUUAAAAGCUUCUUGUUUCUUAUAAAACCUUAAAUGAGGAUCAUUUGAGUAGGUUGUAAAACUCUCCCCCACCAAUGUUAUAGACAUCCUCAUCUCUCCUUUUGCACAAAAAUCGAAAUGUUCCUAAAUUAAUUCCUAUCAAUGAAGAGUUGUUAUAAUGCUUGUCGAUGAAAAGUUGCUAAAAGUGCAAUAAAUAUCUCACAAACCCAACAAUCUUCCACCUAAAAACAUUUUUGGAUCCUAACACAGAGGGGUGGGAGCCUCUAAAAGGGUUGGUGACUAGGGACCCCUAAGGCGUAUUUAUAGGCUUUUUGUGGGCUUAAGCGACUUGAACUCAUCUUGGGCUUAGGUUAAUUGAACUAGCCAACUUGGGUCUUAAUUAAUUAAUUAAUUAACUCAAUUAAGCUCCAAUUAAUCAAUUAGUUUAGUUUAAAGAGACCAUUCACAAGCUUCUACGCAACCUUACAUAUUUAGCAAAACACCUUUAUGCACUCAUGUGAAUAAAAACUCAACUAACCAUCAUAAACUAAGUUACCAUGGAAACAAAGCUCGAGUGGAGACCACUAAGACCCAUAGAGAACUCAACUAACCCUCAUAAAGUUUUAAUUCUAUCAUGCCACCAUGCAUUGUAUGUACGUUAUUCAUUUUUUGAUCUAUCAUUUCUUAUUUUUCUUUUAACCAAAGAAGGUCUUCUUAUAGUCAAAACUAGGUCUUCGAUUAUAAACCUUCGCUACAAGUCUAGCCUUAUAAGUUUCAACCUUUUCGUCUAUCCAUUUUUUCCUCUUGUAGACUCAUAUGUCCCCUAUAGGUUUUAUCCCUUCAAGUGGUUCUUCAAGAUCCUAGAUUCUAACUCUACCUCCAUAGUUCUUUGUCAUAGAAAAAUAUCAUUAUUGCUCAGUAAUUCUUGGGAUUAGUCUCAUGUCCCUCUAGAAUAGCCUUAAAAGACUCUUUCAAAUACAUGAACCUAUCUGGUUGUAUAACAACCCUCCCACUACAAGAGACUCUCAUAUACUAGAAUUACUAAGAAUCGUGGGUAUAGAAACCUUUAGAUUCAUAGUCAUUUAUGCUAACGUGGAAGUGUCUUCAAGUGCUCUCCAAUCUAUAUUAUGUUUUUCUUAUUACUUAUCAUAUGGUAUUCUUCCGGAAAUAUGACAUUUGUAUUAACAAAUAUCUUUUGAGCGACUUGACUAUAAAAGUAACGCCCUAUUAUUCUUUUUAGAUAGUUUACAAAAUCACACACCUCAGACCUUGCUUCCAACUUGUUUAUCAUUGACUAUAAAAGUAGCACCCUAUUAUUCUUUUUAGAUAGUCUACAAAAUCACACACCUCAGACCUUGCUUCCAACUUUUUUAUCUUUGGCUUCAACACAUGCGAUAGACACGAGAAUUUUUAAAACCCAAUACACCCUCUCCCUCUUAGAUGUUUUCCUUAUUAAGAUUAGUCUUUAUUUUCUCACUCCUAAAUGUGAAUGUGUCGCAAACUAGGUUAACGACCUAUCCUCAUCUUUGUCAGAGUCAAAAAGACUAACUUGGAAGGCAUUAGAUUAAGUAGGUAAGUUGUAGUCUCCAAGGCAUAUCCAUAAAAGGAUAUAGGAAGUGAUGAAAACUCAUCAUAGAUCUCACUAUGUUUAUUAUUAUUUGAUUUCUUUUUUCUACUACUCCAUUUUAUUAUAGAGUUACUCAACUAGGAUAUAAUCUCAUGCUUCUUAAGGAGAAAAUCAAAUUGGGUGGAUAUAUACUUACCACCUCGAUCAUACUAAAGUACCUUGAUAUGUUUACCUAAUUGGUUUUCUAAUUUUACCUUAAAUUCAAUGAAUUUAUCCAAGGCAUCGGAUUUCCUAUGCAUCAAGUAAAUAUAUCUAAACCUAUCAAGUUAUCAUCUAUAAAGGUGAUAAAGUACUCAUACCCUUCUCAUGGGCUUUAAAAGUCCUAUACAGAUUAGUAUCAACUAACUCCAAACAUUCGUCGACUCUAUAUUCUUUAGCAAUAAAAGGCUUCUUGGUCAUUUUACCUUCUAUGUAGGAUUUGUAGAAUGGAUGAUCCUUUAAAAUCAUAGAGUACAAUAUUCUACACUUACAAAGUCUUUGGAUCCUAUUUAGAUUAAUACGACUUAGACACACACUUCAAAAAAAUAGGUUUUUAAUGAUGAACUUUUAGCCACGACCACAAAUAUCGUGACCAAAGGUAUUAUUUUGUCACGGCCGCAGUAAAAUUGUGACUAUAUGUGUUAAUAAAUCUAGGGUGGGAAAAAAACAUAUUUAGUCACGGUGAUUUUACCAACCAUCACCAAAAGCAUUGAUGAGAGGGUAUUUUAGUGACGGAUUUAUUUGAAACCGUGACUAUUUGUAAAUUUAGGGAGGGAAAUUUUGGCACCAAUAAUUUUAGUCACGGUAAUUUAUAAUUCGUGACAAAAAGUGUAACAAAUGAUGUUUUAGUCACGGUUUUUUAUGAAACCGUCACUAUAUAUAUAUUGUGACUUUUAGUCACACCAUUGAUUAACCGUGACCAAAUGCAUAAAGGUUUAUUUUAAAUAUUUUGAACCUAUGGUCACGGGAUUGACACAAUCGUGACCAAAGUCUAUUAUUUAUUUUAAACCUUUUUGGGUUACCUAUUAUAAUUUUUUAGAAAAUAUUAUAUAUCAUAGAAAUUAUCAUUAAUAGUAAUAAUAAUAGUUCUUAUUAAUUAUAAAAAGUUUAAAGUUAUAUUAUUAUUAUUAUUAUUAUUAUUUUAAGUUAAGAAAGAAAUUAGUGUGUUACCAUAAAAUGUAUUUUUAAAAUUUAUAAUAUAAAUUUAUAAAUACAUUUAAUAUAACAAAUUAUUUUAUAUAUUUUUAAAACUUAUUUUAUUUAUUUUUAUUUGAAUAAAUAAUAAAUUUUGUGGUUAUAUAUCAUGGAAAACUUGAAAAGGGGAAAGGAAAAAUAUAAUAAAGCAAUAAAUAAAUAAAUAAAUAAUUUAAAGUAAUAAACUUUUACCAUAAAAUUUAUUUUUAAAAAUUUUAAAGAUAUAAAGAUUUUUGUUAUAUAUGAAUUUAUAAAUUUGAUUUAUAAUUUUUUUUUUUACCUAUGCAAGUUAAAUUCUUACAUUUUUUUUAUUUUUUGAAUUUUUCAUGUAAUAUAUGUAUACUUUGUAUGCUAUUACUAUUACACAAAUUUUAUAAUAAUUAAUUAAUUAAAUUCAACUUGAAUUGAACUUAACAAUCAAGACAAGUAAAGAGAAAGAAUUUUUAUUUUUUUAUAAAAUAUUUUUUAGAUAUUAAAAAUACUUUUAAACUUCCUAUAAUUACUCCUAAAGAUGACUCUUUAUGGUAAUGUUUUAAUUUUAAAAUAAAUAGUGUAAAAAAAAAUCUUGUUCUAUUAAUAAUAAUAAUAAUAAUAAUAAUAAUAUUAUUAUUAUUAUUAUUAUUGAUUUUAUAGAAUAAGAUUAAUGAGAUAAAUUAUGAUACAUUUAAUAUUAAAACUAUAAUUUAUUUAAUUCAAAUACAUUUAAUAGUGUGAAAUAAAUGAUAUAUAUAUGAUUGUUUUAAUAUUUAUAUUUUUUAUAUUUAAUUAUCAUAUAACUAAUAUAAAAAAGACUUAUUAAAAAAAAUUUAUAUUAAUUUUUAUAUUUUUAUUAAUCAAUUAAAUAUAAUUUAAAAUAAAAUAAUUAGAAUUAUUUUUUUUUUAAUGAUGAACCUUAACAAAUUUAAAUUAAACAUACAUUAUCAAAGAAAUUUAUUGAAGUUUAUUAGAAUUCUACUUUGGUAUCUAUAUGAGGUGUCCUAUAGAAGGAAAAUAAGAAAAGAAUAAGAAGAAAAAUAAGGAAGGAAUAAGAAAAAGUUGAUAUACGAGUGACAAAACAGGAAGGAAAUGCAAAGGAAAUAUAAAAAGAUAAAAAGAUUGAAAAAAAUAUGGUAGGUAAUUAAAAUAGCAUAUUCAUGCAAAAUAAAAUCAAGUUGAACAAUUUUUAUUUUUAUUUUUAAUUUAAUUCUUUAAUGGUUUGUUUGAAAACCAUUUUUAUUUAUUUUAUCUCAAUUAAAUAACACUAAUAAACGUAUUUUAAAAGUAUUUUUGAUAGUAAUUUUAAGAAUGUUUUAUAAUUUUUAUAUAUUUUAUUAUAANNNNNNNNNNNNNNNNNNNNNNNNNNNNNNNNNNNNNNNNNNNNNNNNNNNNNNNNNNNNNNNNNNNNNNNNNNNNNNNNNNNNNNNNNNNNNNNNNNNNAUGGAUGAGCUUGCCUGUUAGGUGGGCUUUUUUGUUUAUGCAAGUCUGCAAGAGACUUGCCAAGUAGGUUGUUUUAGUUUCCAUUGUUGGCGCCAAAGAUUUUUUCAAAACAGGGUCAAGACCAAUUUCAAUAGCAAUUCCGUGGUCCACUUUUGGAUCAAAUUAUCCCCACAUCACAUCAACUGGAAAAUUUUAUUCACAAGCUUUCCAGUUCAAACCUUUGAUGAGAUUUUUUUUUUUUUGUUUUUGAAGUCUUUCUUUUUUGGUAACCCCCUCCCUAUGUGUCGAUUGAAACCCACUGUUUUCAGCCAAAUUUUUAUUCAAUUCGUUGGUUUUUGAAAGAAAAAAGAGCGGAAAAGAGAAGAAAAGUGAAGGAAAAGGAAUAGGCAAAGAAAGAAAUAUAUAGGCAAAAAAAAAAAAAGGAAAACAUAUUUAAAAAAAAAAAAAAAAAAAAGGAAAACAUAUUUAUUUUUAAUUGUUUUAGGUUAUUUUAAAAAAUAAUUAUAUAAAUACGAAGAACGAUUAAAAAUAAGACAUUGAAUAUAAAAGUUAUUUUUAAAAAGAUUUGAGGUUGUCAAACAAGCUUUUUGUUAUGAAAUAUUAAGGAACAAUUUUUAAAAACUAUUUUUUAGAAUUGUAUUUUAAAACACUUAUCAAAAGGAGUCUAUGUUUGUUUGGUAAGNNNNNNNNNNNNNNNNNNNNNNNNNNNNNNNNNNNNNNNNNNNNNNNNNNNNNNNNNNNNNNNNNNNNNNNNNNNNNNNNNNNNNNNNNNNNNNNNNNNNAAGUUUAAAAAAUCACUUUGUAAUAUUAGAAAAUCAGCUACAACUACUUCUCUAAAAAACACUUCAAUUAUUUUUUUAAAUUUUCUAAAUUAUUUUUUAAAAUAUUAUCAAACACAUAUUUUUAGAGCUAUAAACACUUUUUAAAAACACCGGAAAAUGAAUCUCCUUAAACAAUUUCAAGGAAAACCACUUAAAACACUUGGAAUAUAAAUAUUUUUUUAAUGGGUAUAGACUAUAGUUUAUUGAUCAAAUCUUAUCAUUUAGCAAUUUAAUGAAAUUAGAUUAUAAUAAUGAUGAUAGCAUAUUAUAUAAUUGACAAACAUAAGCUUAUUUUAAAAAAUUAUAAAAUAUUUUGAUCAUAUUUUCCAAUUUUUGUUAAAUUAUUUUUAUUUAUUACUUAAAAUUAUUUUUUAUUUUAAAUUAUACUAUUAAAUCAUUUUACCAAACAUAUUUAAUUUACUUGAUAAUUUAAAUUAAAUUAUUAAAUUAUUAAAUUACUUUAAAUUAUUAAAUACUACUUUACCGGUGAAAUUAUACCAUAAGCGUCGUUUUGAUAGUGAAGAGAAAGAGCAACAAACCGACGUCGUUUAAAUGCACACACAAUCUCUUUCUCCAUCUCUCUCUAUGGUUUCGUAGAUGUAGAGCUAUGUUCUCUCAUGGUGGUGUUAAUCGGAGGAAUCUAAUUGAAAACACAGAUUCGUCUGAAAAACCAGAGAAGAAGAGGCCUCAUUUGAACAUUGUGUCAUUCCCCAUGGCCCGAAACUCCAGUGUUUCUCCCCAUAAUCGAAGCGUAAGCCUCCUCCUCCUCCUCCUCCUCCUCCUCCUCUCUCUCUCUCUCUCUGUCUUUUCCUUUUCCCGCUCUUUGUUUUCUUAGGAAACUGUGGACAAGAGAAUAGUGGAAAAUUCUUAUUCUCAUAUUAAUUAAAAAAAAUCGGAGAGCUUAUGGAUGAAACCAAAUGGUUUUAUUAGGUUUCUAUUUGGUUGGCAAGGAAGAUGAGACUCAAAUGGAAGUUCAAUUUUGAUAUCUCAAAACCCCCCGACUAUAAAAAUUACCGAAAUUUCUGUCGACCGAUAAAUAUCGCCGAAAUUUUUCGACAUUUCAAUCCUUGCAUAAGACUACCCAACCAGGUCUGGAAUGAUGAUAAUGGUAUAUAAUUUUUGAAGGAUCCAAAACUGGAGUGAAGCGUAGAGAAACGGAACCCUCGAUUAAGAUCUAUCUUCUCCCUCUAGAAUUUCUACUCAAUUUCCUCAAAGUCAGAUCUCCACAAUUCUCUCUAGCGAGGUAGGGUUCGAUUCUCAUCUCAAUCUCCGUUCACCGUCUUGUUUUCAUUCCAUUUGUCUGGUUUUGUGUGAAUUGUUUCUAAAUCUAUGACUUUUUUCUGUAAGGUUUGAAUUGUUUCCUCGAUUGUUAUGAGUUGCAAUUGUGAUGAAAAUGGAUUUAAAUGCUUAAGCACUAAUGAAUUUGGGAAUUUCCUUCAUAAUUGCCAUAUUGGAAAACCCUCAUUUUGCAUCACAAUUUGGAUGUAAUGCAUAUUGAAAAGAGUAUAUGUGACAGUAUAGUUGGCACCUUGUUGAGUAUCGAUGAUAAAUCAAAGGAUAACUUCAAUAGUCAUCUUGACUUGCAAGCUAUGGGUAUCAGAGAUCAACUUCACCCCAUACAAAGAGGGAAUAGGGUUAUAUUGCCUGCUGCAUGCUAUUCACUAACUUCAAAUGAAAAAAAGGAAUUCUGUAAAUUUUUGAAAGAAAUAAAGGUUCCAGAUGGUUAUGCUUCUAACAUCUCUCGCUGUGUACAAGUGAAUGAAAGAAAGAUAUUUGGGUUGAAGUUUCAUGAUUGUCAUGUUCUCAUGUAACAACUCCUUCCACUUGCAAUUCAAGGAGUUCUACAUAAAAAUGUUUGUGUUGUUAUAGUUGAACUAUGUAGUUUCUUCAAAUAGUUGUGUUCUAAAGUGUUAAAGACUUAUCAAUUAGAGCACCUUGAGAAUGGCAUAAUAGUCACACUUUGCAAAUUAGAAAGAAUAUUUCUUCCAUCAUUCUUUGAUGUUAUGGUGCAUUUACCUAUUCAUCUUGUAAGUUAGGCAAAGGUUGCUAGACCAAUGCAAUAUCGAUGGAUGUAUCCUAUCGAGCGGUAUGUUCUCAUUCAAUUAAUCUUAUGUAUAUUAGGUUUCGUAUAGUUCAUGAAACAAAUCUAUCAUGUUGUGGAAUGACAGGUAUUUACGUACAUUAAAGUCUUAUGUUCGUAAUAAGAGUCGUCCAGAAGGUUCUAUUGCAGAGGGGUACAUAGCAGAAGAAUGUGCAACCUUUUGUUCAAGAUAUUUGCAUGAUGUUGAAACGAAGCAUGACCGUGAAGAAAGAAAUUAUGUCAUUGAAAACAACAUAACAAAUGGUGGAGGGUUAACCAUUUUCAAAUGCAUGGGACGUACAAUAGGAAAGUCAACAUCUCGUGUUCUUAGCACAGAAGAAUGGUCCCAAGCACAUUUAUAUGUGUUGACUAAUUGUGAGGAAGUGACAUCAUUUAUUGAAUAAGACACUUAUUUGAAUAAAACUUUACAUUAAUUCUCAUACAAAAAUUUAAUUUUGGUUUUUGUGAGCAUUAUAAUUAAUUUUUUUUCUUUUUUAUCAGAGAGCAUAAGCAAUCUAUAAGGGUUAAGGCUCGUAUUCGUGCACGAGAUGUAGAUUUGAUUCACAAGAGAAUUCAUUAGUUGGUUUGAAGAAUGUGUAAGUUCAUUCACUACAUAAAUUGUUCUAUUAUCUAAUACACAUGUAUGUAUUAACAUCUUAUAUUUGAAUCUAUAGAUUAUACAAAUGCGACAUGAAGGUCCAAUUUCUGAACACAUACUAUCAUUGUCUCGUGGACCAAGUACAUCAGUUACAUGUUAUAGAGGAUACAUCAUUAAUGGGUUCAGAUUUCACACAAGAGAACAAGAAAAGGGAAAAAAAACUCAAAAUAGUAGAGUUGUUGUGACCACAGAGGUAUCAAGCUUUACAAGUGUAAGAGAUAAGAACCCAAUUCCUGGUCAUGUUUCUUACUAUGGUGUGCUAAUUGAUGUAAUUGAGUUACAUUACCUUGGUGGAAAUAGAGUUAUUUUAUUCAAGUGUGACUGGUGGGAUGUAAUCAAUAGUGGAAAGGGAAUAAAGAAUGAUGAAUAUGGGUUCAUGUGUUUGAAUUUUGAACGUACCAUAUGCACAGAUGAACCAUUUGUGCUUGCAUCUCAAGCAAAACAAGUCUUCUAUGUUCAAAAUUCAAAUGAGGAAAAUUGGCACACCGUUGUAGAGAUACAAACUCAAGGGGUUUAUGAUAUGAAUCAAAAAGUAUCUACUAAUGAUCCAGAGCCAUAUCAACAGCUUAUAAACACUUCAUAGUCAACGUGAUGUGCAUGAGUUGGUCGAGAAUGAUUUAAUCAAUUGGGAUAGAAAUGAUAUUGCAGGAGAAACUAUCCAAACAGAUGUUCUACUAUCACGACAAGAAAACAUUGUUGAAAAAGAUAAUGAAUUCAUUCAUGAUGAUGAUAUAGAUGAUGUGUAGCUAAUAAUAUUGGUAAGUACAUACAUAUAUACUUACUAGAUAUACAAAUUGUAAUUUAUUUCAUAUUAUUUAUGUAACUUAUUUUGUAUAACUUUUUCUAAUUUACUUUAUUAUGUAGAAAAUGUCACAUCGAGGAGGAAGAGUACAAAUAGUGUCUCCAGAAGAUGAGUUGGACAAUCUACAACAACUCUUAGACAUACAACCUGCUGCAACUACUACUCCUAGUAGUUCUGAUCCUUCUAAUUUUUCAGAUCCUUUUGUUGUUGGUAUGAUUAAGAAGAUUAUGUUUAAUUUUACAUAUGAUAAAUGUGUUUACAUAUGUUUAAUUUCUUGAAUGAUACGUUUUUAAUGUUUAAAUUUAUAUAAGAUAAGUAAAUUAUGUUUCUUUUAAUUUCAUUAUUACUCUUAAUAGGUUCAUCUUCUAGCAAAAAGAGGACACGUGGCCAAACACGUAACUUAGAUUUACUUAGUAUGGAACUCGGGGAAAAAAAAAACUACACGAUUCAAUACCAGAGGGCAAGUUGUUUAUGAUGGAAAAGGGGAAAGAUUAUCAAGCUAUAUGGGAACAUUGGUGCGAUCUCAACACAAUGUACCCAUCCAAGUUCAAGAUUGGAAUCAUGUUAGUGAAAAUGUGAAAGAAAAGAUUUGGGCCUUAGUAUUGGUAUAUGCUAGUUACUAUUCAAUCUAAAUAUUAAUGUUAUUGUUUAAAAAUGAUACCUCUUAUUUAUACAUGACAUUUUAAUGCAAUACAGGAAAAAUAUGAAUUAGAAGAAACAUGUAAGAGCUACAUUCUUCAAUGUUGUGGAAAUUUGUUUAGAAGCUAUAGAAAUAAAAUGAAGGCCAAGUAUUAUAACCCUUAUAAUACAGAUGAGGAGAGAUUGUGCCAUCGACCUCCACACUUAUCGGAUGAUGAUUGGAGGUGGCUCAUCCACUUUUGGGGUACACCUGAGGCCAAGGUAAAGAUAAUUAUCUUUUCUUGAUAAUGUAUCUUAUGACACUCAUAUUCACAUAAAAUGAUAUUUAUUAGUUAUGUCUAACCUAAUAAUUCAUGUAUAUAACUUUUAUUAUGUUUCUAUUACCUAUAUAGGUGACUUGCUAUUUUUUUAAUUGAUGUAGGAUAUCUCAAAAAAAAAAAAAAACAAGGCAAAUAGGGCAAAGCACGUGAUAAAGCAUACAUUGAGAUCAAAAAGUUAUACUCAAAUUCGAUAUAUACAGGUUGGAAAUUUAUUAUUAAUAUGAUUUGUUUGUACAUAAAUAACUCAAUUGUUUUACUUGUAAGAAUAGGCACAAAAGAAUGAGGAUUGAAGUGAGCCCAAUAGAAUUGAGAUGUUUGCCCUGACACACACAAGAAAAGAUGGGACGCCUGUUGAUGAUCAUUCUAAGGAGAUUAUGGUAAUGAAAUAAAUAAAUUUUAUAUAUUUGUAUUUCAAUCAUAGCCUCAUACUAAAUUAUUUUAAAAGUCUAACAUUUUUUUUUUGUUUUUUAUAAUUCCAGGAUCAAUUUCAACAAUUACUAUCCCAACCUGAGGGGACAUCUUCUUCUACUUCUGCAUCAUCUGGAGCAUCUACAUCUGUAUCAUCUACAUUUAUAGCAUCUACAUAUGUAGAUGAGAUAUAUACUCAAGUCAUGGGUCCAGAGAAGCAUGGUCGUGUUCGAGGGUAUGGAUUGGGUCCUGUUCCUACCUUAGUCUUUGGUUCUACUAGUAGAAGGCGAUCAGGAGCUAUUCUUUCAACACAACUUGAAAACGCCCAAGAAAUGUUAAUAGUUGUAGAACAAAAGUUUACAAUUGCAACUGAAGAACUCUCAAAUGUGAAAGAUGGACUCUCACAUGUGAAAAAAACAUUUGAAGAGAGAUUGAUAGAAGUUCAAAGGAAGACACGAGAAGAAGUGAAAUAAGAGUUUGAAGAAAAAAUGAUGGAAAUGCAAAGAAAAAUGCAAGCACAAAUGCAAGCACAAAUUCAAGAACAGGUGAUGCAAAUGAUGCAACAAUUUCAGCAAAAGCAAUAGAAAUUUGAAGAUUUUGCUACAUCUUUAUAAGAUAGAGUCUCUUAACUUUUUUGAAGAUUAUGCUACUUAUUUAUAUGAUAGAUUCUCCUAACUUUUUUUGCUUUCUAUGACUAUUAUGUGAUGUUUGGUUGGUUGAUUUGUUAUAUUAUGUUAGAAUGUGAAACUAAAUUUGAAUCUCUUUGUUUUUUGUUUGUUUGGUUUUUUUAUUUAAUGACUUAUAUCGAUAUAUAAGUUUUUAACUAGCUUGGAAUAAUUGAUUGUAAUAUAUUAAAAAACAAUUAAUUGCUUAAUUGCAUAUACAGGUCUAAAAUGGAUUUGUUUGGGUUUAUAACAGGUUUGAGAAUUUUGAAUUUAUAAAAAACCAAUGUCCAAAAUAUAACAAAUUUUAGUCACGACCACUAAAAAAUUGUGACCAUAAGUGUACUUUUAGUCACGAUCAAUAAUGAACCGUCACCAAAAUUUGGGGAUAAGGCGGCCAUCACAUGAUUAAUUUUAGUAGUCGUGACCAUAAGUGGACAUUUUGUCAUAAUAGACCUAAUUAUUAGUCACGGUCACUUAAUUACCGUGACCAUAUACCUAUAUUUAGUCACGAUUAAUGAAUUGCCUUUGACCAUAAGAUUACAUUUAGUCACAAUCAUUUUAUUAACCGUGACUAUAGAUAUACAUUUAGUCACGGUUAGGGCAUUGACCAUGACCAUAAGGUUACAUUUAGUCACAAUCAUUUUAUUAACCGUGACUAUAGACACACAUUUAGUCACGGUUAGGGCAUUGACCGUGACCAUAAGAUUACAUUAAUCCAUUAAGUUUACAUUUGGUCACAGUAACCUACUUGACCAUGACCAUAAGCUUACAUAUAGUCAUGGUUGAUAACUUUACCCGUGACUAUAAGUGUACAUUUAAUCACGUUCAUUAUUUGACCAUGACUAUAGGUUAAACAUAUAGUCACGAUUUAUUACCUGACCGUGACUAAAUCAACUUAAUAAAAAGCAAAGUAUUCUUAACUUUUUGGUCACAGCUUUUGUAUGGCCGUCACAAAAAAGGAAUCAUAUGGUCAUGAUCACUUAGGAAACCAUGACCAAUACCUUUAGCUACGCCUCAUACUGUGACGCUCGAUCACGGUUUCAUAAAACCGCAACAAUAGGUUUUGGUCACAGAUAUAUAAGAUUUGGUGACGGUCCCCGACCAUCACCAAAAAUCCUAUUUCUUGUAGUGACAAGUGUCAAAGUUAUAUUUGAUUGGUUCUAGGUUCCUUUCUUUUAAGUAAUAUAUGAUAAUUCUCAUUAUUUGGCAAAACAGAUAAUGGAGAUUCACGAUAAAGAUUAUCAACCAAUGAUCUUAAGGAUAUAAAUGAGUUAUUCAUUUUAAUAAAAACUUCUUUAUUGUUAAAAAAAACAAUUGAAUAAUUCAAUUUACAUAAAUUAUAAGACAAUUCUUUCUAAACUCAAGAAAAUAAAGAUAAUCUUUAAGUCCUAGAACACAAUUAUCAUCUAAGGGUAACAUCUCUCACUACUACAUAACAAUUCUUACUUCAAAAGCUAGAGCCAAGUACAUCUCCCCAUCAUUCAAACUUCUCCUUAGUCGAAACCAAUGUAAAUAAUUACAAAUAUGGUUAAGUGGCUUUAUAAUAUAUCCAUCAAGAGUUGGUAGAAUUUGCUACUAAACGUGAUUCAACUAAAAGUGAAUGUUGCAUACCUUGUUUUUUCUUUAGGAAUUUUGGCACUCCUUUUUCUAAUGGCAUUUUUUUUUUCACAAAGGAAACACUUGCCCUUCCCUUUACUCUUCUUAUCUCUAGCCUUGAACUUUUCCUUCUAUUUAGUGGUCUCAAUAACAUUCUUCUUACUAGAUAUAAUUUUAAAGGAUAAAUAUGUCAAUUUCAUGAUUUAAAAUAAAUUAUAAGUUAGUUUUAUCAAAUAACCUUAAUACUUAAAGUAAGAAUUAAAUAAUAAGUUUUAAAUUGACAAUUUAAGUAUAAUUUAACUUAAAGUCAACUUAAGUCAUUAAAUAAUAAGUAUUAAGUUUUACCAAACACCUCUUAAAAGUCGUUCUACUUCUUUUUGGUAAUUUAUAGUUAAUAUAUUGUGGACCCCGCAUUUCGGCUCAUGCGUUUCCCACUGGAUGGCGAACUCGAUUUUUAUUUGAAAAAUGAUUUUUUAUUUAUUAGAAGAUGACUUAGAGUCGCCACUUAUUUUUGUUUUAUUUUUAAAGGGUAAACAAAAUAAGAAAGAAAACCCUAAGUGUGACUCCUUGUUUUGGAAAAUGUGGUAUGUGAAAAACCAGAUCGGGUUCGGGGGUCAGGUUACUCAUCGGGAAGGUAUGGUAAAAACCGUAGCACCCCUCUAAGUCCCUAAAGUCGGGUCUCUACUAAUAAAAUGAAGCAAUCAUGGCGAUGGACGAGUAAAUCAAUGAGUACCCAAAUUGAUCAUGCACGUAUGAAAAACAAAACAAACAUAAGGAGUGAUCAUGAUGUAAAGAAAUACGUACCUGGGUGGCAAACCAAUAUACGCUAUCAAGAGGGGGUUAGUGCACAAUUAAGAAAUAAUUUCAAGCAUGUCAUAGAGCAGAAUAAUCAUCUAUCAUGCAUAACAAUUAAAUUAAUUAAUCAAUCAAUCAAUCAAUUAUAACUUCACUUAUGUGGGGCCCCCACCAAAGCCCGUUUAUUUUUUAGUGAAUUAAUUUCGUAAAUUCUAUAAUUAAGAAUUACGAAAAUAAAUUCACACUUAUUUUAAAACAUUUUAAAAAAAAUGAAGAAAAUUUGAAAGUGUCUUUUUGGAAAGAAAAUUGCAGCGAAUUUUUUAUUAAAAAGAUGGAAAAUGCUUGAAAUCAAGAGAAGAUAAUAAUAAUAAUAAUAAAAUAAGAAUAAAAAUAAAAAUAAAAAUAAAAAUAAAUAAAUAAAUAAAAAGAAUAGAAUAAAAAAUAAAAUAAGAAUAAUGCAUGCUUAGUGGAAAAUGGUAGGAAUUGAUUUAUUUAAGAUUGGAUUUAUUUAAAAUCAAGAAAGAAAAAUUAAAGAAUUAAAAUCAUUUGAAAGAAUCUAAAAUUUUGAAAACUAUUUGAAAAUUGGGAUUUGAGGGAUUAUGUAACGCCCAAGUAUUUUUUUAAGGGUAAUUUAGGAAAUUACUAAUAAUAAUUCAAUUAGUUAAUUAAUUAAUUUAAUAAAGUGGAAGAGGGGUAAAAGUGUAAUUUUACGAAUAAAUACCCUAGGUAUAAAUUAGAAAUUCUAUUUCUUCCUGUUCUUUUCUGAAUAGAGUUCCUGUUCGCAGAAUUUCAGAGAACGUAGGUUGGAGUCAGAUUUCAGGGUUAAAGAACAGAUCUCUAUAGGUAAGAUUUUAACCCCUAGUUUAAUAUUUUAGAUUCAUUGAUUAAUUUCAAACACAUUAGAUAUCUUUUGGAAAACCCAAAUCUAGAUUAGGGUUAGUUUAUAUUUUUUUAAUUCGUUUUAAUAUCAAUAGUAAAAAAAAAAAAAUGAUAUCUCCUAUUUGAAAUGAAAAUAUUUGAUCCCUGAACUGCAUUAAUAUUCCUUAUUAGGUUGUGAGCUCAUUCCCAAUUGUUGAAAAUUUUUCAGGUAUCCUUAGUUCGGGUGAGGAGUGAUGGCUAGGCUGAGGAAUGGUCAUCAUUAGGAUUUGACUUAGGAUUUUAUGUUGGAUUUUGUUUAGCUGUUAGUUAUGUUCAUUUGGAUCAUUUGGUAUUUGGAAGUUAUUUGGAUAUUGAUCUUUCAAAUUUUAUGUUAGAUCAAAGUUGAGUGUUGGAGAUUUUGAAAUUUGUUCUAGUACUUGAAUUGUUUAAGUUUGCAAAUAUUUGGACAAUGGAUUUUGGAUAGUGAAUGUUUUAGUUUUGAAAUUGAAUUUUGAGGAUUUUAGAUUUUGUUCCGCUACUUUAAACAGAUAUUUGGUAAUUGGUAACUUCCAAUUACAAGAUAAUUGUUUGGGUCAGGUUACACUGUAAGCCUUCGGGUUUGAGGUGUAAAAUGACUGUCACGCCCUUGGAGUGGGUCUUGGGGCGUGAAAGAGUGGUAUCAGAGCACUAGGUUUUGAUCUUGAUGGGAAUUUGAAUUGGUUUAGAUUGGGAAUAGAUGAGUGACGCAUUUGUUUAAGUUUUAGUUUCAUUUAGUAUAAAUUCCAAUUCUUUCUUUAUUUGUAAAUUUUCUAAUUGGUUCUUUAGUGACUAAUUUGGUUAUGCCUUAUUAUUUUAGGACAUCAUGCCACCAAGAAGAGCAACUUCUUUACAAAACAGUCAGGCUAAUGAUGAUGUACCUCCAGUUGAGGGUUUGCCUCCCGUGAGUGCAGAAGGGAUCCAUAGGUAUCUUAGGACACUAGCUGGUUUAGUUGAACGCCAAGCUCGAGCUGUUAGGACUAAUGUUCAGGGAUAGUCUUCAUCUUCUAGGGGUAGCUCUUUUGAUGACUUCAAGAAAUUGGGUCCUCCUUACUUUUCUGGUGCUACAGAUCCCACAGAGGCAAAGGCUUGGAUCCUUAAGAUGGAGAAAUUCUUUGGUGUCAUAGAUUACUCUGAGGAGUAAAAAGCCUCUUAUGCAGCUUUUAUAUUAGAUAAAGAGGCAGAUCAUUGGUGGCGUAUGACUAGGAGACUUUUGGAGGAUCAGGGACCCAUAACAUGGAGACAAUUUAGGGAGGCUUUCUACAAGAAGUAUUUCCUUGACAGUGUUAGGCGGCAGAAGGUGGGAGAGUUUAUUCGUUUGGAAUAGGGGGAUAUGACUGUGGCUCAGUAUGAGGCCAAAUUUACAGAGUUAUCACGUUUUUCCCCAUAGUUGAUUGCUACAAAGGAGAAAAAGACAUUAAAGUUUCAAGAUGGAUUGAAGCCUUAUUUGAAGAACAAGAUAUCUAUUCUGAAACUUGGUGUCUAUUCAGAGGUUGUUGACAGAGCCCUUAUAGCAGAGAAAGAUAAUGAGGAGCUUCAUCAGUAUAGGGAAUAGCAAAGGAAGCGAAAUAGGAGUGAUGGUGCUCAUGGUAAUCAAGCACAGCAAAGGUCUACAUCAGGAAGAAAUCAGAAUAAAGGGAAGGCAGCGCAGAAUUUAGAUGGGGCUUGUCCUACUUGUGGUAAGAAGCAUGGGGGUAGGCCAUGCUAUAGAGAGACUGGAACUUGCUUUGGUUGUGGGAAGCAAGGACAUUUGAUCAGAGAUUGUCCAGAGAAUAGGAAGUUCAUCACUAGGAAGCCUAAAGAGGAAAAUAAAGAGGAUAAACAGAAACCCAAAGCCCAAGGACGGGUGUUUGCUAUGACUCAUCGAGAUGCUCAGGCCACUUCUGAUGUGGUGACAGGUACUCUCCGAAUCCACACCUUAUUUGCUAGAGUCUUGAUUGAUCCUGGAUCAACACACUCUUUUGUUUCAGUAUCUUUUGCUGGUUUGUUGGGUUUGCCUGUUGCUAGCAUGGACUUUGAUUUGAUUGUUGCUACUCCUGUGGGAGAUUCUGUUGUGGCCAGUAGAAUGCUUAGAAAUUGUAUUAUGAUGAUUGGUUAUAGGAAAAUGCCAAUUGACUUAGUACUCCUUGCCUUCAGGAUUUUGAUGUGAUUUUGGGGAUGGAUUGGUUAGCUUCCUACCAUGCCUCUGUUGACUAUUUUGAGAAAAGGGUGACGUUUAGUAUUCCUGGUCAGCCUAAGUUUAGCUUUGAAGGGAAGCAUGUGGACAAACCAUUGCGUAUGAUCUCAGCCUUGCGAGCUAGUAGCUUGCUCAAGAAGGGUUGCCAAGGAUUUUUGGCUAGUGUGAUGAGUAAUGAAAGUGAUUUGAAGUUGAAAGACAUACCCAUAGUAAGGGAGUAUCCUGAUGUCUUUCCAGAGGAUUUGCCUGGCUUGCCACCAGAGAAAGAGGUGGAGUUCACCAUCGAUCUGGUACCAGGAACAGGUCCUAUGUCUAAGGCCCCAUACAGGAUGGCACCUGUGGAGCUUAAGGAGUUGAAAGUUUAGCUUCAGGAGUUAUUAGACAAGGGUUUUAUCAGGCCUAGUGUUUCACCUUGGGGAGCUCCUAUUCUAUUUGUAAAAAAGAAGGAUGGCUCAAUGAGACUUUGCAUUGACUAUAGGGAAUUGAAUAAGGUGACAGUGAGGAACAAGUAUCCCCUUCCUCGGAUUGAUGAUUUGUUUGAUCAACUACAAGGUCCUUGUGUGUUCUCUAAGAUAGAUCUUCGAUCGGGUUAUCACCAGUUGAGGGUUAGAGGGGAAGAUGUACCCAAGACUGCUUUUCGAACUAGGUAUGGGCACUAUGAAUUUCUUGUUAUGCCUUUUGGUUUGACUAAUGCACCUGCUGCUUUUAUGGACUUGAUGAAUAGGGUAUUCAAACCCUAUUUAGAUCAGUUUGUGGUGGUUUUUAUAGAUGACGUCUUGGUAUACUCAAAAAGUAGAGAGGAGCAUGAGGGUCAUUUGAGUAUUGUAUUACAGACCCUUAGAGAUAAGCAGUUGUAUGCUAAACUGAAGAAGUGUGAGUUUUGGUUAGACCGAAUUUCUUUCCUUGGGCAUGUGGUAAGCAAUGAUGGCAUCUCAGUUGACCCUGGAAAGGUAAAUGUUGUAGCUAAUUGGAGAAGACCUAGUACUAUGACUGAGAUUCGAAGUUUCUUGGGACUUGCUAGUUACUAUAGGCGGUUUAUAGAAGGGUUCUCUAAGAUUGCCCUACCUUUAACUAAGUUGACAUAGAAGGGAGUUAAGUUUGAGUGGUCUGAUGAUUGUGAAUGUAGCUUCCAAGAGUUGAAGAAUAGAUUAGUGUCAGCUCCUAUUUUGACUAUCCCUUCAGGUUCAGGAGAAUUUGUGGUGUAUAGUGAUGCCUUUCAUCAGGGUUUAGGUUGUGUUCUUAUGCAGCAUGGGAGAGUUGUAGCUUAUGUUUCUAGAUAGUUGAAUCCUUAUGAAAGGAACUACCCUACUCAUGAUUUGGAGUUAGCUGCUGUGGUUUUUGCACUUAAGAUUUGGAGACAUUUUCUUUUUGGUGAAACUUGUGAGAUAUUCACAGAUCAUAAGAGUUUGAAGUAUCUAUUUUCCCAAAAGGAGUUGAACAUGAGACAGAGAAGAUGGAUAGAACUACUUAAGGACUAUGAUUGUAUUAUUCAAUAUCAUCCUGGGAAGGCGAAUGUUGUAGCUGAUGCCUUGAGUAGGAAGUCAGUUGGUUCUCUAGCAGCUAUUAGAGGCUGUCAAAGGCAGUUACUUGAAGAGUUAAGGAGUUUACAAGUCCACUUUCGAGUUAUGGGCUUAGGAGCACUUGUAGCAAAUCAGAGUACAACCAGACUUAGUUGGGAGAAUUAAGACCCUACAAAAGAAUGAUUUCCAAUUAGUGCAAGUUAUGGAGGAAGUUAAGAGGGGCAGUAAGUCUGAUUUUGUUUUGUCAGAUGAUGAGAUCUUGAGAUUUGGGACUCGACUUUGUGUCCCAAAUGAUGAAGACUUAAGGAGGGAGCUUUUAGAGGAAGCUCAUUGUUCCAAGUUUGCAAUCCACCCAAGAGGGACAAAGGUGAACAAGGAUUUGAGGCAAAACUAUUGGUGGUCAGGUAUGAAGCGUGAUAUUGCAUAAUUUGUGGCUCAGUGUUUAGUGUGUCAACAGGUGAAGGUUGAGCAUUAGCGACCAGCAGGGUCUUUGCAGCCACUUGCUAUUCCUGAGUGGAAGUGGGAGCAUAUUACCAUGGAUUUUGUGAUAAGAUUGCCAAGAACCUUAGGGGGUAAUAAUGCUAUUUGGGUGAUUGUUGAUUGGUUGACAAAGUCUGCUCACUUUUUGCCUAUGAAAGUCAACUUUUCUUUAGAUCGUUUAGCUUCUCUUUAUGUGAAGGAGAUUGUGAGAAUGCAUGGAGUACUAGUUUCUAUAGUGUCUGACAGAGAUCCUCAUUUCACUUCUAGAUUCUGGCAUAGUCUACAAAAAGCUUUGGGCACUGAGUUGAGUUUUAGUACUGCUUUCCAUCCUCAAACUGAUGGUCAAUCAGAAAGAGUAAUUCAGGUUUUGGAAGACUUGUUGAGAGCUUGUAUUUUGGACCUGCAAGGUAAUUGGGAUGAUCAUUUACCUUUAGUAGAGUUUGCCUAUAACAAUAGUUUUCAAGCUAGCAUUGGGAUGGCACCUUUUGAGGCAUUGUAUGGUAGGAAAUGUUGAUCUCCUAUCUGUUGGAAUGAUGUUGGAGAAAGGAAAAUUUUGGGGCCUGAACUUGUGCAGUUGACUGUUGAAAAAGUUGCUUUGAUUAAAGAAAGAUUAAAAAUAGCUCAAAUUAGACAUAAGAGUUAUGCUGAUAAUCGUAGGCGAGAUUUGGAGUUUGAGGUGGGUGAUCAUGUGUUCUUGAAAGUUUCACUUAUGAAGUCUAUGAUGAGAUUUGGGAGAAAAGGAAAACUUAGUCCUCGUUUUGUGGGUCCGUUUGAAAUAUUAGAAAGAGUAAGCACUUUGGCAUAUAAAGUAGCCUUGCCCCCAAGUCUAUCUAAGAUUCAUAAUGUUUUCCAUGUUUCAACCUUGAGGAAGUAUAUUUAUGAUCCCUCUCAUGUUGUGGAGUUGGAGCCUAUUCAAAUUUCGGAGGACUUGACCUAUGAAGAGGUACCCGUUCAAAUUGUGGAUGUGAUGGAUAAGGUAUUGCGACAUGCUAUUGUCAAGUCGGUAAAGGUCUAAUGGAGCAAUCAUAGUAUCCGAAAGGCCACUUAGGAGUUAGAAGAAGAGAUGAGAAAAAAACAUUCUCAAUUAUUUCAAGACUCAGGUAUGUCAAGUUUAGAGGACUAAACUUUUGUUAAGGAGGGGAGGAUGUAAUGCCCAAGUAUUUUUUUAAGGGUAAUUUAGGAAAUUACUAAUAAUAAUUCAAUUAGUUAAUUAAUUAAUUUAAUAAAGUGGAAGAGAGGUAAAAGUGUAAUUUUACGAAUAAAUACCCUAGGUAUAAAUUAGAAAUUCUAUUUCUUCCUGUUCUUUUCUGAAUAGAGUUCCUGUUCGCAGAAUUUCAGAGAACGUAGGUUGGAGUCAGAUUUCAGGGUUGAAGAACAGAUCUCUAUAGGUAAGAUUUUAACCCCUGGUUUAAUAUUUUAGAUUCAUUGAUUAAUUUCAAACACAUUAGAUAUCUUUUGGAAAACCCAAAUCUAGAUUAGGGUUAGUUUAUUUUAUUUUAAUUCGUUUUAAUAUCAAAAUAAUAAAAAAUUUUAAGAUUUUGAUUUUAUUAUUGGAAUUUGGGAGAUCUCAAGUUUUAUUAGAUGAAAAAAAAAAUUCCUUGGAAAGUUUCAAUUUUAGGUUAGGGUUAAUUUUAUUAAAAAAAAGAAAAAAAAAAGAGUAAAUAAAUAUAUUAUUAUUUGUGGUUGAAGGGAUUAGAAAAUGUAAAAAAAAAAAAAAAAAAAAAGAACGCGUGUGCACAGCACUGGAAGGAAGGAAGGACGAAAAAAAAAAAAAAAAAAAGGGCGUACGCGUGUACUAUGCUACUGGAAGCAAGGAGAAAAAAAAAAAAAAAAGGGCGUGUGCCAAAUGGAAGGAAGCCUUUUAUAUAUAUAUAUAUAUAUAUAUAUAAUGAAUCAUGGUGAUGGCAAUGGAAAAAAAAAAAAAAAAAACUUGUUUUUUGGUUUGGUGUACCCGAGACAACUAGGUAAUGGUUGAGUGGCUUUUGAAUUGGUUAAUUAAAAUAAUAAUAUUUAGUUUUAGAUUAAUAAUUAAGAUAAUAGUAAUAAUAGUCUUUUUUGUUUUUUUGUAAUAAAUAGAAUGAGAGAUUUAGCAAAAUAUAUAUAUAUAUAUAUAAAAUUUUAUAAUGAAAUAAAAUUGUAAUUUAAUUAAAUUAGUAAUGUGUUAUUAGAAACAAAUUGGGAAUUUAUUAGUUUUAUUUAAAUAAGGAAUAGAUUAGUUAAAUUAUAAAUAAAUAGUAAUAAUUGUUUCUCUUAUGUUAUAUUAGGUGAAGAGUGGAUUUUUUUUUUUCAGAAUUAUUCUUCUCCCAAGCUUUCAAGGACUUCUUUUGAGGUAAGGGAAGUUAAUGCAAUAUUUAUAAAAUUAAAUUAUUUUACAUGUUAUUUUGAAUUGUGGAAAAGAAAAUGAUAUUUUGUUACCAUGCAUGGAUCAAACUGUUUUGCACUAAAUAUUAUGUUGGAAUAUUUUGUUUUAUUUAUGACACAAAAUAUGGAGAUAUUAUGUUGUGUAAAUUUGAAUACUUAAACAAAAACAUCACUCUGGUUUAUUUGGCCCUUGUCAACGCGAUAUAAUAGUUGACUAUUCAGCCUUGUCAACGGGAUAUAUUAAUUGACCUUUACAUUUCAUGGUGGGAAUGUAAUUGAUUUGAACCUCAGCCUCUAGAGGUUUGGUUAGAGGUUACUAGUACUAGUAGUGUUUGGUUCCGUCCACCAGGAACAAUUUGAGGCUAGCUACCCAUUUGAAAAGUCCCACUUAACUGGGCAUUUGAUAUUUGAUAACCAAAGUAAUGAAAAUUGAAUGGAUUUGAUUGAAUCUUAUGUGAAAGUGUUUGAAUUUGAUAUGAAAAUGGUUGGUUGAAUUUUGAAUAUAUUGGUAUUUUUGAAACUCUGAUAUUUGAUGAGAAAAAAAAUGAUAUCUCCUAUUUGAAAUGAAAAUAUUUGAUCCAUGAACUGCAUUAAUAUUCCUUAUUGGGUUGUGAGCUCAUUCCCAAUUGUUAAAAUUUUUUCAGGUAUCCUUAGUUCGGGUGAGGAGUGAUGGCUAGGCUGAGGAAUGGUCAUCAUUAGGAUUUGACUUAGGAUUUUAUGUUGGAUUUUGUUUAACUAUUAGUUAUGUUCAUUUGGAUCCUUUGGUGUUUGGAAGUUAUUUGGAUAUUGAUCCUUCAAAUUUUAUGUUAGAUCAAAGUUGAGUGUUGGAGAUUUUGAAAUUUGUUCUAAUACUUGAAUUGUUUAAGUUUGGAAAUAUUUGGACAAUGGAUUUUGGAUAGUGAAUGUUUUAGUUUUGAAAUUGAAUUUUGAGGAUUUUAGAUUUUGUUCCGCUACUCUGAACAGAUAUUUGGUAAUUGAUAACUUCCAAUUACAAGAUAAUUGUUUGGGUCAGGUUACACUGUAAGCUUUCGGGUUUGAGAUGUAAAAUGAUCGUCACGCCCUUGGAGUGGGUCUUGGGGCGUGACAGAUUAUUUUAAAAUCAAAGGUGAAACAAAGACAAAAAGACAUGUGGCUUGAAAGUGGCCAUGCACCAUGUAGAGUGGAGUCUUGGACUUGGGGCACCUUAAACACUAGUUGCAUGUCAUUUCUGAAGCCCCGAUGAAGGUGAGAUGAUGAAUUCUGUAGAAUGAUGAGUGUACUGAAGCUGGAGAUUGAGUGAGAGUCAGUCAAAAGUACCCCAAGGUGGUCAUGCAGAUGAGGAGUCUUGUGAACUAGACAUCUAUUCAUCCUUGGAGGUACAAUACCCAGGUCAUGAAUAGAUGGACUGCAUUUCUUGGACUGUAAGCUAGUGGCUUAAAGAUAUCAAUAGAUUGACUAAAGCUGCGUUCGUCCAUGCCCAUGGAGGUCUUGAAAUACUAUUCACUUGUAUGUUCAUGCAUAGGACGCUAACAAAGAAGAGAGUAAGAGCAUGGCGGUCACUACUGUACUAUGCAACCCAAGAGUUGCUGCUGCUACCAUUGCCACGGCAAGACCACGGACAACCUCAAAAUUCGAACCCUUGCCUUUGGCUUUAGCAUCGAGAUGUUUGUAUAUGGUAGCAUUCUUCAGCAUAUCCAUAAUGACCAUAAACUUGACCUUGUUAUCACAGCUAAAGACACGCUUGAUUUGAGGAACCUUUCCAUCCUUAAUAGUGAAAGAGAUAUUUUUGAGUCGGCAAUUCCAGAUAUUUUUGCAUUCGACCAUGCUUCCUCUAUAGAGCUCUCCAUUAACAAAACUUGACCAAGAAACCUCAACCCAUUUAAUUGACGUAGCAUUUAAGAAGACAACAUUUCAUUCUUCAAACCCACAAAUGCACAGUUCUUCAAUCUGCCAGAAAUGCAAAGACGGACGGAGGAAGUGCCAUAGCUAGAGCGGAAACGGGAUAAGGUAUUCUGAUUAAUGGCUUCAAGGAGUUACCAAAUCAAAAGUGUUGAUGUCAAUUUUUCCCGCUUCAAAAACGCUGUGCUUUAAAGCUUAACACUUGGCUUGCAUGGAUCAUUUCAUGAGUAGCUUUCCCACCGUAAACUGGGUCGAGGAAAUGGGUGAUAACACGUGGCCACCAAUUCACUGCCACUGCUAGAAUACUAAGUUGUAUUGAAGCUUUUGACACCUAUGUCCCGACAACCAAGAUCAACCUCUAUCCUCUCACACUUAGAGGUAGUGUAUCCUGUCACAAGGGCGAGCACCGGCUGCACCGCAAUAUAAAGACCAGGAACAUUGAAGGUUUCAAACAUAAUUUCACCAGUGUAUUCACGGCUCUCCGGGGCAGUGAGUGGACUUCCCGUCAAAAGAAAGUAGUGAUCCUCCUUAUCACAUCUCAAAUAAUUAAAUAUACACUGUUGCAUGUAGUGAAUAACACUGGAUGGAGGAAGAUGGGUAAGACGAGUGGAUGUGUGAGAGGGAUGAAUGUGAAUAGGAUUAUGGUGGGCAUCUAAUGAGUAUGGGCAUGGUGGAAAUAUGAGUAGGGUUAUGGGUAUGAUGGAACAUGAGGCAUGAUUAGGGUGGGAAGGUGGUGAGACGAAUAAUGGGAUGAGCUGUACUAAGUUAGUAUGAAGAGUAACUGGGGUAGAGUGAACUUAGGGCAGGUGCAAAGGUCCCCAAUUGUUUCCAUUGUAAGGGUGAAGAAACGAUCCUCUGGGCAAUAAGGGUGAUAUCCUCCAAAGUGAUUUCGUCUACUGUCUUCAAGAAGUUCUUUGAGGGCUUUCUCUCUCCAUGCGUUAACAUCUUUCCAAUGCAAUCCUUUUUAUUUAUUUAUUUAUUUUAGUUUCAUCAGAAAUGACAAAUUUAGCAACCUCUUCAGCACGAUUAAACUGUGCCCGGUUAACUUGUCCAAGUGAAGCAAUUGGAAGUAGUUCUCCUAUCGCUUAUUGACUGCCUUUGUCAUGAAAUCAAAGCCAGUGCUAGCAUAAAUACCAAAAUUCCCGUAUUGCUGAAAAUAUUGUUGAAUGUAGAGAAAGAUGGAAGCUGCUGACACUUAUUCAAGACACUGAGAUAUGGCCGUAAGUGCAUUCUUUUCUUUAAAUCACCUUCAGCAUCAUCAAAUUAAACACAUUCACUCUCUUGGUGCGACAGUCACAAACUCAUAGCAUAUUAUUUUGCAACUCCAUGGGCGAUAUGACAACAACAAUCCAUUCACUGCUAAGAACGUAUCCUCUAUAUCUCAUUGCUCCCAUGAGCAGAGAUGAGGAAAAUAAAGCACUCCAUGAACAGGUACCAGAAACAGGGAAAGGUGGGAAAAACAGAGCACAAAGAAUAGGAGCAAAGUGAGCCCAUACAAGCCUCAUUUCACCUAUCGAUCCAUGAACUCAGAUGUAGGGUGGAUGAGAUCAAAUGAGCAUCAAAAUAAAAGGUAAAACAGAGGUACAAAAUAUCUCAUGAGGAAAUCAGAACAGGGCAAACUAAACUUCAGCAAAAACCCAAUAGCAAAAUAUGAACAUACUCACUCCCAAGCAACAAAUGUCCUCUGAGAAUCAACAAAAGAGAGGGUAGAAAAGUAUACCGGUUGAAGAUAAUGAAGAGUCCACAAUAAACGUACCUGAAAAUGACUCUCUACAGCAAAGUGUAACGGAUUUCUCACUGGUCUUGCUCCAGAAGCUCUCCAGAUAAACCACGAAUUGCUCCCCUCGUUCCUCUUCUCCUCUGCAAGCUUCUUGUAACCAGCCUGGAGACCCUCAGAAAAGCCUCCUCCCUUUGCAAAAUCCUCUCCUCCUCUCUAGCUUGCUCCCCCCCCCCCCCCCCCCCCCCCCCCCCCUUUCAUUUUCAAAAAACCCCCCCAAAANNNNNNNNNNNNNNNNNNNNNNNNNNNNNNNNNNNNNNNNNNNNNNNNNNNNNNNNNNNNNNNNNNNNNNNNNNNNNNNNNNNNNNNNNNNNNNNNNNNNAAGGAUCCCCCCAGAAAUAUCUCCAGGCCGCCCUCUCUCAUACGUUCCUGGCAGCUAGCACUAACGGCCUCCAAGAUUCCAUAACAGGUGUCACCUUUUGGUUGCUUCUUCAAAAGCACUAUCUGAUUCUCUGACCACCAACCACGAGGCGACACGUGGCCCUAUGGGAUUGUGACACUUGGCAAAACAAGCUACAUGAAUGAAAGCGAGCCUCUAAUGGGGUCUACAUAUAUAUAUAUACUUAUAUGGUGUUAAAGUUUCCUUGUUGAAGUAGUUUGAAUUAGAAAUUUAGAAAUUUAAUUUUAGUUAUAAUCGGUCUUAUACUUCAUUUCUAUUUCUUUUAAAACUUCUAGUUUCCUUUUUUAGCUUUAAUUAUUUUCAAAUGUUUAAAAAACAAUUAUGAUUAUAAUUUCAAUUCUAUUUUCUAAUAAUACAUUGAUUUAUACAUUUAAAAAGAAAAUAUGCUUUUUUUUUAAAAUAAUAUAUCUAUUUUAAAUUUUAAAAUAAAAUUAUAAAACUAAGAUUUAAAGAGGUUAGAAUUUUUUUUAACCAUUUUAAAUUAUUUAAAAACAAUUUUAAAACCAUUUCAAAUUUCCUUUACUUCCACUUUGAAUUCUUUCUAUUCUUGUUAAAUUAAAAUAUUGUUUUCAAUCACAUUUUUUUCUUUAUUCAAUUUGAUUGUGAAGAAAACCAUGGUUUCAACAAAGAUGUUUGGCGUCAAACACCAGUAACAGACUCCAGGCCAAACAACCAACGUGGGUUGUUAAGUUUCCUUCUUGGAGAAGGAAUUGAUUUAAGAAAUCUAGAAAUAUAACUUUGGUUAGAAUUUGUAUUAGAUUUCUUUUCAAAAUUUUAAAUUUCAUUUCUAGUCGUAAUUAUUUUUUUAAUAUUUUAAUAAUUACUAGGAUGAUAAACGUGUACCAAUUUUUUGUAAUAAUAUAACUAUUUUAUAUUUAAAAUAAAUUUAUAAAACUAAAAAAUUUAGUAAUGUUAGAAAAAAAAAUAUAUAGAAGGGAUAAAAUUAUAAUCAAUUUUAAAACCAUUUAAAACUAAAUUAUAAAAAAAAAUUGAGUGAUAAAAGAAAAAUAGAAAAUUUAAUAGUAAUGUGUAUUGUAUAGGAAUAGUAACGGGUGGAUUUGGGAUAAGGGCAAGAUUUGAUAUGGGUUGCCCUCAUCCCAAUCCUGUUCCAUUUAUUCAAAAUAAUUCUCAUAUUCAUCCUAUUAAAAAAAAUUAAACAAGGUGUGGGUUAUUCUUAUACUCACACCCACUGAUUAACUUUUUUAUGAAAAACUUUAAAUUUUAUUUUUAAAAAAAUUAAUUACAUUAAAAUAAAUAUAUUUUAUAAAAAUAAUGUUAUUUUUAUAAUUUAUUUUAUUAAAAAUAUUUAUUAUUAUUAUUAUUAUUAUAUAUUAAAAAUAGGAAAAUAAAAAUUAAAUUAAAUUAAUUUAAAUCAAUUAUAUGUAUGAUCGGGAUAACUUGCCCCGAACUCAUCCAAGUUUAGAAAAAAAAAUUCAAACCCACCCUUAACCCAUUUUUAAAAAUUUCAUUGUCGUCUCAUUAUUACCUCAAAAAACUCAUUCUAUUGUCAUCCCAAUACUUUAUUUCAUUUUACUAAUUUAUAAAUAAAUAAAAAAACAAGUUAAUCUAACAAGAUUAUAAAGAUGUCAUGGACUUAAAAAGAAAUAAUAACAUUAACAGAAAGAUAUUUAUUCAAAUUUUAUAAACUCAUCAUCCAUAAAAGUUAACAUCACUACUAAAAACCAUAAAUAAUUCUAAAAACAAAAAUUACUCAAAUGCCCAUGCAUAUUGCUUAUAGAUUUCCGCCUCAUCCUCAGGGCUAAAAUCAUUCUUGAUGUUAAAAGUUUGACGAAUCUCCUCUGGUUUCCUUCCUUUUAUCAUUUCUGCAACUCUCCAACACAGAAGCUCUAUCAAACCUGGUGUGUCAAGAUAGUUUGCUGCCAUGAUGAGAUGGUAGAGAAGUGAUUGGUCUUUAUUCACAAACUCAACAUCCCAUCUCUUAAUUUCAUCCUCGCUAGCUUUUUCAGAUAAAUGCUUGUUCCAGUACUCUAUCACCAUCGCCAAGAAUCGGCCAUCCACUUCUAGUAUCGGAAUCACAUCACGCUUCUCCACUUCUACUAUAUGAAUCGCAUCAUCUGCACCAUCGUCUUUCAACAUAUUCUUUAUCAUCCCUGACUGAAACGCGGCUGCCUCACUAACUUCGAAUAUCACAUCAUCUCUACUCUUCAACUUCAAAAUCUUUUGUGAAGUAGACAUGAUAGUUGAUCUAAAAAAACACCAAAACACCAACCUUAAUGUUUGCUACAAUACUUUGAUGUGUUGAAAGGGUUAAUACUAUGUAUACUUAUAUGGUAUUAAGUUUCCUUGUUGGAGAAGGAGUUGAAUAAGAAAUUUAGAAACUUAAAUUGAAUUAGAAUUGUUCUUAUACUUGAUGUCUAUUUCUUUUAAAACUCUUAGUUUCCUUUUUUAGUUUUAAUUAUUUUUAAAUAUUUGAAAAAUAAUUAUGACCAUCAUAUUUUAAAAUUUGAAUAGUAAAAAUAUUUUAAUACAUCAAUUUUUAUAGUUUUUUAAAAUCAUUAAAUAUUUUUAAUGUUUUAUAAAGAAGGUAUUAUUAUUUUAUUUUUUUCAAAAAAAGUAUAUGAAAAAAAAUUUAUGUGUAUAAUUCGAAGUAUGUAAAAGGUGGCUGAAUAGGUUGUCUUUAAAUUAAAGACUAAAUUAAUAUUUUAUUACCUAUUUUAGACUUUUCCCUUUAUAUUAAUUUUUUAAAGACAACAAAAAUCUUAUGCAAAUAUAAAUAUAAUAAAUCACACAAAUAAAAACAAGAUAUAACAUGGAAAGACCAUAUAACAACCUAUUAGAUAUAAGAAGAUAUGAGAAAAUGGUACACAAUUAUACCUGAUGGAUAUACCACUCUGUCUAAGAUCUUAUACCGUGAAUAUCAAAUCCUUCGAAGUCCUUAUAGAAGUAAUCCACCUUUAUUGUAUCUAAAAGUUACUCUCAAGAAAAAUUUUGAAAGUUUGAAAGUUGGAAGAUCAAAAGCUUUUAAAUAAAAUAUUUGUAUUUAUAUUUACAAAACUGUUUUUAGAAUUAUGGAGAGUUUCGUAAUUCUAAAAUAUUCCAAAAAAUAUUUUUAAAAUCAAAUUCCAAUUAAGUGAUGAUCACAAUUUUUAAAACUUGUUAAAAAGAUUUACAAAAAUCCUUUUCAAAAUCAAACAUAAUUUUAAAACUUAUCAGAAAUUAUUUUUGGAAUUAAAAAUGCAGUAGAAACUAAAUUAGAAAAUAGAAAGUAUUUUAUUCCUAAUUUUUUGUGUAGUCAUUCCAAAUGCUUUACCAACUAUAAAUACAUACUUAUCUUAAAUUUUACAACUCCACCAAAGUAAGUUAUCUAAUUGGUAAGAAAGGAACAAAAUUGUUAGUUAAAUAAAAUUAUAAGUAUAUUCAAACCAACACAUAUUUAGUAAUAUUUCUUGAAAUAGCUUUUAAAAAUUUGAGUGUUCAAUUUUUGUGUGCUCGAUUUUUGUAAUAAUAUAACUAUUUUCUAUUUAAAAUAAAAUUGUAAAACUAAAAAAAUUUAGUAAUGUUAGAAAAAAAAUUGGUAUUCACUUAAUCUGAUUAGGUAGAGGUGUUCUUCUUUUAAUAUUCAAGGUUCUGUAUUUUGGAGGGGGGGGGGGGGGGGGGGCCCCCCCUGGGGGAAAAAGUAAAAAAAAUUUCCCACUUGACCCUUAACCCCAGGGGUAAAUUUUAUUAUUUACCAAAAUUGCCCUUUUUAAAGAAAAAGAAGGAUUUUUUUUGGGGGCCAAUUUUUUGAAAAAAAAAAUGGAGGAAAUGCCUGGGUAGGGCCCAAACCCUAAAAACCUUUUUUUUUUGGGAAAAAAAAAAAAAAAAACCCCAAGCAAAAAACAUUUUCCUUAAUUUCAUGGCCAAAAAUGCGAUUUUUUUUUUUUUUUUUUNNNNNNNNNNNNNNNNNNNNNNNNNNNNNNNNNNNNNNNNNNNNNNNNNNNNNNNNNNNNNNNNNNNNNNNNNNNNNNNNNNNNNNNNNNNNNNNNNNNNUUUCAGGUUUUUUUUUUUUGGGGGGGGGGGGGGGGGGGGGCGCCCUCCAUGGGGCAAGAUGUAAGAAAAAUUACCAACUUGACCCUUAGCCCAAGUGUUAUAUUUGAUUAUUUACUAAAAUUGCCCUUUUGAAGGAGAAGGAUGGAUUGUUAGUGUGGGCGAUUUUUUGGAAAAUAGAAUUGGAGGACAUGCAUGGUUAGGUCCAUAGCUCUAAGACCGUUUGUUGUUUGGGAAAAAGAAGACGAUAAGCCUCAAGCAAUAACCUAUUCUCUAGAUCUCAUGACCAAAAUUGCUAUUUUUUUUUUUUUUUUUUUGAUCAUUGGAUUAAUCAUAGAAACAGAAUAUGAACAUAUAUUUUUCAAUAAUAAAAAAUAUAAAAUUUUCAUAUCAGAAUGCUAUAAUAAAAAAAUAUUAUGUUGAAAAAAUAUUAAACAUCAUGGAAGGACUGUCAAGAAAAUUAUAAAAGAAUUUAUUUUUAAUUCCUUUUAUAUAAUUAUUAACUAUGUAUUUAAAAAAAAUUAAAACUAUCAAAUAGGUUUAUUAUUCAUAAAAAAAAUUAACAAUAAUUUGAAAAAUAUUUAUAUAUUGUUUAUAUAUAUGCUCGUAUAAAAUUCGAGUUUUCAAAAGAUAAAUCCCAAAAUGUUUGGGGAUAUUUUGAUAAAUGAAUCAAAAUCAAGCAUCAGGUGGCAUGUUCUUUUCCAUUAACCGCCAAUUAAGAGGCCCAAACUCAAUAAAAAUAGGCUUAAAAAAAAUAUAAAUAUCAAUUUAUUGUCAAAUUUCUCUUACUUUCAAUUUGAAUUCUUUCUAUUCUUAUUAGAGUUGAAACAUCGCUUUCAAUCACAUUUGUUUUUUCUUUAUUUAUGAUGGAGAAAAUCAUGGUUUCAAGCCUGAAAUAAUAUUUGUUGGUUGAAUUUUGAUGUCAGGGCUCAACUACCAGGAACAAACUGGAGGCUUAACCGCCAACUUGGGUUACAACGUGUAAACGUGGGUUAUAAGACCACCCACUACCCUACUAUCAGCAUGCCUUUUCAUCAAUCUCACCUCCUCCAUGCACACGUUUCUCAAAUGCCUUCUUCCAUUUCCAUUUCUUCUUCAACCUUCGUUCUCCUCUUCUUCUCCUUCUCCCUGGUUUCAAUCUUACCUCCCCUAAUCCUCUCUGCUUCUGUUGUUGAAGAUCUCAAUAACUUACACCCACCUUCAGACUUCAACUCAACCAUCAACAACAACUGUCUCAACAACCCUUCUCUCAGGUACUGCAAUUCUUCCUCUCCUUUGGACCUCAUUGAGAUCUUCAAGUCCACCAUUGUUGCCAGCCACCUCUGCAACGAGUCCAGGAAUCCCAACUGCGUAGAAACCUUCCCUAAAAUAGACCUUCACAGCCGUCCAAAGAUCGCCCCGCUUUACUUAUCCUUCACCUUCUUCUGGAAGUACUGUCCUUUAACCAUUCUGUCUAUCAAUCUCUCCAACAAUUCCAUCAAAGGCGGUUUCCCAUCUGAUGUUCUCCAAUGUUCCCAAAUCCAAGCUCUUGAUUUGAGCCACAAUGACCUCUCCGGGGAUGUCCCCAUACAAGGCUUCUCUCCCCUUACCAAUCUCACUCUUCUUAAUUUAUCAUACAAUCACUUUUCAGAGAGUAGGAUCUCUGAUUCCCAGUUCUUCAAACGUUUUAAUUCUUCGAGUUUUCUUCGUUCAGGCCUUGUCCCGGAUCACCAGGGAUUCACGAUCAAGGUGGUGGUGUUCUUGUUUGGUUUUCCUAUGUUUGUGAUUCUGAUGGUGGGCUGCUUGGGGUGGAUGUGCAUCCGGCGUCCAGAUUUUCUACCAGCAGUUCUCCGAGGAGGAAAACACAAGUUCACACCAGCAAUGCUGGAGGCAGCAACGGGUGGUUUCUCGAGAAACAAUUUGGUGGGGAAGAGUGAGGGGGUUGACAUUUAUAGAGGAAGUGUGAGAGACAGCAGUCAAGUGAGGAUUGAGAUAUACAGGGACGAGAUCUCAGGUGAAGGCCGCAGGAGGUUUGCAGAAGAGUGUAAGGUUCUGGUUCAGUUAUGCCACAAGAACAUAGUUCAAGUAGUGGGGUGGUGUGACAACAGGAGAUUAAGGGCCAUUGUCACUGAAUGGACCGAGGGAGAGAAUGUUGAAAUAUGGGUAGCAAGGUCAGCCCCACCAUGGAAGCAGAGGCUGAAGAUUUUGAUGGGGGUUUUGGAAGCUAUGCGUUAUCUGCAGGAACAAUGGCCUCAAGUUGGGUAUGAUCUCAGGACAUGUAGCAUAUUGCUGUCGAAGAAUCGACAGCCAUUGAUUUCAAGGUUUAGGAUUGGAGAUCAAAUCAGCAACACAAGAAGUAAUAAUUCCUACUCCUUUUUCCAUCUCUAGUUUUCACUCUAAGCACUGCCGAAUCACUAGUGUCUCUUCUCUAAUCUUUUGGUAUUUCAGAGAUUUACAAGUUUGGGACGUUGGUGUUGGAGAUGGUAACAAACAAGAGGCCGCGAGAAGAGUUUGAGCGGGGUGAAGCGGAAUUUAUAGAAUGGAUUAGAAUGCAUCAUCCUGGAAAGGUGCACAAGGUGAUAGAUGAAAGAAUGAAAAAGACAGGCAAUACAGUUGAUCAGGCUACUCAGGGAAUAGGCAUAGGAUUAAUGUGCGCAGACCUCUCAAGGGGAUGGCACCCGAGCUUCGAUCUGAUCUACAGAAUGAUGUGUAAACUCUCUGAUUCAUGUCAAGUUCCAGCAUCUCCUGACCAUAAGAGAUCUCAUGGAGACAGAGGUGAAGGACAUAGGCGCAAUCAAUCAAGAUGAACCGGCCAAACAAGCGUUAGCCGCAUGAACUUGAGUACAUGUAAAGAUAAGAACAAUUCAGAAAAGCAGUCAUCCUAACGAAGAGAGUGGUAUUCUACUCUCACACGCUUUAUCAUCCCUGUUUGUGUAGCUGUUUCAGAGCAAACAUUAGAAUUGCCUUUAUCAGACUUGUAUUGAGUGAAAAAUAUUGCCUUAUCCUAUUUGUUUGUUAAUUUCCCCUAAAGUAAGGAAGGGAGAGAUGGGAGGAAACCGAGGAAGAGUUGGUUGUUGGCUUCCUAACUAGACAAAAGCUUCAGCAACAUCAACUAAUAGGUAGUGUUUUUGCGCUGGUGAAAGACGAACUGAAAUCUAACUCACUCAGGAUCUACAAAAGCAUUCAACUUCUAAAUAUGCUAAAAUUCAUCAACAUUUUUCUGUUACUUGAUGCCAUCAACAUAUCACUGAAACCAUUCCCGAGAGCAGAAUGUGUAGACAUAAAAUGCAUAGUGGCUAUAUUUAUAAGAUGAACAAAUUUAUGAUUCAGAGAACAUAAAGAAACAGUCAUGGAAUGGACGAACUACAAAAAAACUUGCAGCCUUCCAGCUGGUUAAUGCACAAAAUUGAGUAAAGAAGAAAACGAAAGAGGGGACACUAGAAUACUUUAGCUUAUGAGCAACCUGACCUUAUCUGGUCAUAAUAUUUGUUAAAUUACAUAAAUAUCCAGCCUUUUUGUAUGGUGCAGUCACAGCGUAAACUCCUUUUAUUCCAAAAGUGGAGAUUCUUUAUUUGAUGACUGCAGGUCUGUUAGCUUGCAUUUUUGAUCUGGCCCCAAGAACUCUCUUCGGCAUAUCAGUUGUUAAAGCAUACAUCUUCACAGGAAAUAAUUCCCCAGGAAAUCCCUUCUGAUCCUGAUAUAAAACAAGGUUACUAUUAGAAAUAUUGAGAAUUUAUGAUAAUGUAAAGGCCAUGGAACACAUUCAAACCCUUGAUCAACUGACAAGCUUGCCAUCUUAUAGAUGAGGACAAUUUUAAAAACAACAUUGGUACCAUUUAAAAGCAAUUUCAAAGAUAAGUAUGCCCUAACUGAACUUCUAAAGUUGACUUUUGUAUUCAUUCUUCUUUAGAUCCUAUUCUAGUUUGAUAAGUGAUUGAAAUUUCACUUCCAAAAGAAAGCCACCACUAGACCAAAUAUCUCUUCAAGUAAUAGGGUCCCCAUGAGUUCAAAAAUGUAUUUGCCAAAAUAUGAAUUCUUCCACACUUCUACUCGGAAUAGAAAAUGAUAAUAGUUGGACUAAAAAAUUAAUAAUAGUUUGGGGCAUAGCUUGUUUAGAAGGGGGAAAGGUAUCAAUUUGUUGAUAGAGUUCAGUAGCCACCUAAAAAAAUUUGUCCUUCUGUGGCAAUCUCAGAGACUACAAGUAAAUACUCUCCACCAGGUAAAUAUUUGUGGACUUGAUGGUCAGUCCAAAGGUUGUAAGGGAAAUAUUUCCUACAAAGACGUGAAACACAUACAAUUCCAACUAUAGGAUUCUUUACAUUCCCAUCCGAGACAAGCAUGAGGAAAUCUAGAGUUAACAGCUGAUGGAUUUUAUUUAAUAUAUCAAGUCUCAACAAAAACUAGUCAAUAAGGGAGUCAGACAGCCCGAAAUUUUUAUAGGGAUUUUAGACUCCUUUGACCUAGGGGAUUGGUACUUUGUGCUUUCUUUGGUUUAGUUUUUCUUCCCUUUUGUUCCCUGCGUUCAGCUGCCAGCACAUUUUUUUGAUAGGCAAACAAAAUAUAUCAAGAUUAAGAAGCAUCUAAAAGAAAUGAAAUGCACCAAGUAUAGACAAUGCCAAAAGGCGAAAUCCAAGAACAAGAUUAAUAAAGGAAAGAACAGAGGGCUAUAUCCUCAUAAGCCCUUUCAAGUUCAUCAGUACAAUCUCAUUAAUAAAAUAAAUGAAAAAAAAAAAAAAUUCAAUGUCCCUGGAGGAAUUCUAGACCAACUGGGAAGAGUUUUGAGAAAUGCCUCUUUUAACUGAUAGUGCACUCUAGGAAUGUACCAAAACAAACACGGGCUAUUCUAUGUGCCUUCCUAUGUCACAUAUCCACACUUCCAUCAUAAGAACUGCAGGAACAUUCAUUGAACACUCAUCAUUUGCAAUCUUAAGAGGAAUUCCUCAAUUCUUUUGAGCUCCCAAUCAUGUAACUGUCAAACAAAACAAGGGCUCCAACAUCCCCUUUCCCCUAGCUGCUCUCACAAAACCGCUACCUAAGAAUCCUUUGCAUUGGCAAUACCUAAAAGGGACGGAAAGGAAUCGCUCAACAAUUACUCACCACACCACCUAUCCUACCAGAAUUUUACCCUCCUUCUCUUCCCCACUAUGAAACAAGAUACGCUUUUACCAACAUCCCAUCCUUUUAUAAUUGCCUCCCAGAGGCCUACUCCAUGCCUAUCCCUUCCCUCACAUGAACUCCAUCCCCUGCUUCAUCCUUCUUCAUACUUACUUCCUCUUUAUCGAUAAUUUUUUUUUCAUUUAUUAUUAAAAGAAAUCAACAUGCCUCAACAAGAAUUUAAACUAUUGAAUUUGAACAUCUUCUCAGAGCAUUUUCAAGGGUUCUACAUUGCCCAUAAAAUUUAAGGUUGAAGUUUAGUGCUAAAAUAUUGAAAUAAAGUUGGCAUUUUGGUAAAUUGGUCAAGCAUAUGGGAUUCAAGAAAAGGUGGGCUCUUAUCUUUUUCUUAAUGCUGAUGCAAAAUUAUAUAAUAAGGAACCCAGCAACCUGUAGAGACAAUUUAAGCCAUCUCCUUUCUAGAAAUUAUAUUCCAAGCACUUUAUUUACAUUUUUUUUCCUUAUUAAGGAGAUCCCCAGAUGAGUUCCUUUUUCGCUUAUGUCUUUGUUUAUUUUGAUUUUCUCUUCUUUCAAUUAAAGAGACUCCAAGCACUCUAAUUUGGACAAUUUUACACAAGAAUUUUUUUGGAAGAAUUAGCAAGGUCUAGAAGUGAUGCUAUAUAAUUUCUUCUAGAGACAUAAUUCUUUCUGCUGAAGUUGAGCCCAAAGACGAUAAAAAUCCUUAUAUACUUCUCCACCUUUAUCCUAAGUAAUGCUUGUGAAUGGAUUUAGAACACAAAGUACAUAGAAAAUCCACUUAUCAAACCAAGUUUGAUGGCUUAUUUUGGGUUUGCAAGUGUGACAGUGGGACAAACCUUCGAUUUGUAGAGGUGCAGUCCACACUGACCAAAGAGCUCCUUGAAGUACAAAUCUGACCGGGUAAUGCUUCUAUCUUCUUUGUCCAACACAAAUCCUGCUUUCAAUUCAAAAAUUACUUCCAGAAGAGGGCAUGUCUCUAGUUAGUAUGUGGUUACUUGGCAAAUAUAUGAGACAAAGUUUGUCUAGUUAGCUGGGGAAAGCACUGUGAAACAAAUAUUACAAAAAAUGCCUCUAUGGCCUUAUCCUAUUAAAUAGUAUAGCAAUUAACCAAUGAUGAUGCAUGCGGCCUGCAUACAGUGGCUUGUUCAUGACCUAUUUAAGGUUCACUAAAAAUAAAUCACUGGUGGAACUAAUCCACUUUUAGGUUGAACUUCCUAGCAUACCUGUUUCAUUUAAAGUUUUUAUCUCUUAAGCUAUCUACUUCUGCAGCUUCAUUAUUAGGGAGUUCAAUCCUCAUUUCACCACAUAAUUCUACUUCAAAAAAUAAAUAAAUAAAAAUAUCCAACAUUAUAAAGAGACACAUACAAAGACCAUUUACUUAUUUUAAUUAUUGUUAUCACGAUAUAAUAGGCAACCUAGUCCUAGUACAUCACCCAGGGUAUUAGAUUGUGUUACAUUUUCCACAAAGAACCAAUGUGUUCAAACCUGGGCCUUUCAACAGACCCAUAGUGACAGUUUCACUGUCCAGGGUUCCAACUAGCUCAGUCAGCAGGUUGAACAAUGACAUUAGAAUGAGGUAACAAAUAUAAAAUAUAAAAAAAUACUGAUAAGAUGAUUUUUCAUUUAGUUGAAUAUAUAUUGUCAGAAAAGGCAUCUACAUAUGUAUGCAUGUAUGUAAACAUUUUUCAGGAAAUCAUGAGCAGCAGAGAUAGUACAAAAGAUACAAAUGCAACAAAUGCACAAAUAGCAUUAAGCAGAAGUCACGGCAGAAAAUUUGAAUAUAUUAUUCCAAAAACUCAAAAAUAAUAUAAAUAUCACAGAAAAUUUCAAUAAUAAGAAGAUGGUAAAACCCUAACUGACUGAGGAUGAAAAGAAACUCAGAUUAAAUAAACUCCAGUCCAUCUCCCCCCACCCCAAAAGAAAAAAUAAUAAUAAAUAAAUAAAUAAUCAAUUAAUUAAAUUAUUUAUAUCCAACUUGAAAAGGUAUCUUCAUCUUGGAGGAUGGUUUUCAUCUUCUCAACCGUGCAGAUAAAGUCUGGCACAAAAACUGAAUUCAUCAUUGGACAGCAGAAGAAAUGGAGAAUUAUGUAUUGGGUGUGGAAAGGGGUGUAAUUGGUAUAAAGGCUACAAAACUGUGUAAAUUGGUAGAAAGCCCAUAAUGAGUAAAAAGACAAAAAUGUCGUUCUUUUGUCUUUUUCUUUAUUUUGUCCUUUUCUAGGUUUUUUAUUAUUAAUUAUUUUUUCUUCUUUACUUUUUCUGGUUUUUUAUUAUUAUCUUUUCAUCUUACUUUCUACAUUUAUUAUUAUUAUUAUUAUUAUUUAAUAUUAAUAUUAUAAUUUGAUGUAUCAUAACAUAUAAUUACUUAUUAUUAAAAACAUAUGAAUAAUAUUGAUAUUAUUAUGUACUGCAUAUAAUGUAGCUACAAUAUACAUAUAGUGUAGGUAUUGUGUACAUAUACAUAUACAUACACACACACACACAUAUAUACAAACAUAUAUACACACACACACUAGGUUGAGCUCCCCAAGGCAACUCUUAUCACCAUCCAAGGACCUGCCCUUAAAUUAACUGCAUAACCCAACUUCUCAGUAAAUAUAUCUCACAUCUAGCACUCACAUUUUAAGCUCCCAUUUUACCAUUCAGCAUUUUUAUUAGCACAUUUACUCAAAUUAGGAUCAGGCCCAUUUAACUUCUUGUGAAAUACAUCUAAAGCCUAGUGCAAUAUUAUUGGUUUGCCAGCAGAUAUUCUGUUCACUAGCUAGGUAUAAACCCUUUUCCUCUUUGGACUUUGUGCAGCCUGACUUUAUCAAAACAUGAUCUCUUCUCAAUAACCAUAGAAAAUGAUUGGAUAAAAAGAACAUGACUUCUUUAUCCAAGCUUCAUGGGCACAUUUCUAUACUAUGGAACAAUGAAACUGAGACUUAUUUCUUGGGAUAAUAAACCCAUAGAACAGUGUUUUGAUCAUGAGCAGAAUUGUAUAGUAGGGAACAAUGACACUGAGACUUAUUUCUUGGGAUAAUAAACUCAUAGUUCAGUGUUUUGAUCAAUAAGACCACAUGAAUUGAGUCACUCAUAACUAAAUUGCAAAAAUAGAAAAUAGACAAAAUUGAAUAGUACAACCUAUCUUUAUGUCAAUUAUUUGUCAAAGUCCCAUCACAAAGAAGAGAAGCAGGUGGAAAUGCAUGAAAUGAAACCAGGCACCAUGAAACAAGGAAGAGACAGAAAAAUAGUACCAGAUCUUGCAAUGUUCUCCUUCAGGAAAAAAAAUCCCCCAGGUUUCAGUCCAGCCUGAAAGUGGAAUAUUUGUUAGCACAAAACACAAAUUUAGAUAUUAACUAGCAUUUAGAAACUAGAAUAUUAUCUAAUGGUGAAAAAUAUAUCUCUUGGUUUCCAAGAAGCAUAGAAUGUUUCUUACACACACAAUUCUAAAACCCUGAAAUGUGAUAGCUAUAGAAGUAGAGGCAGACAAUGAGUAUGGCUAUCUGGCAUCACAACAGCAGCCUAGUAGGAAUGAACCCUUAGGUAGGUACAAUAUUUUCCUUAGGAAUGCCGGCUACCAAUAAAAACAAGAAACUUAGAGCAGAUUGAGGGGAAAUGCAACUAAAUGAACCUACAAGUACCAUGGAUAGAAUAAAAGUCAGUGGGGUUUGGCUGUCAAAGGAGCAAGAAGUAAGGUCAGGAAUUGUAGAUGCCUUUAAAAAGUUACUAACGGAAGACUCGGAGUGGAAGGCGGAUAUAGGGGGGUUAAUUUUGAAUCAGAUCAGUCAGCAAGAAGCGGAUACCUUGGAGCUUCCUUUCAUGGAGGAGGAAGUCCAUUCGGCCCUAAUGGACAUGAAUGGGGACAAGGCUCUAGGUCCGGAUGGCUUCACGGUGGCUUUUUGGCAAUGCUACUGGGAGUUCGUGAAAGAGGAGGUUUUAGAGAUGUUCAAGGAGUUCCAUGAGCAAAACGCCUUUCUCAAGAGCCUCAACAACACGUUUCUGGUUCUCUUACCAAAAAAAGGAGGGGUGGAAGAGCUGGGGGAUUUCAGGCCUAUUAGUCUCUUAGGUGGGCUGUACAAACUAUUGGCCAAGGUGUUGGAUUAGGAUUAAAAAUGUGAUUGGUAAAGUGGUUUCCCCAUAUCAGAAUGCUUUCGUUAUGGGAAGACAGAUUUUGGAUGCAUCUCUAAUUGCAAACGAGGUGAUCGAUUCAUGGCAAAAAAGAGGAGAGAAAGGCCUUAUCUGCAAAUUAGAUAUUGAAAAGGCGUAUGACAGCGUUAAUUGGCACUUCUUAAUGAGGGUUUUGCAAAAAAUGGGGUUUGGGGCUAAGUGGAGGGAAUGGAUGUGGAGCUGUAUCUCAACUGCUAAAUUUUCAGUUUUAGUAAAUGGGGAGCCGGCUGGGUUUUUUUCUAGCUCAAAAGGGCUACGGCAAGGUGACCCUAUAUCCCCAUAUCUGUUUUUCAUGGGGUAUUGAGUGCCUUUAUUCGGAGGGCUGUGGAAGGGAGAUUCAUUUCUGGGUGCAACAUUCAGAGGGGCAGUGGGUCAGUUGUCAAUAUUUCUCAUCUUCUCUUUGCGGAUGACACAAUAGUUUUUUGUAAGGCAAAGAAAGAAGACAUGACCUACUUGAGCUGGAUUUUAUGUUGGUUUGAAGACGUUUCAGGGCUGAGGAUAAAUCUGGCUAAAAGUGAAAUUAUUCCAAUAGGGGAGGUGGAAGAGAUCCUUGAGAUGGCUGUGGAGUUGGGAUGCAAGGUAGGCCAGCUGCCAUCAACCUACCUAGGGCUGCCAUUGAGUGCGUCCAAUAAAGCCUCUAGUGUGUGGGAUGGGGUGGAAGAAAGGAUGAGGUGGAAAUUGGGCCUUUGGAAACGGCAAUAUAUCUCCAAAGGCGGAAGAAUCACCCUCAUAAAGAGUACUUUGGCUAGUAUGCCUUUAUAUCAAUUGUCCCUCUUUCGUAUGCCUAGGACAAUGGCAAGAAGGCUGGAAAAGAUGCAAAUAGAUUUUUUGUGGGGAGGGGGAAAUAUGGAAAGAAAAGCCCACCUAGUCAAUUGGGAGAGGGUGUGUGUGGGUAAGGAGAAGGGGGGGUUUGGUUUGAGGAAGUUAGUCCCCUUGAACAAAGCUUUGCUUGGAAAAUGGGUGUGGAGAUUCGCUCAGGCCAAGGACGAGAUGUGGAAGCAAGUGCUUAUGGCAAAAUAUGGGCAAGAGGAAUUUGGGUGGAGGACUAAGAAGGCAAACGGGGCGUUUGGUGUUGGGGUUUGGAAAGAAAUUCUGAAGGAAUCUGAUUAGUGUUGGAAUAAUAUGGCUUUUAAGGUGGGAAAAGGCGCCAGAAAUUCUAAGGUUCCCUCAACUCUUUGUCGUGGCUGCCCAAAGGAACGCCACAGUGGGGGAUAUGUGGGACCAGAAUUCUGGUCAAGGAGGUUGAAAUCUAAGGUUUAUUAGAGGCUUCAACGAUUGGGAGUUGGACGUGGUAGGCGAAUUACUUCAAGUCUUAAGGAGUCAAAGAAUCAGCUUGGAGGAGGACUUGGUCUUUUGGAAGGGAGGAAAAAAUGGGAAGUUUGGUGUUAAGGAAGCGUAUGGCCUACUGAUCUGCCCUAGUGUCUCCUUGUUUCCCAAAAAUGGCAUUUGGGUGGAGAAUGUUCCUUCUAAAUUAGCGUUCUUUGCAUGGGAAGCUGCUUGGGGGAGGGUUCUUACCCUUGAUAGGCUUCAAAAGAGAGGAUGGCAACUCCUGAAUCGUUGUUAUUUAUGUGGUAGCGAAGAGGAAAAUGUAAAUCAUUUGCUUAUUCAUUGUACAGUGGUUAGAGUGUUGUGGGAGAUUGUCCUUGGUGUGUUUGGUGCCCAGUGGGUCUUUCCAGAAACUGUAAAGGAGGUGGUUCUUAGUUGGAAGGGUUCUUUUGUGGGUAAAAAGAGGGAGAAAAUUUGGAGAUCCAUUCCGUUAUUUAUUUUCUGGAUAGUUUGGAAGGAGAGGAAUAGAUUAGCAUUCAGGGGGAGGGGGAGUUAGCUAUUCAGAAAAUUAAGAAUUUUUUUGUUUGUAAUGUGUGGGGGUGGGCAAAAUUGUAUAGUGGAGCGGAGCCUCGCUCCCUUAUAGGUUUCUUGGAGUGGUUAGCCUCCAUUUAAGGGUUGGUGGGUUUUUUGUCUCUUUUGUCUUUUGUUGGGAGGCCUUCGUAGCCUCGUAUACUCCCCGUAUGCUAUGCGGCGUUUUGCCUUUUGCUAAUAUAUGUGUUUACUUAUCAAAAAAAAAAAAAAAAAACAUCCUAAGAAAGAAGAAAGCUACAUUUCUCAAUGAAUGAUUUAAAUACUUGCAAGCAGCAAUCAUAGCUUAGAUUCAAAAUAGGGUGGCCUACUGCUAGUCAAAAUAUGUGAAAUAUUCAUAGUUGUUAAAUUGGAAAUCGUAGAGUCUGUCAUUUUUCUAGUUUAUCAUAUUGCAUAUUAUAAAGUUUUUUUUUUUUUUUCAUAAGUAAAAUAUGCAUAUACAUAUAUGAAAUGCAUAUAUAUAUAUAUAUAUAUAUAUAUAUAUAUAUUGGAAGUAUCAAUUAUUGGAGGAAUAACACCAUAUCAUAUAGACUUGAGUGCAUUGGCUAAUCUACUCACAGUAGUAAAAUUAAUUUCAUUAAAAGAUAAUAGGAUAUAAAAAGUUAAAUUGGACCAUGUCAAAUAAAAACGUUAAAGAAUAGAUUUUGAAAAGUUUAAUUUUACAAAAUAUGGGCUUAAUGCAUAGGCGCAUCACAAAAUUUACAUAAACAAACUUUUUGAAUUUUUUAGCUAUGAUUUUUCCCCCAAAUUCUAAUUACACAUAAAUUACUAUGCUUUGUUGAUACCUAUGUCUUGAUGAGCCAUCUCCAAAUUUCUAGUUUUCCAUGUUUGUUAUAGACACACAAACCUCUUUCUAUUUUACUUAAAAUGGGAUAAAAUUCUUUCUUAUCCUACUCGUAAGUGAUAUGAUAAAAUAAGAUUAAGGAAAUACAAAUAAAUAAUAAAGGAAACAAACAUCUAAGAGAGAGAGCGAGUGUUCAAACACAAUAUGCUCCAAACUCUCAAAGGAGUUCUUUCAACAUUUUAUUCUUGAUUACCCAUAAAAAUAGGCACAAUUAUGUUAAAGGGGUAACUGAAUCUAAUACUGGCCCUAAAGACCAUAUAUUUUCCAUAAUUGGGCUAAAAGAGUAGAGCAAGUUUUAAAAUUGCUCUCAAGGCUAAAUGGACAAUUUAUCACCCAAAAAUGCCUAACAUACCCUUAAUAUGGUUUUUAAAAAAGGGCAAUCUCCAUUUCCAGCAAAUAGGUCUAAGAUCCAUAUAAAAUGCAUAUUUAGGCUCAAAGGAUAGAAGUUUAUGCAAUUGGAUGACAUCCCACAUGAGCACUACAACUAUUUAAUAUAUUAAAAUUUAUCCUUAGGCAUCCAUGAUGAUUAAUAUAUUAAGAUUUCAAGAAAAAUUUUAAAUAAUAAAUAAAAUCUUUCUCAAAAUCUAUUUAGUAUUCAUAUAGUUUUUUUUUUUUCAAGUUGCAACUAUUAUAUUAAUUCAUUUUUCAUUAAUUUAAUGUUAGAUUAUUAUUAUUAUUUUUUAUUUUUGAAAUUUAAUUAAAUAACAACUGUAUAAGGCAUGUACAACAUGUAUAUCAUCGAUUUAUGUACAUGUUUUUCUUCAUUUUCUUUGUUUAGUUUCCAUACCAAAUUACUAGAAAUUUUUUUAUACAUAUUUACAAAUGUCAAAUAUAAUUUUUUUUCACAUUUUUAUACAUAUACAAGCCAGUUAUACUAAAUGUACAAGACAUUUUCAUAUUUUUACUAACAUCCAUAAAAUCAUGCAAAUAUAUUCACAAUGAGCAAAUGUGUACAAGUUUUGCACGACUAGUACAAAUACGUUAUACAUUUUAGUACAAAUUACCUUGUAAACGUGUGAAAAUAUAAAAAAUUGUAUUUGACAUUGAUACAUGCAUGUAAUCAAUGUUUCCGAUGCUAUUAAAACAAAUAAAGAAAAUGAAGAAAAAAACUAUAUUCAUAGUAGGCAACUUUUAUAUGUCUUGUACACCUAGUGCAAAUGCCUUGUACAUUUAGUAAAAGUACUUUGUAUAUAUGAAAAUGUAAAAUAUAUAUAUAUUGGAAAUUUAUGCAUGUAUAGACAAUAUUUCCAAUGAUUUGAUAUAAAAAACAAACCAUGAGAAUAAAAAAUAAAAUAAAAACAUGCAAAUAGAUAAGUGUAAAUGGUAAAGGGUAUUUUUGUCGAUAAAUUUUCAUGGCCUUAGCAGCAAUUAUGCAAAAUAUGUGGCCUUUAAGGCCAUUAUCAAAUUCAUCUACCCCUUUAACAUAAUUGUCCAUUAAAAAUGUCUCCCCCCUAACAUUGAAGGCAAACUUCAAAAGUCACAAGCGCCGAAAAGAAUUUGAACUUUUAGUUUAUUCAAGUCCAAAAUGGAAAUUCUUCAAGAGAUCAAAGUUUGUACACAAAAUUUUCAAGUUCAAAUCCAAGUCAAAGGCUUUUGAAUCUGAGAUCAAGCAUUCAAGCAUUUGAGUUAGUGUUUUUUAGAGUAAUGAAGAACCAGAAGGCAAUUUAAGGAUUGCAUUUCUUUUAAUUCCCUCCCAUGGGUUGCAACACAACUGACUUCAAAAGUUUAGGCUUCUUUUUUAUAAGGUAGUCCCAAUAAACAUCUAGCAGUAUCUUUCAUAAUUAGAUUGGAUUUAGGAAGAUUUAGGUUACCUUUGCUCUCUUAAAGAAUGAAAUGAAAUCGUCGUCUGCAAGCUGCCCAAUACACCACUGAAUCCAUAUAACAUCAUAUCUCCCUGUUUCUGGAGUGAAGUCCUAAAACAAAUGCAAGAAAUUUAUCAUGGGGCUGAAAAAUCACCUACAGCACAAGACAAAUAUACAAGAAUUAACAGAAGUCAUAUUAUUUUCCCAGCCUGUAGGAUUUAUUUCAUUAAUAUGCAUGGGCAUAGAGAGUACCACCAUCACUUGAAAUAUUUCUCCAUCAAGGAUCAAAUCAAUUAGCUCAUCAUAGUUAUCAUCGUACAUCAUACUCAUCAAUGUAAUAAAAUAGCUGUGUGAUACAUUUUUGGAACAUUUUUGUAGUAAGUUUUUACAAUGUUUUUUCCUUUUAAUGAUCUCUAAUAGGAGUUGAUGCUUGUAGCAUUUGCAAACACCCUUUUAAAGUUCAAAAAAAAAAAUGUCACUUCUUGGGUGAUGUGAAAGCAGAGUUCAAAACCCUUCUUAUUAGCAUUUUUUUUUUUUUUUUUGUUCAAUAAAAAGAAGCAACUUAUAAAAGAGAAACACCAAAAGAAGUGUUCCAAAGUACAGAAAGUAUACAAAGGAAUUCCUAGAGGCGACACAAAAAACAAAGGGGGACACCAAAAAACAACCCCCCUUAACCCAAACCCAACCAAUCCACAAAGUCAACAGUGGAAAGAGGACUAGGAACCAUAUACAAUUUGCACCACACCCAAAGAUUACAAAAGAAAGAGAAUUUGAGCCCUUGAAUCAACCGCCCCUCAUUUUCAAACACCCUACUGUUUUUUUCCUUCCAAACAGUCCAGAAAAGGCAUAAGGAGCAGCCUGCCACACCUUUUUCCUUUUUUUGCCCACAAAGAAACCUUUUUUUUAUUGGUAAAUAAGAUUUGUAUUAAAAGAAAGAAAGUAUACAUGUUGUAUACAAAGAAAACCAAAGACAAAAAAAGGUGCAAAAACACAAAACCCGCUACCACGCCCUAACGAGAGCCUACCCAAUUCACAAAAUCUAACAACGAUAAUGAACCAUCCUCAAUAUACAACCGAGCCCAAUCCCAAAAUAGAUACAAGAAAGAAUUUUUAAUAACUUGGUCCAUGCUUUCAUAGUUAUAAAAAGCUCUCCUAUUCCUCUCCCACCAAAAAGUCCAAAAAGGACACAACGGAGCAACCUUCCAAGCUUUCUUCCUCUUUUUACCAACAAAAGUCCCAUGCCAACUCAGAAGAACCUCUCUAACUGAAGAAUGCAUCACCCAUUGGAUACCAAAAAGCACAAAUACCAACUACCCCAAAAUACAAGCUUUCGAACAAUGGAUGAGGAUAUGGUCACUUGUUUCUUCUUCUUCCUUACACAAGUAGCAUCUAUUAAAAAUCCUUCAACCCCUCCUUUUGAGCUGAUCAAGAGUCAAGAUCCUGGGCCCUAGUUGCUUCGCAAGCAAAAAUUGUAGGCACCCAACAAUUCCACAAAAUGCCAUAGGGGAAUGACUCCAGUCUCCUAUUUGCCAAAGAGGAGUAAAAGGACUUAACAGAAAAAGCAUCAUCCUUUGUAGGUAACCAAACCAUAACAUCAUUAGUCUCCAAAGAUAAGUGGUGAGCGGACAAUCUCCCAAAUAAGGCUUGCACCUCCUCAAGUUCCCAAUCAUGAAACCGCCUACUAAACCUAGGACUCCAGAAGCGCCUCUCUAACAAAAGCCUUGCCAUCCUAGAAGCGCCUCUUUAACCGAAGCCUUUCCUAGACUCCAUCCAACUUCAAAAAACCUAAAUCUGAAGCAAUUUUCCAUCAAACAAUUUCCAUACUGUUUCAUUUGUAUAGCACUUUAACAGCAAGGUCCAGGUGGCACCUUUCAACUGAUAUAAAGUAUUCUGGUCUUCUGUAUGGAAGGAAUGUAGUAUUCUGGUUUUGAAGUUUAUAUAACUUGUUUGCUACAAGAUGUUUCACAGAACUUAGAAAACUAAAGUUUGUACUGAGACAAACCUUAACAUUUGUCUUUUGGUAGGCAAGACCAACCUUAGCAUCAUCGUCCUGAUAUAAAUUUGCCUUUCUAUCUUCCCAUUUAAAUCUUCAUCAAAAAGAUACUUAAAUGAUGUAAAAAUUGUAAAAACUAUGUAAAGAUUUAGCAACUAGCAAUUAACCACAACUAAAUUUUUGGAUGGAGGACUCCUUUAAGUCUUACACAUUCGAGGAUUCUUAGGCAACAACAGAGCCUCUACACUGGAAAGCCUUGCAGGUGAUGAGUGACCUAUGGCUUGCAAUCAUAUUUUUAGUGAAGGCUCUUCUAGGAUACUCUAUCAAGCUCCCAGCUAUCUUUGCUAUCAUCGCCAUUUUUUAUCUUGUUUCUCUUUUAAUUUGGUAUGAAAGAGUUUAUCCUUCAUUUUAUCAUAUCACUUCUUACAAAGUGUUUAUGUCAUGACAAUUCACACAAAAACACACAUACUAAAGUCUAAAGAUUAAUUUUUUUGGACUGGUCAUAGAAUGAUUUUUCUGGUUAGGUUUCUUUAGCUUCAUUAGAAAUAAUUUUAAGGCUAAUCAAAUAUCAAGCCAAAAGUACUUUGUUGUUAAAGACCCAGAGGCACUUUAAUUUCUGUCUGUUGUUUCCAGAAACAAGUUUUUAAAGUUUGUUCAAGGAACAUAUUUCGUUGUUUUGUCACUGUAAGUUUUCAGUUUUCUGUUUUUAGGUAACAAUAACUUGUGAAUAAGAGGGAACACAGAUUUUCUGUUUGAUCAUAUUCCAGAAAUAGCUUUAAGAAUGAAAGCCACAGAACUUAAUGAAAAAAAAAUGGGGAUUGACCAUGUCUAUAACACAAAAAAGGAGGGGAAAAAAGGGAAAAUAAAGAAAUGAAUGGAGAGCUAGUCUUGAAGAAAUCGUCUGAAUCAAUUCAGAGAUGGGAUAUAUUUUGGCUUCCAACAAAGUAGAAUAACUUCCAAUGACUUGUUUAUUUGAUUAGCUGCAAAGGGGUAAAAGACAGGGAAAGGCAAGGGGAAGAGUGUUGCUGAUGAACUGAAAUAGGUUUGUGCUGCUGUAGAGUUUAACGGUUUCCUACAGCUGAAGACCUAAGAAAGAUGAGUUUAGUAAAGACAUACCAAAUUGAACCAACUGACGCUUUGUCAAUUUAGACAUAUCACAUGGUCGGCAUAUACAUGUCUUGACAUACACAUACAUCACUAAGAUUUACAUGAAAUGUCUAGACAAAUUUAUCAAUCCUUUAAAUGAUCCAUAUUUUGAAUUCCAUCUGAAGCGAAGAUGAUACUAAUUGAAUCCCAUGAUAAAGCUAUUAACCUGAAAAAAAAGAUGCUCCUUGUAUAGAGAAAAAAAAAGAGAGAAAAUAAUAGAGUGUAUAUGAAUUUAUUGCAAUGAAUAUUCAAAUUUCCCUCUAACUGCCUUAAAGCUCUUUCCCAAGAGCUGAACCUCCAAAGACUAGUAGGGGGAUUGAAGGUCAACGAAAGAACAAGCUCCAAGAGAUUUUGAAACCUUUCCUGGAAGUGAAAAUUAUACAUUGGGAAGUCAAAAGAAAAGAAGCAGAGAGAACUUGAAAGGUUUAAAUUGAUGGCACUCAAAUGAUAACAGGUUAUUUUGAAAAGGAAACAGGUAAUUUCUUUAAACAUUUUGAGAUUUUAGGCAACAUUUAAGCUCAAUUGGGAAGGGGAAAAAACAGAAGGAUAAAAAGGUCAGCAUGGUGAGUAACAGGCAAUUGACCCUUCAAAUAUUUAACUUAGGACCCAUUUUCUGCUGCUUCCUGGCAGUCCCAAAAUAUGUUUUGGCUCGUCACAAAUGCUUUAGAGAGUUUUAAACUACACAUUAAAUCAUUUUAAUCCAGAAGAGAAUUGGGAUUCAGAAGUUCUUCUUAGCAAAGCUAGGAUUACUGUGCUUUCCAACAAAGAUACAUGAAGAGGUUUUUGGACUUCUAUUUUUUUUUUUUUUUCCCCUAAUAAUUUUGGAAAUCCACCUCUUCUCUAAAUAGGUCCUCUUGAAGAACUUUACUGGAAACAGCAGCUGUGACAGACAGCCCAUUUGUGGUUUGAAUGGGGAACUUUAUAAGUUAGCUCUUCAAAUGGCAAACUCAUAAGAACAUUGAACAGAAAAGGGAGCAUGGAAGGGACAUGAGAGCAUGGGAAUGGAGUGGAUGAUUGCAUAUUAUAAGGAGUUCAUACAUUUGGGACCUGUAGAGAACUACAUAUGAAAUCAACAUUGUUAGUGGGGAAUAGUGCGUAGCACACUGAUGAUAUUAGUAAAAAAUAUCUCAAAGAGAAGUGUCCAUAUUCAUAUAGAUAAUUAAAAAGACAGCUAAUCUGGUACAGUAAAUGAUUAAAUAAUAGUCUUUACUGUAAACUGAAAACUUCAACAAGAAAUUAUUGGACAAGCAUUUCCCUAAGUCUUUUGUUGCAAAAUUCUUUAAUAAGAAUGCAUAGAUUUCUCUUCUGGGCAUCAUGCACCCGUCAAUAAAAAAUGAAAAAAACCUAUAAAAAAAAAUUAAAAAAUAGAUUUCUCUUCUUAUAAAUUGUUUCAUACAUUGAAAUCAUCCGAAUCUCUUAGUAAAUCAACUUGUUUCAAGUUAGUUUCAAGUAUUGUCCUUAUAGUUGCAGAUCUGUUAUGAGAGAAUUUCGAGGAGGCUGGAUGGUUGGAAAAAGGCUUUUUUGUCUUUGGGAGGGAGGAUUACUCUAAUUCAGUCUUGUCUGUCUCACAUCCCUAGCUACUUCCUCUCCCUCUUUAAAAUCCCAGCAUCAAUAGCUUCAAAGAUUGAGAAGAUGCAAAGGGAUUUUCUUUGGCCUGGGGCGGGGGAAGGGAAGAAAGAUCAUCUUAUAAGAUGGGAGGUUGUUAGUAGACCAAAGAAGUUAAGAGGUUUGGGUUUUGGGAAGACUUCUAUGAGAAAUAUUGCUCUCUUAGGGAAAUGGCUUUGGAGGUUCCUUAGAGAAAGGAGUGGUCUUUGGCAUAAGGUUAUUGCAAGUAUAUAUGGGACACAUCCUAAUGGAUGGGACGCCAACAUGGUGGUUGGAUGGUCACACAGAUGUCCAUGGAAGUCUAUUGCUCAAGUUUUCCAGGUUUUUUCCCCUUUUGUCCGCCUAGUUGUGGGCAAUGGGGAGAGAAUUCAUUUUUAGGAAGAUCUUUGAUGGGGUAACCAAACUUUGUGUUCUCAAUUUGCUGAUCUUUACAGAGUUAUUUAUGUGAAAAACCUCACUGUCUCAAAUGUCCUUGGCAAUUCAUUUCCACUGUCUUGGAAUUUUAACUUUCGCCGCAAUCUUACAGAUUCAGAAAUUGAUCUCCUUCAGAGAUUAAUGUCCUCCCUUAGUUAUGUGCUUUUCUAUCCUUCUUUAGCAGAUUCAAGAGCGUGGUCUUUAUCUUCGUCAGGAUUGUUUUCAGUGAAAUCUUUUUUCUUGGCCUUGUCAAAAAUCUCAAAUCCUAUCUUGUUCCUUCCGGCCAAGUUCUUGUGGAGUUCAAAAGUCCCUUCAGAGGUUAAGGCCCUCGCUUGGUUAGUAGCAUAUGGGAAGGUAAACACCAAUGAUAAAUUGCAAUUGAGAAGACCCUACAAAUCCCUCUGUCCUCAAUGGUGCAUUCUUUGCAAAGGAAGUGGAGAGUCGAUUGACCACCUUUUUCUUCGUUGUCCUAUUACCAUUGGACUCUGGCACAAGUUGUUCAAUCUAGCAAGCUUGGUUUGGGUCCCUCCAAGGAGUUUUGAGGACAUGUUGGUUAUUACUUUUAAAGGCUUGGGAAACUCAUUAAGAGGCAAGACACUUUGGCAAAUCGCUUGCCUUACGUUGAUUUGGUUGGUGUGGCAAGAGAUAAAUAAUAGGAUCUUUGAGGACAAAGGGAGAACGGAAGAGAUGUUAUGGGAUUUAAUUCGGUUCUAUUCUUCUCUAUGGCCUUCUUGUACUGAAGCUUUUAGAGGAGUUCCUCUAAGUGUUUUACAACUCAACUGGAUUGCGGUUUGUGCUUCAAAAGUUUGAAGUUUGUUGGGGUUUCUCUUUGUUUUUAGAGUUCUAUUGUUGGGAGUUUUCUCCUUUGUUCAGUUUGUGUAGGAAGGACCUCUCAUCCUUCCCUUGCUUUCUUCUCUUUCUUUUGUAACUUUUCUUUCUCCUGUAUCUUUUCUUCUAUUAAUAUAUUCUUCUUCGUUUCCGAUCAAAAAAAAAAAUGCAAAUCUUACAAGAAUCCAAGUGAAAAAAUAAAAGAUUGCAGUUUCUAAUUGGGCCACAAAGCAGAGGAGCUGUAACUAAAAGCCAAAUUCCCAAAAUGUCACCAAGUUCUAUGCAUUGAAUGGUUUGGAUAGCUAACAACCCUAUUAGUUAAUCGGAUCAUUACUUAAACCUGAUCUGUUUAAUCAGAAUUUAGUAAAGAAUUUCCACAUGGUAGUCUGUUAAAUGCAUCCAGAGAGAAACCUUGUCAUCGCAUUCCCCCCCGAGCCAAAGCAAGGUGCAUCAUGUGUGCCUCACUGACCCUGUAUGGCUUUUUCGCACCUAGGGAAAAUUUUAAUAACACUGAGCAAAUGCAACCGAAAUGGUCCAGAACAGACAAGAAUGAUCCAAAAUGGAUAAAAGCUGGACAAUUUUAAGAAAUUGGAACAUAGGUGCUUUCACCUAGAAUUCCCAUCUAAAACAGAAUGUUUCAGCUCAUUUUGACAAAAUGAAGCAAAUUUCAUAACACAUGAAAUCAGAUGAAAUUUGAAAUCCCCAUUUUAUAAAUCAAAAUAUUCUAUUUUCUGAUAAGCACAGUUAAAUGAAUCAUCUGCCUAUCCAUUAAACAUGAAUGAAUUCAUUCUAAGAGUUUAAUAAAUGAUCUACCUUUCCUUUUUCUUUUCUUUUUCUCUUUCUUUUUUUUUUUUUUUUUUUUUUUUUUUUGUUUUUUCUUUCUUUUUCUUUUAAUGGUUAUUAUUACAUUAAUUUUGGUGAAAACACCCUUCUACUUAACCAAAUCGUUUAUUCAAAUGCUAUCAAAAUCAAAGCUGAUAAAUUUUGCAGCUACCACGAGAAGCCACUAUUAACACAUUUUUAUAAGAAAACAUAGACAAGUCAAGGCUCUAAACAGUUACCCUAAGACAAUAAAAUGCAAUCACUUCCUUUUUUGGGGGGCAAACCAAGCGGUUCUUGGCAUGCAUAUAUGUUAGUGUCACUAAAGAUUUAUCAGAUAUGAGUACAUUAUCAAUUGAUUAUUCUUUCUCCUCUUCUUUUCACCUCUUGGUUAAGCAACCUUCUUCAAUUAUCAAGGAGUUGGUUUAUUCAAAUCUAGAUUUCAUAUAUCAAACUUCAAAUCUGUAGAUUUAUGGACACGGUGAUCUAUAGCAAUUAUUCACUUUGAAACUGUACAUGUGUAUAGCAGAGUUUUUAUUAUGUGCAUGUGAGUAAUAUCCAACUAGAUUUACCUGAAGUGGAACACAAUAAAAGUUGGCUGCCUUGUGCAUAUCCGAAAACAUAAGCUUUCCAGAAGCCAAAGUUUCACGGGCAGCCUCCAAGAAAUGCGAUGCUGGCUCAACAAGAUCAACCUAUAUCCAAACAAAUUACAUUAACCAUUGAAAAACCUAACACAAACAAUCAGUUGAAUCAUGAAAUUCAAACUGUCAGCAGGUUUACAACAGGAACCAGUUUAGAAAACCCAAGAUUUAUUGCAGGCUGAUGGAACAAUCUAAUUCAUGAUAAGGGCAAUUUGACAUGGACUAGUUUGAGCAUGUAAACAGUUGAUCUAAAGUUGGAUUAAAUAGUGAGUUUUUCAUAUAAAUGAUGUUUUGUGAAGGCUAUCUUAUGUAUAUUAGCAGUAUCUGCAUUUUUUAAAUGCAUGAUAAUACUCAUUCUUAUCUGCUCAUCAAAAGAAAGAACAAGAGAACAAAGAAGGAUUAGAUAUCUGUGAAGAAAUAAAAACAAGUACCCACCCCUAAACACACCAUGGACAAAGCCCUAAUUAAAACAAUACACUACUUAGCAGAAAUAACCCUACUCCUUGAGAAAGGAGCCCCACAACCCAAAAGGAUCAUGAUAAUAAGAAUGCCUGCAAACUCCUUGGUAAAUGAUACCAAAGAGAAGUCAAGAAGUGAUUCUGUCCCACAAUCCACCACAUCUCUGCCUGUAUUAAAGAAAUUUUGGGGUUCUUCUUACCCCAGACCCCGUAUAGUGUGGCUAGUAACACAGCAAUGCUAUAAAAGACUGCUCCUAGCAUUCAUGCUGGAGUCUUGAAAAGAAAUAACCAACAUGUCCAAGAUCACAUCAGGACCACAGAUUGGACCCUAGCAAAAGAAGAUGAAAGAUACUGCAAGAAGACAAGCCUUAAAAGAAAUGCAGAAGUCAGCUUGCUUCUUGCUCCACCCACAAAAAGUGGCAUUUGUGAAGGUUAUAAGUUUUGUAGGGUCCCCUGAACUAAAGCAAGUUGUCAGCAAGUGAGCCACUAAAUAAGCAAGGGUUUUGACUUUCAUGGGAGCUUUAACUCCUAAUGAACUUGAGGGGAGAAACCAUAUAAAAUUUGCUACUUAGAAAGGAUAAGCAAGAAGGAUUUCAUAGAAAAUAAACCUGAUAUAAAAAACAAGAAGAGACUCUUCAUAAAAGGUAGAAAAAAAAUGAAAAGAGAAAUUCUAGAGACUAACCCAUCAAAAGCCAAUCCUAACAAACUCAAAAAACCAAUCCCCCAAACCCCUAUCCUCAACCCCCAAACAGACUUAUAGGAAUAUCAAUGAACUCUUCAAUUGGUAAGACCUAAAAAGAAGCCAAGGAACUAACUUAUGUUCAGUAAGUUCAAUUGCUCUCUGAUAGACCUCAAUGUGUCCUAAACAUAAAUCACCACUUCCAACCAUCUUUAUCCAACUAAUAAAUGACCACUAGUCACCAUGAUAUUGCUAAGAUCAUCAUCACCUUCCAUUGAUUGCUAUAAAAAAUUACCAUUAUCAGCAUUCUUAACACACAAUUGUUGCUAGAAUCACCGUAAUGACCUACUCUCAAUCGUAUAGAUAUUGUCCGCUCUAAACCCAAGAGGGCCUUCACGGUUUUAAAAUGUGUCUACAUGAUUAAGAGGAACUCAUAGUUAUAUAGUGUCAAGACCUUUCUCAUCUACCCGAUGUGGAUAUCACAAUCGCCUCCCUAUGCAAACACAAUGUCCUCGUUGUGUCCCACAAGAUUGCGAGGCUAAACAAAUAGCACCCCUCAUAGGACCAAACAAAUCCCCACACCAGAGUCAAGGAUUGGCUCUAAUACCGUUUGUAAUGAUCCACUCCCAUCCAUAUAGAUAUUGUCCACUCCGAGCCCAAGAAGGCCUUCACGACUUUAAAACGCAUCUACAUGGUUAAAAAGAGUUCAUACUUAUAUAACGCCAUGAACUUUCUCUCUUUUCUAAUGUGGGAUAUGACAAUCACCAUCCUCAUGGUCAUUAGCACUACAUCCAUCACCUUUAAUUCUUUAUUACCACCACCAUUAUCGGCAUUCUUAACACUCAAUUGUUGCUAGAAUCACCAUCCUAAUGGUCAUCAGCACUACAUCCACACCUUUAAUGCUUUAUUAUUACCACCACAUUUCUCAAAAUAGCAACAAUUAGUAUAUCACCCUUAACCACCUCCCAUCGAGGUCACCAAUACUUUUGUCAUCCUCCUGAUGAGUGAACAUCUAGCUGCCAAUUCCUACCUAGCUUUUUUUUUUUUUUCUUCCCUUUUUUAAUAGGCAAAAGAAUUUUAUUGAAAAUGCCAAAUAAAAAGGGACGCUCCCCAACUACAUAGGUUGUAUACUAAGGGCACUAAGCAACAAAAAGAGAAAGUAGAAACACAACAAAGCCAACACCUCCCUAUGCUGAACAAAAUCCAAUUUGUUGCCUUUGUUUAGGUUUUGGGGAAUGGAGAGGAAGCCAUUGUAAAUUAGAAUUAGGCUUGCAAGCUGAAGCACACAGGAGAUUUGGGGAUUAGGAGGAUUAGGAAUGGAGCACUCUUGGGCAAGUGGAUUUGGAAUUUUCCUAGGAGGAUUGAUUCGUUGUGGCUUAAUGCUAUUAGAAGUAUCUAUGAAUUACAUUAAAAUCAAUGGUUACUAAAUCCGAUUUCCCCUUUUAAAACUUUGAUUUUUGAGUAGCUAGUCAAAUCAGGAAGUUGAGAAAUCCUUCCUACACUUUAUAGAUUGUUUACCCCUCUCUUGUCACUCAUGGACUUUGGUUCCUCCAUAUCAAUUUUAUCUAUCUUUUUUCACGCUUUUCUGAGACCAAUUCUUCAAUUGUCUUUCCAUAGCACAAUUUCAUUUGAAAGUUAUUCUGACUGAAGUCAAAGUCUUUGCAUGGUUAGCAAUCAGUACAACAGUAAAUACCAAUUACAAGAGUAGCAAGAAUGGUAAAAAGGGUACAUUAUAUGCAAGGAAGAAAGAAUUAAUCAAAAGAUGUUUUAAAAGGCUUGCUGGAAUUGGAUUGGUCCACUCUAGUAUUGCUUCCAUAGAAAUGGAGCAUUGUCAUUCUCAGUAUAUACACAAAUACCAAGACAAAGUGAUCCUCUAAUAAAAGUGGGGUGCAUACAAGAAUUCCCCAAUGAACUAAAAUCAAGAUUUGAGAAAUGCAGGGUUUUCCAAGAAGAAACAAAUGGAGAACUUUUUCUUUUCUUUUUCUUUUGUUAGCUUGUGAUAUCUACAUAUAAUGAGAAUAAGAACAUGUUUUAACAGCCAAAAUAUUGACUUCCGUGUAGGUCAGCAAAAAUCAAAGGUAAAAGACCAAAUAAGAAAAUUGAAGCAAAUUUGAUGCCACAUAUCCAUUGCCAUUUUUUGCUAAAGUUUGUUUUUAUCUACUGCAACAAAUUAAGGAUUUUCUGCUCCUUCUUAUGACAGGUUUUGGGACCUAAUGCAUCAAUGGAGAUUGACCACUUGGAAGAGGAGCAAGCUCGUGCUGAAGUCUUUUCCAGUUUUCCUUUUGCAGUUAAGCAGUGCUCGUGACUGGGGGAUGGAUAAGAGGCAUGUAUAUGGAAAUCAAUCUUCUGAAACAUGAGUGAAGACACAAUUCAAUCCUUAUAUUAAGCAACACAAUAGAAAAGAUGCACUAAAAGCCAACAAGAUUUAUCAAUUCCAGAAUGUUUGCUUGUUUUGUAACUGAUACGGGUGCACAAAGGACUCUCAUUACCAGAAAAGAGAAGGCUAAUCUAUGUUUGCUUGUUUUGUAACUUCUAUGGGUGUAUAAAGGACUCUCAUUACAAGAAAAAAGAAGGCUUGUCUUACCUCAUUAAAAUACCUUAUAAGAAGAUUCUUAGUCACUCUCCCGAUGCCAGAACCACAAUCUGCAGUAGAUUUGAGUAUAAAAAUAUCAUAAUGUCAUCCAUCAAUCAAGUAGUUAUUUUCACAGCAAUUGAACACAUCACUGAUGCUGAAUUUAAAAAUUAAAAAUGCCACAACAAAAGCAGAAACCAUAACUAUAACUCGCACAGGGGAAUUUUUUUCCUUAAUCAGAUUCUAAAAGUUCACACAAGGAUUUGAAAAUUUUGCAUUCCCUCUGAAACUUGUUUAUAAGCUAUUAAAUUUUUAGAUGUUUUAUGGUAUCAAAAUUGCCCUUAUGGAUAGGAUUGAACUAUGUAAAUAACAAAUAAAUUUUUUGGUGAUUCAGCUAAACUAAACAUUAUUGUUGUCAAGGAAGCAAUUUAUCCUAAUACUCUCUCAAUCAAUACAUUUUUUUCCUUCAGAAUGAAGCAUUGUUUCUGUAUCCACAACUCUAGAACCAUUAUCUGUAAUGAGCUUCAUGAAAGUUUAGCAUUCAUUCAAUAUCAUGGUCACAUUUUUCUUCCAAAUUAUUCAAGUUUCAUCCAGAUUUUCUAAUCUAAAGAAUAAUUCAUUCCUGAAUAUAUAAUAUUAAAAGCAUUAAUUUUAGAAGCCAAACUUGGUCUCUAGACACCAGAUAUUAUUAAAAACUUUCAGGUGAAACUAUUAUUAGUGAAACCGACCACAUCAAGGAAGCAUACCAAAAAAUCAGCUUCGUGGAGCAGACCAAUUCUGUAUUGCCCUUCUCUAUAUUAAAGAACUUUUGAAUUAGUAACUGUUUAAUCAUAUCAAGUUCAGAAGAAAGUCAACUUUUUUUUUUAUUGGACAUUCAGAAGAAAGUCAAUUGAUGAGGACUUUUCUUUUUUCUGUUUUUAAUAGAAUGUAACUUUUCAUCUUUUCAACUAACCUCAGCUUCUGAUCUGAAUGAUCUCAAAUUCUGACAUAUUAGCGCCGACUCAUGAAACUUCUAUCAUAUUAAAAACAACACGUACAUGUUGUGCGCACAAUUAACUUUAUUUUUAAUACAAAAUUAUCAGAAUUAACAUAUAAUAAUAAAAAAUAAUUAUGCAACAGUUGAAACCUUUAUUUACUGGUAACUAAAUAAAGAAGAUGUGACUUAAAAUAAUGUGGAAAUAAAAAAUUCAUGUUGGUAAUUUUUUUUAAAUAUCUUUUUUUUUCGUGGUGGUGCCCACAAAGUAAAUUACAAUUUUAUUCUUGUCAUCAAAUUAAUAAUCUAGCUAAAAGCAAGGUUAGAUAAAUUAAUUAAUAGUAUAAUGACAAUAGAGAGCCUCUCCAUCUGCAUUCCUAACAACAUAGAUUUAGGCAAGCAAAAAGGAAAAGAGAAAACAAAAAACCACCUCUCUCUUCUUGGUUCGAACUCAACUAAUCAAUAAAGCCUAUGAUUGACGUAAAAUGAAAGUCUAUAUAUACUCUAGCACAAUAAGUCCAAGAAAAAAAAGGACACACAUAAAGGAAGAUUUGAUUACUUGACCCGACUGUUCUACACCUUCAAAAGACUUUCUAUUUCUUUCCUUCGGUAACAUCCAAAACAGGCACAAAGGAACAAUCCUCCAAGCCUUCUUCCUUUUCCUCCCACAAUAGAACCAUACCAACUCAAAAGAUUGCCUCUAAUAGAGAUUUUUUUUUUUUUGAUAGAUAAAGAAACAAAUUGAAUUAAAAAGAGCCACCAAAAUAGCAACCCAAGGUAUACAAGAGACAAAGCUCCCUCCACCACCAAGGCUUAAACAAGAGAAAAAACCAAAAGAAUUAGAGCCUCAACAAGUGCCCAACCAAUCAAAGAAUCUCAGUAAAGUCAAAGGACAAUCAUCUGUAAACAACUUAGAUUUUGAUAAAAGAAAGCAAACAAAAUCACUUUUCAGCCUUUGGAAAUAAAACACCUCCUCAUCGAAUGCAAUUUUCUUCCUUUGUCUUCCAAACCCAUCCAAAACAAACAUAGAAGGCUUACACUUCAAACCUUCUUGCGUUUUUUUUACCUACAAAAGAACCAUGUCAUCCCAACAGAGUCUCUUUAACCAACAAGGGAAGCACCCAAGAUACCCCCAAAAAGCACAAAAAGCAACUCCCAUAAAACCCAAGUCUUUUCCCCAUGCUCAUUUCCAAACAAAUGGCAAAAAUAACACCUAUUUGCUAAAGACCAUCCUCAUCUCUAAACUUGAUCCAAGGUUAGAACUUUACCCCAUGCUACCUCCACGCAAAAAAAAAAGACCCUAUGCUACACCCAAUUCCUCUCAUUGGAUAAGACUUGAAGUUGUCUGGUUCUAAAGCAUUGUAAAGGGAAUUAACUGUAAACUUGUCACUCUUUGUUGUUGUCCAAAGCAUUGUAUCUUCUACAUCCCUACACACUCUCUUCCCACGCAAACAUGAUAGAAAUCUCUCCAUGCAAUCCACCUCCCAAUCAUUAAAAGGACUAGAAAAACAAGGAUUCCACCCCCUCCCCUCCUCCCUUCAACAUAAUUCCAAACAUCCUCCACCCAAAUAUCCUUGGAAUUGACUAAAGCAAAUAAAGAAGGGAAAGACACACUUAACAUAUUGUCCCCACACCUCUUAUCCUUCCAAAAUAUCACUCAUCGCUUGUUACCCAUCAAGAAGGAACACCUAGUUCUCACAAGAUCCCAAUCCUUCCAUAUCGCUUUCCGCAACCCAACCCCAUACCCCUCUCUCACCUCUGGAGAAGACCACCCCCUUCUUUCUUCUUCAUACUUCCUACGGAUAACCUAAUUCCAAAAGGCCCAUCUCUCAUUCGUAAAACGUCAACUCCACUUGCAAAGGAGAGCCUCUUAAGAAUUGAAAGACUCUUAACACUCAAACACCUUUCCUUUUGUCUAAGCAAAAAAUUCCUCAUUUAACAAGAUGUGGCUUACGCUCUAACACCCCACCUCCCCAAAAAAAGCCCCUCUAAAUAUGUUCUAACCUCAUUCUAACAACCUUAGGAAUACAAAACAAAGACAUAAAAGAAAUGGGCAAGCUAAAUAAAGUACUCCGAGUUAAAGUAAGUCGUCAUCCUCUGGAAAUGUAUUAUCUUUGCCACAUGGACAACCUUUUACGAAAUCUCUCUUCUACUCCAUCCUAAGUUGUCAUAGAGUUAAGCGAAGCACCUAAAGGGAGACCUAAAUAAGUGGAUGGAAGACAACCCACCUUGCACCCAAACUCAGUAGUUAGGUCAUCCAUAUUAUCCACCUUUCCCACAAGAAUUAACUCAUUUUUCUCUAGAUUAAUUCUCAACCCUAGAAUCGCCUCAAACCACAUAAGCAGCCAACAUAAAUAAGUGAUCUGAUCUCGAGAGGCCUGACAGAAAAUAAGAGUGUCAUCUGCAAACAACAAAUAAGAAAUCUAAACACUUUGCCCAAACCUACCUUGCACUUCACAACUAGAUAAGAAACCUCCAGCCAUGGCCCUCUUUAAAAGGGAACUAAGCACCUCCAUUGCAAUCACAAAUAAAUAAGACGAAAGUGGAUCCCCCUGUCACAAUCCCCUAGAGCUGUGAAAAAAGCUUGUGGGAGUGCCAAUCACCAAAAUAGAAAACCUUACUGCGGAGACGCACCCUUGAUCCACCCAAUCCACUUCACACCAAAACCCAUUCCAUGCAAAACCAAAAGCAAAAAAUACCAGUCCACAUGAUCAUAAGCCUUCUUGAUCAUAAACCUCUAAUAAAGGAAUGCAUCACCCACGCGACUCCAAGCAGAGAAAAAACCAACUACCAUAGGAGAAUUGCUUUGGAACAAUGAAGAAGCAAGUAAUCAGCUGAUUCUUCAUCCCUUUUACACAUGUAGCAUCAAUUUGGAAUAUUCUAACCCCUCCUUUUGAGUCGAUUAAGAGUUAAAAUCCUUCCUCAAAUAGCUAGUCAAGUAAAGAAACCUAACUUCAUCAACACCUAAGGGUUCCAUACUAUGCUUGCAAGGAAAUACUCGCUCCUUCCCUUGGCUAAGGAUGUAGGCAAGGAUUUGAUAGAGAACUUGGAAGUCUUGGUUUCCUUCUAGCCAAAUUUGUCCUCCUCAUCACUUCUAAUUGAGAUUGACUGCAAUCUCUAGAAGAAGACCUCCACUCCCUUCAAUUUCUCAUAGUGGAACAAUAUAAUCAAACCCACCCCCCCUCCCCUUAUCCUCUCCUUAAAAACCUAAUCCNNNNNNNNNNNNNNNNNNNNNNNNNNNNNNNNNNNNNNNNNNNNNNNNNNNNNNNNNNNNNNNNNNNNNNNNNNNNNNNNNNNNNNNNNNNNNNNNNNNNUCCCACAAUUUUGCUAUCUAAGUGUCUUUAUGAAAUGACUAAAAAAUAACACUGGGAAAGACUUUUCCAAAGAAAUUUCACAACAACAUCCAUCUUUCUAGAAUUUUAUACUUUUGAAGACUUCCCAUCCAUUUCCAAUAUCCCUCCAUAGCCUCACCAUUCCUUACCACCCUUGGGCACCAUCCCCCUUCUUUUGUCCCAUACCUCCCUAUUAUGGCUUGUUUCCAAAGGAUCAUUGGAUUCUAAAAAGUCUUUUUUCCUUCUUAACAUCCACUCAUUUUAACUCACCUCAAGAUUUCAAGUAAAGUUUGGAAGAGCCUCCGUUGAAGGAAAACAAAUAGUGCUUUGAGAGUUGAAAUAUCUUGUUCUUCAAUUAACUCCAGCAAACUAAUGGGAAAAAAAAGUGUGUGUGUGUGUGUGUGCGUUUCUUUUUUUGACAGGCAAAUGAGAAAAACGAAUAAUAAACCUAGCAGCGUACUAGUCUUCCUAUUUAUGUAUUUAAAAGGAAUGGAUCCUAAGUGCCACAAAGGCAUAUUCAAUAAUUCAAGCUUUAACAAUAUAGCCUACAUCAAAAGCUUUGCCUUAGGGAAUGUGCAACCCUUCCAAAACUCAUUUAGGACCAGUGAAAAUAGGUUGUCCUACCUAUUAGACUCACAAACCCAAAGUAUCAUCAUUGGCAAUCAUCUGAUAGUUGCACCUAAAAUUCUUAAUGCAUAAUGUUCUCUUUUAUAAGAAAUAGAAAAUUUUUUAACAAAUAAAAUGAAACCAAAUAGAGCACCACGAGGAUAAAAAAAAAUUCAUCAGUAUAUAGCUAACCAAAACUAAACUAAAACAAAGCCAAAUUACACACCUAAUGAAAAUCAAAUUAAAAUAUCAAUAUUAUGUUAAUCAUCAUUCACAACAAUAUCUUCUUCAAUCUCAUUAGUGCAGAAGCUCAUACACUUUUCCACAUUUAAGCCACCCUAUAGUCAUUAUUCUCAUGAAAGACUCAAUCUACACGGCCUUCAGCCUUUAAAGAAACACCAUAAGCAAGGGGUUCCAAGUUCGAUCCCAUGCACCAAAAAGGAGAAAAAAUUUGCCAAAUGUUUGACAAUGUACUAAUUUCAGUUAAUAAACAUAUAGUUUAAAACUACGAUAGCUAAUGCAAAAGAGUGAUGUCACAACUUUGCAAAAUGCUUCUCUAAAGUUUUUUUUUUUUUUGAUAGAUAAACAACCAAAUAUAUUAGAAAAGGCUAAGAAGCCGCACGUAUACAGGGGGUAUACUGAACAGCCCAAAACAAGGCUGAAACAAACAAAAAAGGGGAAAAGCCUCACCCACCCUCAAGUGGUCGCAAGCCACUCCAAAAAGCCUAAAAGAGAGUAGGUUUCCUCACCAAUGUACACCUUAUCCCAACUCCACAAGUUACAUACAAAAACAAUUUUGAAUUUCUGAAUAUCUAAAGACCCUCCCCUGAAAGUUAACCUAUUCCUUUCCUUCCAAACCGUCCAAAAUAUACACAACGGGAUGGAAUUCCAUAUCUUUUUUCUUUUUUUCCCCACAAAAGAACCCCUCUAACUAAGUAACACCUCUAUAACUGACUCUGGAAACACCCAUUGAACUUCGAAAAUGGCAAGGGUAAUCUCCCAAAUAGUUUUAACCACUAUACAAUGUAAGAGAAUAUGAUUCGCAUUUUCCUCUUCGCAGCCGCACAAAUAGCACCGAUUAGGGAGCUGCCACCCCCUUCUUUGAAGCUUAUCCAAAGUGAGGAUCUUCCCCCAUGAAGCUUCCCAAGCAAAAAAAGACACUUUUGUUGGAACCUUAUCCAUCCAAAUGCGUCUAUUCGGAAAAACACCGGCUGAGGAGCCACUCAACAUUUUGUAGGCACCCUUGGCCCCAAAAACUCCAUUGCCUUCCCGUUUCCAUCUCACUGAAUCCUCUUCAGGAGAAAUCCUGAAGUCCUUCAGAAGAUUCAGCAUAUCUCCUAUCUGAUCCAGCUCCCAAUCAUUGAAAUCUCUAGCCAAUCUGAGAUUCCAACCUCCUUAACCCAGGCUAGAAUCCCAUACUUCACAAACUUUGGCAUUCUUAUGACCCGCCAAGGUAAACAACUGAGGAAAAGUUUGAGAAAGCGCCUCAUUGCCACACCACUUAUCCGUCCAAAACAAAACUCUAUUCCCCUUCCCAACCUUAAAAUCAAUGCUCUCCCAACACCAAUCGGCCUCCUUCAUGAUCUCCUUCCACAAUCCCACCCCAUAAGGCCCACAAACUUCCUUAGUCCUCCACCCACAUCCCUCUUGACCAUAUUUCACCCCUAUCGCCGUUUUCCAAAGAUUAUCCUUCUCAUAGGCAUAUCUCCAAACCCAUUUGCCCAGCAAGGCUUUGUUCAACAAGUCUAUCUUUCGGAUGCCUAAACCACCCUCCUCCUUAGGGCUGCAUACCACCUUCCAAUUGAUCAAGUGAACUUUCCCCUCCAAGCUUCCCCCCCCCCCCCACAGGAAGUCUCUUUGAAUUUUUUCAAUCCUUUUUGCCACAGCCUUAGGAAUGCGAAUAAGGGAAAGGAGGUAGAUGGGUAUGCUGGCCAAAGUGCUCUUGAUAAGAGUAAUUCUUCCCCCCUUCGAAAUAUAUUGCCUUUUCCACUGGGCUAGUCUUCUUCUCAUUCUCUCUUCCACCCCAUCCCAGGAAGAAGAGGUUUUAUGUUGGGCUCCAAGGGGCAGCCCCAAAUAAACAGUGGGUAAAGCCCCCAAUCUGCAACCUAGCUCAGCUGCCAACUCCUCCAGCUCAUCCACUUCCCCCACAGGAAUUAGAACACUCUUAGCCAGAUUAAUUCUGAGGCCGGAGGCUGCCUCAAACCACGCCAAAAUCCAGCUUAGAUUGGUAAGUUGCUCUCUUCUAGCUUUGCAGAAAAUGAGUGCGUCGUCAGCAAAGAGGAGGUGAGAAACAGUCAGCUCUUCCCCCCCUCUCCCCCGCAGCCUACAGCCUGAAAUAAAGCCCCCCUCACCAGCCCGUCUAAUAAGGGUGCUAAGCACUUCCAUACCCAAGACAAAAAGGUAUGGAGAGAGGGGGUCUCCUUGCCGCAACCCCUUUGAAUUCGAAAAGAAACCAGCUGGAACCCCGUUGAUUAAUAUGGAGAAUUUGGCAAUAGAAAUACACCACCACAUCCAAUCCAUCCAACGAGACCCAAAGCCCAUCUUCUGAAGCACCUUCAUAAGAAACUUCCAAUUGAUGCUAUCAUAGGCUUUUUCGAUGUCCAACUUGCAUAUCAUCCCUUUCUCUUUUCUUUUAUACCAAUAAUCAAUCACCUCAUUAGCUACUAGAGAAGCAUCCAAAAUCUGUCCCCCUCUCACAAAGGCAUUUUGGUCAACUGAGACCACCCUAUCCAGCACUUUCUUUAGCCUAUUUGCUAGGACUUUGGCCAAAAGUUUAUACAAACCCCCAAGCAAGCUGAUUGGCCUGAAGUCCCCCAAGUCUUCAGCUCCUCCUUUCUUAGGAAUAAGGACCAAAAAGGUGGUGUUGAGAGACUUGGCAAAGGACCCAUGCUCAAAGAAUUCCUUAAACAGAUCCACCACCUCCUCCUUCACAAAAUCCCAGCAAUCUUGCCAAAAGGCCACUGUGAAUCCAUCCGGGCCUGGAGCUUUGUCUCCCCUCAUCUCCAUCAGUGCAAAAUGGAUUUCCUCCUCAGAGAAAGGCAUCUCCAAGUCUUCAGCUUCCCGGGAAUUAAGUUGAUUGAGUUGCAGCCCCUCAAUAUCCGCUCUCCACCCCGGCUCUUCUGAGAGUAAUUUCUGGAAUGCAUUCACAAUCCCAUUCCUCACCUCUUGAUCCUCAGUCAGCAGCUCCCCAUUGAUCAUAAUCCUAUCCAGGGAGUUAUUCCUGCGGUGGGCAUUAGCCAUACGGUGAAAAUAACCGGUAUUCCUAUCUCCUUCCUUGAGCCACAGCUCCCUAAACUUCUGCCUCCAAUGAACUUCUUCCAUUAGCACCCAUUUAUAGAAGGCAUCCUUGGCUUCUUUUUUCUGCUCAGUUUCAGCUAUAGACAGACUCCUCUCACUCUCCACUCCAUCCCAGUACUCCAGCUACUGAAGGGCAGAAUUUUUGUUGACUUCCAGCCUACCAAACACCUCCCUAUUCCAAACUUUAAUAUUAUGUUUCAAAACCUUCAUCUUAUAGGCCAAUCUGAAGCUGGCCCUUCCUCUCACCUCAAUCCCUUGCCACCACCCCCGGAGAAGACCAUUAAAGUCGUCCACUUUCAGCCACAUAUUCUCGAAUCUAAACGGGGUGGGGCCCCUCCUUAUCCCCCCACCCAUCAGCAAGAUAGGAAAGUGAUCGGAAGUGGGUCUAUGCAUUCUGCAUUGGGCUACCCCACUAAACAUAUCUAGCCACUGCUGAGUCACAAGAAACCUAUCUAGUCUAGCCCAGGAUUGGUUAUUCCUGCCCCCACUCCAAGUGGCAAUACCCCCUUUUAAAAUGCUUCUCUAAAGUUUUUUUUUUGAUAAGUAAGCGAUUAUAUUAACGAAGGCAAAAGCCAAAGAGCAUACAGGGAGUAUACAAGGCUACAAACCCUUAACCAAAGAACAAAAGAACCCCACCCCUACUUGGAAGCUAUCCACUCCAAGAAACCUAUAAGGGAAUUCGACUCCAUAUCAAUGUACACUUUAGCCCAACCCCAAAAAUUAUACACAAACGAAGUCUUUAAUUUCUGAAAGGCUAACACACCCCCUUUAAAGGCGAGCCUAUUCCUCUCCUUCCAAAUUGUCCAAAAAAUGAAAAGCGGGAUGGACUUCCACACUUUCUUUCUUUUUCUCCCCACAAAAGAGCUUUUCCAACUACUAAGAACCUCCUUUACAGAAUUAGGAAAGACCCACUGAACACCACACAAUGCAAGAAUAAUAUCCCAUAAACCUUUUGCCACCGUACAAUGAAUAAGAAUAUGAUUGAUAGUUUCCUCUUCACAUCCACACAAGAAGCACCGAUUAGGAAGAUGCCAUCCUCUUCUCUGCAAUCUAUCCAAUGUAAGAACCUUCCCCCAAGUAGCUUCCCAAGCAAAGAAAAUAAUUUUUGUUGGAACUUUGGCCACCCAAACAUUGCUAUGGGGGAAGGCCGCUUCAUCAGCAUUAACCAACACCCUAUAAGCUUCCUUAACUUUAAACAGCCCGUCCGCUCCUCCCCUC
rnacentral:lncRNA from 1 species